UUCGGGUAAACAGUUAUAUUUAAACUAUAUCAAUUCAAUGUUCUGUAUUGUAUAAAAGAAUUAAUAUUAUUACAAGUGGUAAAAAGAAUAUGUAAAUACACCGCUGAUCAAAUUUAUGUAGUACAGUAGUAGUUAAGUUUAGAAGUAAAAGAAUGAGAAGUAAGUAAAUAGAGAAAUGGCAUAGCAAGACCACCCUAAGGUGAUGGCUGGGCUGCUACUGCUGCUGCUACUAGAACUACGAGACGCACCGGCUCCUCUACCGAUGCCGCCACUGCCGCUGCCGCCACUGCCGCUGCCGCUGCCGCCACCUCUUCGAGCAACGGCAGAUGUUAGGAGGAGGCAAAUGACAGAAAAUAAAAUCACAACCGUCACAUUCUUCUUCAUUAAUUCCUUGUCAGCUAGUUGUUCUGCAGUUACUUUCUUGAUAUGAUCUAAUUAAUUCGUUUUCUUCUUCCUCUUCCUUUUAUGUUUCUUUUCUCUUUUUUCUUGUGUGUCCUGUGGAUGUGCAAAUUUAUAUCAUACUUCUUAGCUUGAAAAGAUAUAGGCGAUUCACUUAAACCACGAAGUUUCGUUGACACGCUUAAUUCCAAUAACUCAAGUAUUGAAACUAGAUAUUCAAGAGAAGAAUAAGUCAACAAAAGUUGCUAAUAAUAAUAAUGUUUUAGCUGGCGUUCUUUAUUGAAAAGUCAAAAUUCGGACGACUCUUGUCCAAUUAUACAAGUUGGAGGCACCCACCUUAAACUACACUUGUCUCCACCGAUUCAAUGUUUAUUAAUUUUUUUUCUCAACACCUCUAUUCAUUACAUUUUAAAGGUUGUAAAUGGCAUGAUAUACUUCUCCAUAUUGGUAUGACAAAAAUUGAAUAUGAUUUUCGAUGCAAAAUUAGAACUUUUUUUAGAAAAUAAAAAACUAAAAGGAAGUAUUUUUAGUUUUCCAGAAGAAAAAAAAAAGCUCAUAUAUUUGUAUACGGUUAAAAUCGAUCCUCGGUCAUGAAGAUCGAUCGAGGAUGGCAUUUCAAUCGAGGGGUACCUUCAUGGAGACCCCGAGCGAAUUCCGAGAUGGGGGCGUCGAGCCCGGGCGUUCGAACCGACCGAGGUAACAUCGGUCGAUACAGGUCCCGAACAUCGAUGCCCGAAAGUGAUCACCUAGCUCGAAAUCAAGGCCGAGGUUCCAAUCCGAUACCGAGCUCGAGUCGGUAUUGAGUUCACAGACAAAAGCUGUUACAACCGUACCAAAGGAGAGAAUCUCUGCGGGAAUUAAGGAGGAGACGCACCAUCAUGGGUCCUCCACUAGUAAUAUUUAUUUCCAUCAUGUUACUAUAGAUAGAGUAGUGAUCUUUGGCUAUAAAGCCAAGGAGAGUUUGUAAUAGAAUGCACUUUUGGCUGGGAUUAAGAAUUCAUUGUGUUUAUCUUUCUAAAGCUCAUUAAAUAUCUUUGUUCAUCAUCUUCCAUUUUUGUAUCAUAAAUACGUGUAUUGUUAUUUUCAUAUCAAAGGAAUCUACUUGCCCUUAGAACCAUACAUAAAUUCAACGUUAUUCGAUUUUUCGGGUAAACAGUUUGGCGCCCACCGUGGGGCUAAGGAUAACAAGUGACUAUUUGACACAAAUAUACAACACGCUCCAGCUUACAACUUCAUAUCAACAAUGGCUCUGCCAAUCGACCUCGAAGCUGGCCUUCAGGAUGAAACCAACAAUGUGGUGCCCGUGGCCGAAAGGCUACCCAACAACGGCAAUGAGGAUCGAAUCGAGGAACCCGAAAUUCGAGCCGAAGUACCAGUAGAUAUCAAUUCACGAAUAGCUCUAAAAGCGAAUCAACGUUCCGAGCAGGAAAGAAGCGUUCAGGGUGGCGAUCGACCCAUAGCCCGAGACACCCACAACACGGGGGAAAUCGGGGUCAGCUUGCGCAUGAUUUUCGAAAUGCUACAAGCCCAACAAGUAGCGAUAGCUCAGUUGCAGAGCCAAACUCAUAUGCGAAGUAAUCCAAACUCCAAUCCACUUCUUAGAGAAGUAACCCCCAGAACGGAUCCCGACAAAGUGAAACCGAACGAGCAAAAAUCGGGAACCGCUCCUGAAAAUGCUAAAUUGCUCGAGGAACUCACAAAGCGAGUCGAAGCCAACGACAAAAAAUUUGAAACAUAUGAUGCUAGGAUCGAUCAGAUCCCGGGGGCUCCGCCCAUGAUGAAAGGGCUGGAUUCAAAGAAAUUCAUACAAAAGCCUUUUCCAUCGAGCGCGGCCCCGAAACCGAUCCCAAAAAAAUUCUGUAUGCCCGUAAUUCCCAAAUAUAACGGUACGACCGAUCCCAACGAACAUCUCACCUCCUAUACAUGUGACAUCAAAGGCAACGAUUUGGAAGACGACGAAAUCAAGUCUGUAUUAUUGAAAAAGUUCGGAGAGACCCUCGCAAAAGGAGCAAUGAUCUGGUAUCACAACUUGCCACCGAAUUCUAUCGAUUCUUUUGCCAUGUUAGCAGAUUCGUUCGUAAAAGCACAUGUUGGUGCCGUAAAGGUCGCAACAAGGAAAUCAGAUCUAUUCAAAGUAAAACAAAGGGGUGACAAAAUACUGAGGGAAUUCGUAUCCCGGUUUCAAAUGGAAUGCAUGGAUUUGCCACCAGUCACAGACGACUGGGCCGUACAAGCUUUCACCCGAGGGUUGAACGGACUGAGUUCGACAACAUCACGUCGGCUAAAACAAAGCUUGAUCGAAUACCCUGCAAUAACUUGGGCGGAUAUACACAAUCGGUAUCAAUCAAAAAUCAGGGUCGAAGAUGAUCAAUUGGGAUUUCCGUAUGAACCCACGCGUCAGAACCGCACAACCACUAAAAUUCUGAAGGAAACCAACAGAGAACAAAGGUCAAACAGAGACCGAUACCAACCGUACGUCACAGAUCGGGUGAACCACGGUUCAGCGCAUGAGAUAAUUAGGAAUAACCGCAGAUAUGAUCGGGGGCAAAAUUCUCGGGGGCUUAUGAGCAAGAGAGGUUUUGAUAAACAUGUCGAUCCUAUAGAAGUUCCUCGAUCGGAAUAUAACUUCAACAUCGAUGCAUCCGCCAUCGUAUCGGCUAUCGGACGCAUCAAAGAUACCCAAUGGCCUCGACCCAUGCAGACCGAUCCGGCCCAAAGGAAUCCCAAUCAAAUAUGCGAGCUCAAAAUGGUAUAUUGUUUUCAAAAAUACUUAAAUAUAUGUGUAUCUAUCCAAGCUCAAAAUGUUAUAUAGUGUAAUGGUAUUGCGUGCACCUUUCUAAGUGAGACUAUGAGUUCAAAUUUUAUGUCAUUUUAUUAUUUUUUCCUUCUUGUUUUCCUAGAAUUAGAUGCUCAUGGGAGAUGAGUAUAUCUGGUGUCACUUUUUGCGUACUAAUUAAGUACUUUUGUUUUCUUUGUUUGAUUUAUUCUUUCAAAAUGAUCACAUAUUGAAAUUCUUAUUCUUCAUUUUUUACCGUAUAAUCUUAUAAGUAUGAUUAAAUGAACGGUAAAGGGUCAAAAAUACCCUUUUACUAUCGACAAUUGUUUAAAGAUACCCUCCCUUAUACUAAUUGAGCAAAAAUACCCCUAUCGUCUUACUAUUGAAUAAAUAUACCCCCAAGUUAACAGAGAGGCCACGUGACAAUCAUUUAAGCUAUUUGAUCCAUCCGGAUUUAUAUUUACAGUAACCUGACCCAAUAUCCGGUACCCACCCUAAAAAUUACACUUAUUCAACCACUUUUAAAUAUGAACCUAACUUUUUGGUCCUUACUUCAUCUCCUUCGUUGAAGCCUUUUAUAUACAAAUGCACUUUUAAGAACUCAAGAAAUGAAGGUCCAUCUCUAUUUGCACGUCCACAUUGAUAAACCCAAGAAAAGAAAGAUUAAAUCUCCAUAAGAGUAAAAGAUAUAAACUGUUUAUAUUUCUAAUCACUUAGAUCUAGUUAUUGUUGGCAACUUUUUAGAGUGGUAAUGGAUGACGAAGGUGAGUUUCUUUCUCGCUAAUUAUCCAAAAAUCCGAAAAUAAACCAUAUAACAAUAAGAAGAAGAAAUCAACAGAAAUUCAAUCUGAGAAUUUAAUUGCUGAAAAAUUUGUUGAAGUAACAUCAUGAGGGAUGAACGGUGUAAGCUUGUGCAACCAUUAGAAUUCGGGAAACAUGUGGAGAAGAAGAGGUUAGCUUUGAGACCAAUUUAGAGUAAAAAUAAUGGAAAAGACAGUAGCACUGAAUUAUUUGAAAGUGUAAUGACAAGGAAUCCAAGAUCAACGGUCUAUGAAGGUUGAUUGGAAGAUAUUACAGAGUUCUUUGGUAGUAUGAUUUAUGAAGCCUUUGCAGCUAAAAAUCUGAAGAUAUGAUUAUGUUUUUCUGGAUUGAAGACUUGGGGAGGGGUCGUUGUGAUGUUGAAUAAGGGUUUAAUUUCUAGGGUGGAUACUUGGUCUGGGUCGGGUCGGUGUAAAAAUAAAUUUGAAUGGGCCAAAUGACUUAAUGACUGUCACAUGGCCCCUCCGUUAACUUGGGGUAUAUUUGUUUAAUAGUAAGACGAUAGAGAUAUUUUCGCUCGAUUAGUAUAAUGGAGGAUAAUUUUAAACAAUUUUCGAUAGUUUUUCGUUAAAUGAAAUGUGUAUAUUAAAGCUAGUAACAAUGGAUGAUGUAGCAUAUAGUUAAUGAGUUCAAUUUAUCCCAACGUUUUCGACAUGGAUUAUAGAUAUAGAUGUAAGAAUAUUACUUUCUAAAAAAUAAUAAGUUUGAACUUAUAUUUUCAAAAAUAUAAUGGAGGAAAUAGUGAGAACUAAAGGUUAAACCCGUAAAAUUUAUAUCCUGGAUUCACUUCUUCAUAAUAGUGCAAUCAUCUUCUCAAAAUCUUGGAUACACCUCUGUCCUCCUUUCUUGUUUUCCUUCUUCCUCCUCUUUCUUGCUCUUCUUCCAAAAACUUAUGAGCACACUAGCUAAAAUUAAAAAGAAUGAGAUGGGUUUGUAGAACAUUAAAUAUCCAUGGCUUAUUUGUAGUUGUAAUUGAGUGUGUAAUAUUAAAUUGAGCUUAUAUUGUCUAUCCCUAUUGAUUUUGUUUGAUUGAAGAAAAAUUAAAGAAUGUCAUUAUUAAAUUUGGUGAGCUUGAUAAUUUUUUGUUAAACAAGACAAAGUAGAUCUAUUAAUUUUUGAAUGUUAGAAUUUGUAUUAGAAAGUUGAAUAUCAAUUUUGGCUUCACUUGGAUUCGUGUCAUGACCCAAAACUAUGUGACCCGCACCCGAUACAUUAUCUGACCCGAGCGAACCAACCUAUAUGAUACACCCAAACCAUAUGUAUGAAAACCAAUUUAAUUGUAGAAACUCUUUGAAAAUCAUAUAUAUAUAUAUAUAUAUAUAUAUAUAUAUAUUUUCAAGUUAAACGAUGGAAUAUUUGCCCACUUCGACAAUGCAUGAAGCAUCUCAUUAUCAUAAAAAUAAGAUUAAGUAAAAUAAAUAUCUUUUCAUGUAUGUCGUGUACAAUCCCAUUAAUACAACACUUCACAACUAUCUAUGAAACCUCUAUACCAAAGAAUAGAAUUAAAUACUCGGGUUAAUGCCCGACUAACAUAAAUUAAGAAAAUAACAUUAUAGAGUUGUUAGCAUGCCGUAUAUCAUAUCUCAUCCUAAAAUAUGUAAAGUAACUAGGGCCCUGGAGGAGAGCCCCCGAGGUUUAGUACACCAAUGCGGUACUCAAUAAGUGUCAUAGAUUCUCUCUAACUCAAGUUCCUGGGAUAAAAUUUUACAAAAAACUAUGCAAUCAUCAUUUGACAUAAAGUGAUAAACAGUUAUAUAAAUCAUGCUCUUUAUCAUUUUAAAUAAAAGGCAAGUAAAAUGUAAGUUAUGCUAUAAAAUUUUAGAACGUCUCUAUCAACACAGGAUUUUUAUAGAAAUCUUAUAAAACCAUUUUAAUCUCAUUAAAUCAUUGAAAUCAUUUUUGGCUCCUUAGGCCUAAACAUAAGAAAGCUCUCUUUUACCUUUCACUGGGAGUGUUAUACCGACACCGACAUAAUGAACAACUAUUAGGUGAUCAACCUAGCAACAAGCAUUUGACCCUACUUGUCUGGGAGACUUCCCGUAGUGCCAUACGAGUCGACUUAGCCUCAUUGCUUUAAGUAAUGAUCAUUUUUCCUCUCAAUGUAGGACUUUAUCCCACAAACCUCAGCUUAGCCUUGGAAUGUGUCCUAACAUCGGCACGUGUAGUUCCAUGGUAACGAACUCAACAUUCGAACCAAUUUCAGUGGUCUCCACUAGUAACUCCCAAAAUAUUUAACAUAUCAAAAAUAGAUUCAUAGCAUAAUCUAUUUUUAUCAAAUCAUGAUUUUCAUAGCAAAUCCAAACUAUUUGAACAAAGUUAAAUGAAUAAGCUUUUUCAUGUUAAAACCUUUAGCAAUUUAACCUCAAUCUAAAGAUACAAAAAGUGCUACCUUUAUUGAAAUUUCCAAAGACAAGCUUAUUCAUGAAAUAUAUCUUUAGCACUCAAGCAUUUUAUCAAAAUAUAAGUUUUAAUAAAACUUAUAAUAUUUUCCUUAAGCGUCAUUUUGCUAACAAGUUCGAAAAUAAGAUUUUUAUAAAAUUACAUGAUACUUCAUAAGAAAUAAUUUAGAAACACAUGGUGACAUCUUUCCCGCUUGUCCCCAAAAGUACGAAUGCACAUUUACAAAUAAUAUAAUAUAUCAACUCAAGACAUGAUUUUAAAGAGAAUCCCUCAAGAAGAGUAAGUCUUAAUCAACUUACCUCAAACUUCAAGCUCCAAAAAUACUAUAAUUCUCUAAUUGAUUAAAAUGCCCAAAUAUCGCCAACAAUUCGACAUCUACCAUUAAAUAUGCUAACAACAUAAAAACAAACCCGAAAAAAUUCAUAAAUAUCUAUUUAGGCUUCACAAGCCGGCAACAAACCUUCAAUCAUUCCAAAUUAUUCAAUAGGUUCACCCAUUAGCCUAUUCAAAUUUAUUUUUUAUCAUUUAAUACCCAUUUGGAGUCAUUAAUGAUAUUACGUAAAUUACCCAAUAUCAUCAAGUCAUUAUUCAUUGCCUUCUCCAACAAAACUCUAGGUUCAAGAACCCCAAUUUCAAGAACUAGUGUUGUAUCUUAUCCAAAUGGUUAUUUUCACUUCAAUUCGUUCAUCAAUUAAGUUAUCAAGUCUAUUGGAAUCAUUAGAAACUCAAGAUAAUUUCAUUUAUAUCAAUUCAUUACUAUUCAUCUUCUUCUUUGUCCAAAAUAUCAUUCUUAAGACCCACCCUUAAGGUUCAUACAAUAUCCCAUUACAACUUCAAAUAAAAUUCAUAAACAUGCUACUCAUACUCUAAUAUGUCAUAUAUAUGAAGCUCAAGCGAAGGGAUUACCUCUUGGUGGAAGAAUCUCAAUUUUCCUCUUUUUGGUGUUCUUGAAGAUUCAACCUAUUUCCUAUAGAUUUGACCCACAAUAAUAUUAGUUUUAUCACUAAAUGAUGUUAUAUAAUCAUCCUUAUACCAAAAUAACUUACCUUGAAGUAUAUCCAUGGUGGAAGAGCUCCUCCUUUUCUCUAGAAAUCAAUUUUAAGUUGAAGAACUAACUCUUUCUAUCUCUAAACCCCUUUUUCAGCACUUUUUAAAAUGACCCCUAAAGCUACGCAGCCUCUCUGCGUAGCCUAUGCAUAAACCCUACUCAGGAGGCCUUCCGUUGGCAAAAUCUAGAAUUGGCUAUGCAGGUUGCGGAGCCUGUUGCGUAGCUGCACUACCACCUUUUGAUAAAAAGGUCAUAACUCCUUGUAGGAACUUCCAAACGAUGAAGUGUUUGAAACAUUUGAUAGGUCAUACACCAUAUAACACUUCAUAUCUUGAGAGUUAUACUCGUUUGAAAUUAAGUCUUGUGCGAACUCAUUUAAAACUUUAGUCCAUCAUAUAACUUCCAACUUGACUUAGCCUUAGGACUUUUUUUUAGACCAUAAACUGUUUAUAAUAUACCUCAUACACAUAUUAUCAUGUUCAAAUAAUAUCAUUCAUAUCAUUAGCCCUUGCUCACACGUAAAUUAAUAUAAUUAGCACACGUCGAUCUUCUUUAAAGCCUUUAAACAUUUCAAAAUUUUCGGGGUUUUACAAUUUGAUUUUGACCAAAAUUCUGUUAAUUCGUCUAGACUUUAUAGCCAAAUUUUGGCGAUUCGUCCCAUCCGUCAGGAUUUGAUCAUAAAUCUCGGCAAUCCUUCUGGAUUGUGGCCGUAGCCAAAUUGUGAUGAUUCGUCCCACCCGCAAGUUUUUCCCAUCAAUUCUAAAUUCUGGCGAAUCGACCUAAUCCUGGUUGGAAAUCUGUUAUUUUGCAAAACCUUUCUUAAAUGAAGUCAAAAUUCAAAUAAUGGCACUGAAAUAAAGAAUUCAAUAACUUUGUGUUCCUGUUAAACAUAUACUUAAUAUGUUUCAACUUAUGUGGACAUAUUUUCUUUUUAGUUCGUGUAAAAAAGAAUGAUGACUUUCCAUAUUUAAAAAUAAUUUACCUUUAUGCAACGAUUUAUAGUUACACUAAAUAUAUGUGCCUUAUUUUGUACCACAAAUUUAAAAAUCUUCUCAUUUUUUUAAAAUUUUAUAUUCAGUCAAAUAGGUUCAAAGGAGAAAGUUUUGCUACAAAAUUGAAUCCGCACGUGGUCCCUCUAUCUGUAUUUGCAGCCAUCGGGUCUCUUUCACGUCAAAGCCAAUCAAUUUCCAUUUAUUCCUCAAAGCCGCGUAGGUGGAUCUUGUCCAUCACUUUCACCAAUCGUACAUUCUGCCCUGUUUCUUUUUCAUUGAGAUGGAAUUAACAUGGAUAGUAACUAUUCAAGUUACCUAUUUCAACUUGUUUGAAGUUGAAAUUGAGGAGUAGAUUUUAUUGUUGUUGGUGUUAAAUUACAACCCUUCAUUCUAUUUAUAUCUAUAGCAGAUGUUCUGCAAGCUGCAUCAUUAUCGUUUGGUAUAAUAUAUAGUAAGAAUUAUGGUAAUUAUAACUUUAUCCCAUAUUUGGUCUAAAUUUUGAUUUACCCUGUAUAAAGUUAUACACCAAUUUUGGUUUAACUUCGUACUACUAUCUAAUAUGGAAUAACUAAUCCAUGUAUAACUUAUACAUGGAUAAAAAAUAAAAAAAAGACAAUUAUCCAUGGCCAAUAAAAGUAAGCAUCCAAGGGUAUAAUUGUAAACUCAUUGCUUUUUAAUUAAAAAUAAAUAAAUAUUUUAACUAAUAUCUUGUAUAUUCAGUUUUAGUGCAAUACACCAAACACCCAACAAGAAAUAAUCUUUGUAUAACUGAUCCAUAUAUUACUAAUUCCUACGUAAGAAUUAUAAUUGUUUGUUAGAUCGGUUGUAAAAAUACUUAUUGUGCAAACAUUCAAUUCCGUGACAUAAUCACUGGGCAUUGUUUUGUGAAAGCGUCUGUUAUUCAACUAUCCAUGAUCUUUAUUUAUGAGCUCUAGGGCAUUUAUUCCAUGUAAUCCAGAGUGUAGUCACAAGCAUUAGACGCAACAAGAAAAAAUGGUAGGUUCAUGUAAAAUUUAGUGAGAAGUAAUAUUUUCAAAAAUUUAUAUAUCGGUUGUUACAAGGACCUCAACCUGAGUUAAAAUCUAAAAAUAAAUAAAAAUUUGCGGGCCUUAGCUUCUCUUGUCAUUCCCUACCUGCAGAAAUGGAGAAGAAAAUUCCUCUUUAGAUGUUUAAUGUACAACACACACUCCACAUCAAGAGGAUCCCAUAUACUAAUUCUGGAGCUUGCUUCAUUCCCCCAGGCCUUCAAAAAGAACAUGGGAACCUUAUUUGUUUGUGGAAUGCAGGAUCAUCUCUUUGGUGAAUGUCAACAUCCUUAAAACAACUAAGUCGAAGCUUCACCCAGGAAUAUUUCAGAACUGAUGCCAAUUUCUCCUUCUGGAGGUCGUCGUUUCCUCCCCGUAAUCAAUCAAAAUUAAUACAGCUAAGUCUAACCAAUCACUUGAAUCUAAUUCAACCUUAAAAAUAUCAAAAAUUAAUUCACAAGCAAUCUGAGGCAAAAGAUAGGCGCUUUGCAGUGAGAAGAUCACCCAUCCAUUCAUUCAUACAUCACUUGCCGCCCUUCAUAUGUAGGUUUCUCAUCCCGACAUUGACCUUUUCCACACCAGAUUCACUCUUCACCUCUGUUUGGUUUAGACUUUUAACGUUGAGCCAUGGGUGUUGCACGCACUGCUGAGCUGUUGGUCGAUUCUCUGGCUCAAAAUCAAGAAGGGGACAAAGAAAUUUGGCUAAUUCAUGGGCAUCAAUUUCAGAAAAUCUAAAUUUGUCAAUAAGUAAUUUUUCUAAAGACCCGUGCUUCAGCCUCCGGAUCCUCUUCAAAUCCCCAUAUUUGUCAAAGUAAUCUUUAGAGCGAGCCCCACCAUUGGCUAUCUGCUUUACCAACGGUAUUUAUCAGAUAUGAUGUCAACGAUUACUUGUCAAAAGAAUUCUUACAGGGUCACGAAAGCAAAACAAUGCGCUCACCUUCCGGGGCAUCUUUCCUAGAAGCUCCAUCAUCAUAGCAAGGUGAUCCUGAAACCAAAAAAGAUACUAAGAAAUACAUACAAGUGCUGCUUGUGAAAAACUUUUGAUUGUGCAAUAAAAUCCAUUGGAUAACUCCACUUCACAUGUAUAAAAAAAGCUGAUCUUAGAUCAAAAUAAACUUCGUAAACAUGUUAAUAGAAAGUGAGGGCCUUCUGCCCAUUCCAACCAUCCAGUGAUCCCCCAGUUCUCCUAGCUAAGAAGACGGAUAACAUUGAAACAAAAGGAACUGAGCACAAUAGUAACACCGAAAGAACAGGGUCAAAAAAGGGAUAGAUGAAUUUUUCCUACCUCAUCUUCACUGAAACCUUGUCCACCUUUGGGUGUGAACAUCAUCUCCCCAGUAGCAAGCUCAAAUACAAUACAAGCAAAAGACCACAUGUCAGCAGAGAAUGAAUAUCCAGACUGAAGUAUAACUUCUGGAGCUCUAUACUGCCGUGUUUGAAUUUCUUGUGCAAACUGCUUAUCAGCCCAGCAUGCAUUUCCAAAAUCCACAACCUUGCACCUUAGGUCAAUUCCAUCAAGACUUCUAUUUGCUUUCGCACCUCCCCCCACCCCACCCAUUGAAGCUCGUCUAUUAGAUAUCCUGGCUGCUGCCCUCCUUGCCCUUUGUUUUAGCUUUUUCUCAAUAAUAUUCAUUGUUGUUCCUCCAUUUGGGAUCCCUUCAGGCCUUUCAAGUAUCGGCGCUGUUCCCGAUCUAAUUGGAUCCUUUGUGGCAUUAAUCGUGGAAAGUAAAAGAACAUUUUCAAGUUUUAGAUCUGUAUGAAUAAGUCCAAGUUCCCUGUGCAAAUAAUCUAGACCAGUUAGAAUGCACUUGCAUAUUUCCCUAACUUUGUUCAGUUCAAGGCCUUUAUAACGAUUAUAUUUGACGAGGUGCAAUAAGCUGUCACCAAGAAAUUCAAGGACCAUGCAUAAAUGCUGUCCAUUUGGACCUGUAUGCUUAAAAUGGUCAAUAAGUCUAACAACAUAUUUACUAUUAGAGGGAUCACCGUCGGCGAUAGCAGAAAGUAUUUCAAUUUCGUGAAGAGCAGCUUGAGCAAAUUGUGGCGCACUUUUCUGGAUCUUCAAGGCUACAAAUCCCUACCCAAAACAAAUUUAAGUAUAUUAGACUUCAUAGUCCACCAAGAAAACAAUUCAAAAAAUCUGUAAGACUUCAAAACCAUCCACAAUGAGAAUACACAAAAGGAAAUCUACGGCACAUUCUUGUUGGAGAUAGAUUUGAAACCAGAUGUUUUUGAAGCUUUUCAUCGCCUACUAGGUGGCUUACCAUUAGAUAGACAAUGAAUAAAAAUAUUCUCCAAAGAAGAGCAAUUCUAUGUGAUUAUUCUACAUAAAUAAAAAAAUAUCCUUGAACUUCCAUGACGAAGGAAGCUAAUGGAUUGAUAUUCUAGCUCAGAAAAAUAUCCUUGAACAUAUGUUGGCUGUUGACUCCAAACCAGGUCAAAUGCCCCCCAAAAUAAAUGCUUUUGACUUGGAAACAUUCAAACUUCUCAAAUUAAAUUGUAGCUCUAUAGAGCUCAGAAUAUUUCAUUAAAAUAAAUCAUGAAACAUUUGGAGAUAAAGUUCAUUCCAAGCAUUUUUUACCCUUUAUGAUGGGCCAUAGGUCCCCAAACAGUGUUUUAACUGCAUGCACAAAAUUAUCCUCAGCAUCAAGGACUUAAAACUGCUGCUUGCGUAAGAGAUCUCACAACUUGAAAAAGAGACCUCAUAUAUGUAUCACAUUCAUCACAAACAAAAGCAUAUAUAUACCAAGUCUGACACCAUAAAGAACUGGCGACAAUGGUAAUGAUUAAAAGCCUAAAACUGAAUGGAGAUUAUUUCACUGUGUAAGCAGUAACAGACAUAUACUUGCUCAACCUGGUUGGUAUAGACAAGAAGCGUGAAGAGAAAGAAAAGAAAAGGAACCCUACUUGAGGCCUAGUGUAAUAACACUUCAGCUUUGUUAGGAAAGUCGGGGAGGGUGUCAAGUAACUAUCACCAAACAUAUAGAGAUGCAAAAACAUGUAAUACCAUCCAAAUAAACAAGAAGAUAGGUAAGGCUGAACCUGAUCAAAGUGGAUAAGAAAAAUAAUUAGGAAUAGGCAUUCCGCAUUCGGAUAUCUUGAAAUGCAGCAUAAGGUAGCAGAGUAGCAUAUGUUUGUGUGUCUUUCGGGGGGAAAGGGGAAACAUUGCCCUUGGAGAUCCUGACAAAAAGUCCUGUGCAACAACUCAGUAGCCAGAAUGCUACAAAUUUGAUCUCCAAUGUCCGACUUCAAAUCCCUGGCUGCUGCCAACUGAUCAAUCGACCAAUCAACUACUUCGCAAUCCUAAACUGGUCGGAAUCCACUAUACAAACCCUGUGUAUCCAUUCCGCUUUUUCUCCUAAAUCAGUAUCCAUCAUAGUUGGACUAUUUUUACUUUAGCUAUUGAUCUACGGCGACCUUCCUCCUUUAAAAAGGUCUAAGAGAGUAAGAGUAGCUCUGAUUUGUGGAACUCAAAUAGGUAGAGCUUCCCUCAUUAGCUCUAUUUUGGGAAAACAAAAUAGAACAGAAACGAUCUGGAAAAUAUCAGACAUCCAAACUAGUUGUUUGCUUUUGUAAUUUGUAUCUCCCAAAAAAGAAACUAGGGAAAACCGAUAGCAAUAUAAAAACUAAAUACUCACUCCUCUCAUUCAACUUGCUCAAAUAGAAUCCUCUACGACAAAAAUUCUUAAUGAAUUCAACAUAUAUCCACCGAUGGUAUCAGGUCGCAUGUACCGUUGUAGCAGGUAACUUGACUUAUUUCAAGUUACAAGUACCACUUUUUGUGGAGGGUUACUUGUAAAUAUCUCUUAAGAAACCUGAUAGUGUAAAAAUUUGUUUAAGCUGUCCCGUAUAUAAAACUCAUUCUUAAUUAACAUGUGGCAGUUAUUAUCCACCAAUUGAAAGGUACGAUUACUGAAUCAAGGUGUGAUCCAAUUUGAUUAAUCAUAGAGAAAAGAAUAACUAUAAUCGGUUGCAUAUUCCAAAUUGCAGUUCACUGAUAAAUGCAUCUCUAGUAAUGACUUAGCCACAAACAAAGACGAUCUUCAUCACUUAAGAUUAAACCUUAGGUCACAAAACUUUUCACUAAUCGUGAAAUAACAAGAGCACUAACGAUCUCAAAUAAGCAUAUAUUUUGAUGAACUCACACAAAAUCUGUGUAAAACAAAAUCACGGAAAUGAAAUGAAAUGAAAAGAGGAAAGAGUACUAAUCAAUAAAUUUCUUUUUAAUCAAAAAAGGAAGAAUUUUUUGAAGGAAUAAAAAAGACUUACGGACGAUCGAGUAUCGUAAGCGAGCCAAACGGUGGAGAAUUCACCCCAGCCGAGUUUUCGCUGAGCGAUAUAUCGGCCGCCGGAGAAUGAAUCGCCGAUUCUCACCGCAUGAUAUCCUCCUUUUCUGUAUGAAUCCAUUCCUUCAUCUUCAUCUUCCGAUGCCGACGAUGACGACGGUGAACAUGACAUGGUCGGUGAAUGGAUCAAGCCUGAUUUACACACAGUGCGUGUGAUCUACAAAAUUACUAAAUAUGUUUAUCGUUUGAUUUGAUUGAUUCUUAAAUUUGAUGAUUUUCGAUUAGAGAAGAAGCAAAGUAGAAUUCUCGUGGAAAAAGCUUUAAGAAUGAAAGGGACAGUGCGUUAAUGAGGGGUAUAUGUGGCCUUCAUUACCAUAUUCUCUCCACUUUUUCCUCUUUUCCUCUUUUCCGCCUUCCCUAUAAUUUUCUCUUUAUAUGCUACUAAUUCGUUUCAUCUUUUAUUCAAAGUUGCGACUUUUUUUGUUAAUUGAAUUGGAACAUCCAAAGUUUAAUUAAUACUACAAGCUAACUAUAGUAGACUAACUAUCCAUUUUACUUGAUUUGAAAACAUUUUAUUGAAAUAUGUAAUUACUUACUCAAUUCACUUUUACAUGUCCAUUAUAUUAAAAGACUGUUUGAAAGUGUUGAAAAUUAUUUGUAAGUGUUGAAACUGAUAUUUUAAAUAAGCAUUUAUGUGUUUGGAUAGAAGUGCUACAACUAAUAAUAAGCAGUUGAUAUAUUAAGUAAAACAAUGUUGAUAAACUAUUCUUAUGUUAAAAUGACUAAAAUACCAUUAAAAACUCUACAAAAGAUUAUAAACUAAAAAGUUCUUUUUGUAAAGAAAAUGAUGAACAACCAACAUGGAAUGAAGAAAAGGUUAGGAAAAAGUAUUGUGAAUUAAAAUUAUUAUUAAAGAUAAAUUAGUAAAAAUCUUGCUCAGACUAAAAGUCUUAUAAGCUCAAAAAUCAUAAGUUGGGGGUGACCAACUUAUGAUUUAUGACUGAUUUUAACUUAUAAGCACGGUACAUACGUCAAAAGGUGCUUAUAAGCUUAGCCAAAUAGCCUCUAAAAAUAUAUUUCACUUUUACUUGUCUAUUUUAGCAAAUCAAAAUAAACACAACCUUUUGUUUUCAUGUUUUUCCCUUAUAAUUAACUACUCAUUCCCCGAAUUAUUUUUCAAGAUUUUUUCAAAUACUAUUAUUAUUAUGGGUAAAAUUAUAAAUUACAUGCUUCAUUAUUUUUUUAAAGGAAGUGCAAAGUCAAAAGUAAAUGAUAAAAAUAAUCAGAAGGAGUAUUAAGGUUCUUUUAACACUAAAAAAUUAAUUUAUUUUCUAUCGAUAUAUAAAUUUUUACUAGUAUUUCUUAUUGCAUAUGUGAAUUUUUUUCUAUUAUUUCACUAAAUUUACAUGGAUUUCAAGAGAUGAUAGGUUUUUGUAUACAACUUCUUUUCAUGUCAUUUUAUGUAUACCUCGUUUCGCUUUUAACAUAUUCAGUUAUUCAUGGUUCUAUACAUAGAAAUUGAUGCUUUCCAACAAAAACAGUAUAAUACCUAACCAAGUUAUCUCAAACGAUUAUUAUUGGUUAAAAAGUACCAUGAGUUUUUGCUAUCUCAAAUAAUAGAAGUUGCAAUGUUGGGAACGUCUAGGAAGUAAAAGUUUCCUUUUUGUAGAUAAUGCAUUUUCACUCUUUUUCUACUUUUAUGAUUUGCCAUAUUAGAGGAGUUUUUGGAGGGUGGGGGAGGGUUGAAAAGCAGUGGCGUGCGUUAGGUAUUUGCGUUAGAAUUAGUUGAGUUAGAGUAAUCAUUUGUUGGGGGGAAGUCGUAAGAUUUGAGAACUCAGCCAACUGCCAAAUUGGGCAUUAAUCUAAUAUGAGAAAAAUGAUGUUCAUCAUCCCAUUAAUCCCAUGCGAGACUUGGUAGAUUUGAUAAUUUCCUCCACGCAACUAAAAGUUAGUUGUUUAUCUCUUAGUAUAUAUUUGUGGCCUUACUUUUUGUUUAAAUCAUUUAAAGUUGUGUUGGACAAUAUUAUAAUGUCUCCCGUUGAUUUGGAGGGUGAUCAUUCAUAUAGAUGACCUGAGACCGAUCCCCCCUCAAUGCCUUCUGGGUUGAGCUUGUCGCACCCUUACCCAAUGCGCACAGAGUGCUCAUCCGAAGGGCAGGGGUUGUAGCGGCGGCGAAUUUUUCUGGAAGUUUCCAAAAAAAAAAAAAAAAUUAUAAUGUCAUGUCAAUAUCCUAUCAUAUACAGAAAAGCUAUAUUGUAUAACCUUCUUUUAUACGGAAGAAAAUUUGAUUUUUUAAAAGUUCAACUUCUUAAAUUACUUUUAUUUUAAUGAAGUGUCAAUUCUAAUAAUGAUGCAAUAAGAAAGUAGGAAUUGAAAAUUUGGGAUGAGAGAAUAUUUUUAUUGUCUUUCACUUUCUGUAUAUUAAUUUAUAAUGUUUGGAUAAUGUUUAUAAUAGUUGGGAAUUUUUCUUUUGUCCUUUUUCUAUCUUGUUAUGCCAAUAUAUAAAAGAAUUGGUCGUUAAUUUUAGUAAUAAAGAGAGAAAGCACCUUGUAUUAAAAAAACACGUAGUAGUAUUAAAAUUUGUGUAAACAACAAAAGUUAAAGUGAAAAAUGGAACUUAGUGCGAUGUAUGACUAGUUUUUUUAUGUAUGAUGUAUGCAUGUAAAAUUUGAAUCUCCAAAUUUUCUUACCACAAAAUGAUAGACUACUCAAUCUUAUUAUGGUCGAAAUUACCGUUUGACCCAAAAAAAUUGAUUUUGUCUCUCCCAAUUAGAUUUAUUUAAAGAAAGGUUAAUCUUAGUUAAAAAUAAUAUCCAAAGAUGGAGCUACGUGUGUCAAAACCAAUAAAUAAUGUAUCAUAUCCGGAUGUAAUAAAUAUGAGCCGAAAUAGUGAUAUUCAAUGAUCUAAAAAGAUGAAUAUGACAUUAAAUAGUAAUAAAUGACAUUCAGGUAAAUAAAUCGUAUGAGUCACUCAUAAAGGGAUGAGAUCAGUGAAUAUUCUUCAUGACAAUGAUGAAUGAUUGAGAAACCUUUUGAACCUUCGUGAUGCUCUUGGAUCAGGUAGAAAUAUCGGACAAGAAUCUUGGUAAAAAGGUUAUUUUUGUAUAUAUGCGAUAAGACUAGAUUCUCUCUUACAAAGUCAAUGUAUUCUUUACAAAUCUCCACCCUCCCCCCUCCCCCCCCCCCCCCCCAUAAUUGUGUCUUUUUCUAUUUAUAGGGAACAUGUUCGUAAAAACCCUAAUAGUACAAGUGCAGAGAAUAUAUACUAGAAUAUUCUCUUUAAUGUCCUAUCUUGAAACUAGCUGUUAUAACUCUGUCAAGGAUAUUCGACCUCAGCCUCGAUCCUUGAUGACUCCUCGAUCUCAGUCCUUGCUGACUCUUUGACCACGACCUUUAUUGUUCCUUAAACCAAUUCGACAUGUGGCGGCCUCAAAAUGUUUCGCUAAUGCUAUCCGGACUUAAGUGUUCUAGAGAUAGAUUUUGACAUAUACAGUUCGUCUCUCCGACUUUGCGGGCGGGUUCGAUGAGCGGAUCAUGUUAUUGGUGGUCGAGCUAAUCAAGCGGACUACACGGGUUGUGGUUGUUACAGUGAGCAGGCGAUGUAUCUCUCUGUGGGCCGCACAUUUCAAAUGCUUCGAAUUUUCCGGGUGAUUUGCUGGAGUUAUAUUGUCCACGGGUUAGGAUGACGUCAUGCGUCAUAAUGGUGCAUAUUCCCGAUGUGUCGCUUCAUUUCGCGUGUGACCUUUGAUUAGACCUGUCGCUUCGGUUUCGGUGCCAAUCAUGAUGAACUAUUUUGGGUUGGUGCCAUGACUUUUAUAAACAGAGAUCCUUGAACUUGAUUUUGGAGUUUAAACCCUCUAAGGUUUCGAAACACCACACCUUUCUCUUGCUCUCUUCUUCUCCGAAUUUCUUUUCUCUGUUUCAUUGACCUAUAAGGUUCUACUAUGUUGAAUCAUGUCUAACGUAUCUUCUGAUGCUGGUGAGGGGAGUCAUGUUGCUCCCUUGGCAGUGGUGUUCCCCUCCCAUGGGGAGAGCGUUUAUGCUAUUUUUGAGGAUGAAACCUUCCCGUCGGGGGAGGAAAUAAUCCCGCAUAAUCCUGAAUCCAGGUCAGACCUUACCAAAGUACCAGACGUCGCACUUAGAGUCUUUAAAUCAACAAUGACGCCUAAGGAAUUGGUGGAACUUAAGGCCAAAUUCAGCUUUCUAAACCAUGUUGAGGUGAUCCCGGCUGAGGGGGACGUAGUACAGGUCCAUCACUCUAGGUACUGCGCUCUUUAUUCCUACUACUUCCUCAUCGGCUAUUCUUUUCCCCUACUCCUACUAGUGGAGGAAUUUUGUCGUCAUUACAGUGUCUGCCCGACUCAGCUUGCACUGUACGUCUACAAAGUGAUUAAGAUGUUGACCUAAUUCUCCGAGCUGGCUGGGAUCGAGCUAGCGCUACGGCACUUGAUACAUCUAUUCGCCCCUGGCUUUUAUAGGGGGGCGAUGAUGUACCUUUGCCACCAAGGAGGCAAAUAUUUGGUGGUGAAGAUGGACUACAAAUCUAAUCGUCAGUUCUGGCUUAACUUCUUCUUCGUCAGGACCGAGGACGUCAUGGCCUUUCCUAAAACUUCGAACUAUACUCGUGAGUGCCCUGUUUCUUUCUACGUUUGUUUGGUCCUAAAUUUUGAUUUUUUUACUUUUCUCUUUUGCAGCCAACGGCCAGCCUCCCCCUUUGUCUGCUCACAUCUCUGACUAGGUCGAGCGACUCCUCCCUCACAUCGUAAGGAUCCGUGAUUGGACAAGUUUUUUCAAGAAAUUCAAGCCUGCUCUCCCUUCGACUGGUAAUUUCUUUUCUUUGAUCGUGGUUGUUCCAUUUCCUAUUGUGUAUGGAUUUGUUUUGCUAAAUUCAUGUUGUCUUUUUCUCAGGCAGGGGAUCUUCUCGGAGGUGUCGGGUACCAGUGCCAUUUUUUCGAAGGACGGUUGCUGCAUCUUCGGCUUCCAUUCCUGUUGCGCCUACUACGUCUUCUGUACCGGUCUUAACCUCAACUUUCGUAGUUCGACAGCCCGUCUCCGUUCCAUCUACAACUUCUGCUCCCCAACUCUUUUCACUAGUUGAUGAGGACGACGUCUCUCCUGAUAGUAGUGGUCUAAUGCCUCAUAAGAGGAGAGUCGUAGAUACGGGGGGGAGAGAGGCCGUCAGCAUUGAUGUGGGAGAUUGUGACUUUGUUCUUCGAGAAAUGGUCACAGUGCAUAUUGGAGAGAGCCCUGAGGCAAGUCCUGAGGCCCCUCACUUGGAGGAAAUAAGCACGCGUUCUGUGAGGGACACAGCCGAUGGCGAGGUGUAUAAUGACGGCCCUACACUUCCGAGGCGCAAGGAGGCCUCAUCUUCCAGUCGUGGUGGACGUCCCUUCUUCGAUAGAUGAUAGAAGGAAGGUAGUCACUGAGGAGGACGUUGGAUCUAACUCCGACAUGGAUAUGGACGAGUUGAGGAUGAUCGAUAACAGACUCACUCAACUCGAAGUGAGGUUGGAAGGGGGUUCAAGGACUAUUGCGAUCCCGAUGGAUCGUAAUCUACUUGUAAACACCAAUGAAAUAGUCCCUACCAUUGGUCCUCUUUGAUCUGAAAUUGAGGGUACGACCUUCGAGAUGAUAGAUGAUAGCAAUUUGUCUAAUAACAUUGCUGGCCUUGCUCUCCGAGUAAGUAUAACUGUCGACCGUUCUUUUCAUUUUGUUUUGCUUUCUUUCGUAAGCUCUAAUUUCAUUUUGUAGAUAGUUAUUUUGGAGAUCGAGAGUGCUCGUCGGGAGCAGAAACGUAAAGAUAUUUACGUGAAGUUGAAAGACAUGUAUUUUAAAUGUCUUGAAAAGUAUCGGGAGUACCAGUGUCGGCUCCGCGAGGGUGGCAAUGUACGCCAGCUGAGGGAGGAUUUGAAGGAGAGGGACGAGGAUUUAAUGCGGGUUGUGGAGAAAUGCAGCAUCUUAGAAGAGAUUUUGAGGGCAAAGGGGCGGAUCUCGAGCUUAGCAGGGGCGUAGAAGCCCAAUGUAGUGAUCUCCAAGCCCAAGUGGUCCUGCUGCAAGGCCAACUCAAAGAGUGUCAGUUCAGGGCGAAGGAUCUUAGUGACGAGUUGCCGAGAAGCAAGAGGAGCUAGAGAAGGCGGAGUCUGCUCGGUCGGAAGCUCUGGGGAGGGCGGAGUCCCUUGAAGUGGCGAUCCGAACUCUUUGUUCUGAGCGAGAAAAUGACUUGUCGACGGCAAGGCUUAAAGAAUAGUGUCUUGAUGAAAGGAUUGGGAAGUUGGAGAAAGAAACCUCUGACCUUUAUAAUCGGGUUGCUGCUCUGGAGGCUGAGAAGGCCAAACUACUUGAUCAACCUUCUUUAUUUGCGGGUUCUGGCUUCCCCAACGUUCCUUACGAGUUGUAUGAAGAGUGGAUUCAUGCUGAGGUCUGAUUGGAUGUGCUUCGUGAGUUACAUGUAGCGGGCUCCGUUCCUGCCACAUACUUUGAGGAUGCUCGUGUCAAGCCUCGCGAUGCUCGGAUUGCUGGUGGCUAUAAUUCGACUACUCCUCGUCAUGGUGAGGAUGCCAUAGAUCACCUCGAGGACGAGGCCUGGUAUGAUUCCAUAUACCCUUCGGGCGAGGAUGGAGAGGGCGUUGAGGGUCAGACCGAUGAAGGUGUCACGGGUCGUGAUGGUAGUGAUCAACAGUAGUUCUUUUUUGCUUUUUCUGAAGUUUUUGUGUAUUUUUGCUGGCAUCUUUAAGAGACUUUGUAAGAAACCUUCGUUUAUAAUAUCAAAGUUGGCUUUUGCUUUUAUUUGCACCUUUCUUAUUUGUUGUGGUUUAUUUCUAUACUUUGCAUGUUUUUCUCCUUCAUGCUUUUGUCAUUGUCCUUGUAUAUUUCAAAUUUUAUCGGAACGAGGCCGAGGAUUAAUAGGCAUUAUUCGAACUUGGUCAAAUCUUAACCUCUCUAAAUCGCGGACGAGGGCCGGUAGGUGUUUUUCAUACUUAGUCGAACUUAUCUUUUAUUAAUCUCGACCGAGGGCUGGUGGGUGUUGUUCGAACUUGGUCGAACUUAUCCUUUUAUUAAUCUCGGUCGAGGAACGGUAGGUGUUGUUUGAGCAGGGUCAAACGUGACCUUGUCUUAGUCAUGGUCGAGGUCCAAUAGGUGUUGUUCGAGCGGGGUCGAAUAUAACCUUUUCAUAGUCAUGGCCAAGGGCCAAUAGAUAUUAUUCGAGCGGGGUCGAACAUCACCUUUUCAUAGUCGUGGCCGAGGGCCGAUAUGUGUUGUUUGAGCGGGGUCGAACAUGACCUUUUCAUAGUCGUGGUCGAUGGCCGAUAGCUGUUGUUCAAACGGGGUUGAACAUAACCUUUUCAUAGUCAUGGCCGAGGGAAAAUAGGUGUUGUUCGAGCGGGGUCGAACAUAACCUUUUCAUAGUUGUGGCCGAGGGCCGAUAUGUCUUUAUGAUGAAUGUACGUUUCUUAUUACUUUGAUGUUGCUGCUCUGAUUACAUGAUUGGAGAGAGUUACAGAUUUUUUGGGCAUUGGCUGGCAUUCCAGUCCCUAGUCCUAGUCUAUCUAGUCCCUUCAUUGCUUGACUUGGAGAAUUUUGAGGAGUUGGGAAAUGAAAGAGAAAAAAUAGCCCCUCCCUCGCAUACUUUGACUCGAAGCGUUCCUUUUACCGCCUCGUUAAAAACCUCCUUGAGAAAACCCUAAUGGGACAAAACUCAAGUGAGGGAAAAAGAGUGCGGGUAGGGGGCACAUUUUCUCUUAGAAGUUGAAGUAUUUGAGGUGACUCAUGUUCCAAUUGUUUGGUAAUUAUUUUCCUUCCAUUAUCUCUAAUUGGAAUGAACCCUUGUUUGCUUUGGCUGUGAUUUUAUACGGACCGUCCCAGUUUGUUCCUAGCUUGCCUUCUCGUGGGUUUUUGCUCGCUUGAGUUUUGGCCUUGAGUACAUAGUCCCCAACUUUAAGCGGCCGGACCUUUGCUUUCUUGUUAUAAUAACGUUUUGCUUGCUGUUUUUGGGUGACCAUCCUUAUGUACGCCAAAUUUCUUCGUUCAUCAAUUUCAUCGAGUUCCUGCUUUCUACUCUCAUCAUUACCAGUACCGCUUUUGUGGGAGUAUCUUAGAUUGCACUCCCCGACUUCGACUGGUAUAACUGCUUCAGUCCCACAGACCAAAGAGUAGGGUGUCUCUCAUGUGCUCGUCUUUGGGGUAGUUCUAUACGCCCAUAAUACUUCUGGCAGUAUCUCCGGCCACAGUCCUUUGGCGUCUUCGAGCUUUAUCUUCAUGAUGUAAAAUAUGGACUUUUUGGAGGACUCUACUUGUCCAUUACCCGCUAGGUGAUACAGGGUCGAUAGUAUCCUCAUGAUAUGCCAUUUCUUGAAAAAUUCAACGGUUUUCUUUCUCGUGAACUAGGAUCCGUUGUCGUAGUUGAUUUCUUUAGGUAGGCCGAAUCGGCAGAUGAUAUUCCUCCAUAUAAAGGUGAUUACCUCGUGUUUCUGUAUUUGGGUGAAUGCUCCUGCUUCCACCCAUUUAAAGAAAUAGUUAGUUUAAACCAAAAGGAACCGUAUAUUACCUCGCCCUGUUGGGAGGGGGGCCAUGAUGUCCAUUCCCCAUUUGAUGAACGGCCACGAGGAGGUGACUGAGUGGAGGUGUUCGCCUGGUUGGUGAUUCAUUGGGGCAUACUUUUGGCAUUGUUCGCAUUUCCUCACAAAGUCUAAGGCGUCCUUUUUCAUGGUGGGCCAAUAGUAUCCUGCCCGUAUGAGGCAUCUAACGAGUGCUCGAUUGCCGGAGUGAGCACCGCAAUUGCUUUCAUGGACUUCUUCGAGGACGCGUUGGGUAUGGUUAGGGCCAAAGCAUUUUGUUAGAGGGCAUCCGUAAGUCCUCUUGUACAUGUCGCUAUGGAGGAGACUGUAUCUGGCUGCUUGCAUUAUUAGUUUUUUGGCUUCUUUUUUGUCGUUUGGGAGUGUGUCGUCCUGCAAAUAGGCAAUAAUACGAUUGUGCCAAUCCCAAGUUAAGCUUAUGGUUCUUACCUUGAUUUGGUCUAGUGAUGAGUUGAGGAGGUGGACUACACUUUUAUCUUCGGCCGUGAUGCUUUUGGUAGAUGCGGCCAACUUGGUGAGGCCGUCUACUUUGGCAUUCUGCGCACGCGGGAUCUGGUCGAGCUGUCAUUCGUCGAACUCGGGCAACAGCAUACAGAUCUCGGUCUGUUAUUUUUGCAAUAUUUGUUCUUUGAUUUGGAAAGUCCCUGUAACUUGGUUAACCACGAGUUGGAAAUUGCAGUGGAGUUUCAACCGCUUCGCCUCGUACUUGAGUGCUAGUCUCAAUCCUGCAAUUACGGCCUCAUACUCGGCCUUGUUAUUAGUCAUCCGGGCACCUUAUGGACUGUGAAUUACUUCGCCUGUAGGAACCUUGAGUACGAGUCCUAGUCUGGACCCCGAAGCGUUGGAUACGCCAUCAGUAUUAUCACGACCCCAAGUUCCCUCCGUAUGAUGUCGUGACGGCACCUAGACUCUAAGACUAGGUAAGCCUAACAACAUGUGAAAUAAUUGAAGUAUAACUUAAAAUCUCAAAUUUCAUCAAUUACAUAAAUAAAAUCUAUAACUCAAUAUGUACAACUCUCAAAACAUGGUGAAAUAUAAGUCACAAGCUCUAAUUUACAAAGUUGAACAAUCCUAUACAUCACUGUCUAUAAUAGUGUAAUAAAAUAAGGAAGAACAAGAUAGAAGGGGACUCCGAGGCCUACGGACGCGGGUAGGUGUACCUUGAAGUCUCCAAAGCAACCUCAGCUCACUAAUGCUGGGACUGAUAGGAAGUACUUGGAUCUGCAUAAAAAGAUGUGCAGAAGCGUAGUAUGAGUACACCACAACAGUACCCAGUAAGUGCCGAGCCUAACCUCGGUAGAGUAGUGACGAGGUCAGGUCAAGGCCCUACCGGAUAUAAUAAGAAACAAGACGAAAGAUAUAACGAUAUAAUGAAAAUGACAAUGAAAAUGAAAUAAUAAGGAAUUUACCAAAAAUUAACAACACAGAAUCAAGGCAGUUAAUACAAUACGAAAGGAAACAAGGAUUAACAUGUUAAGGAAACAAACAAUCAAGACGAAUACAACAAAUAGAGAAAGAUAAAAAAGGGCCACUACCGAGGUACCGCCUCGUAGUCCCAAAUAACAAAAGUAACUCACAGUAUUUCCUUAUAUCACUGCGGGAGCCUUUACAUUUAGUUUUGAAAAUUAUUUUUUCCGAAAUAGCACCCCGCGUUUUAUCCCAUCUUAUCACACAACAUGACUUCUAGUAGUUCCCCUACUAUCCACGUAUAUCAAGCCUACCUUAUCUCACCGCAUAUGUUUUAACACUCAGACCUUAUACUACCACAUGCGUAUCAAUAUCACAAUUCGCACCUGAAGUGCCCAAUAUAACAACUUGCCAAAAAAUCCAACGAUGACAGAAUUUCACAAUAAGGAGCCCACGGCUCAACCACAAUGUACACAAAGUCUCAACAAUAACAACCGGAGAGUAACUCAAUAAAAUGAUAUUUCACAACUUACACUUUGCCUCAAUAGAAAUCACGGCCUUUGCAACUCAAUACCAAAGUCAACAACAAGAUAUUCCAAGAAUAGCAAUUUUAAGUAAAGAAUUCAACAGUUAAAUUACGAACACGAAAUAAAAGAAAGCAAGUAAUUCAACUAAACAUGUAGGACAAGUUACAAAUAAGAGACAAGACAAGUAUACAUGUGAAAUUAGACUAAAUAUGAUGAUUAUAACAGGUUAAAGUAACUCAAUUAAAGCAUGAAAGGAACUACAUAGCUAAAAACCAAAAUUUUAAUAUUUAGCCCGUGUACACACUCGUCAACUUGUGUACACGGCCUUCACAUAUCAUAAUUAUCACAACAAUACCAAAUCCUAAGGGGAAUUUUCCCUCACACAUGGUUAGACAAGUCACUUACCUCAAAUCACACUAAAUCAAUCAACUAGAAGGCCUUUCCCUCAAUUUUCCAACUCUGAAUGGCUAGAAUAUAGCCAAAACAAUUUUAUACCAUAAAUAUAACUAUAAGAAACUAAUUCAAACAAUGAAAUUACGAUCUUUGCAAAGAAUUAAAAAAUCACCCCAAAAAGUCAACCCGGGCCCGCGUCUUGAAACCCGACCAAAAUUAUGAAACACCAAACACACAUUAGAUAUUGAGUCCAACCAUACAAGAAUUAUUCAAAUCCGACCUCAUUUCGUCUUUCAAAACUAAAAAUAUUAGCCUAAGGAAUUUCUACCAAUUUUUUCCAAUUUUCAACUCCAAAGCACCAAUUAAAUGAUGAAAUUAUCAAUAGAUUCAUGUGAAUUAACAAAAAUGAGUUAGAAUUAUUUACCCCAAAGUUCUUUCUGAAAAUACCUCGAACUUUCACGCCAAAUCGAGCUCUCUAAGUCCCAAAAUGAAUUAUGAAUCAAACCCUCGAAUUUUCCUCCUUUUCUGCCCAGUUAAAUCACACAUGCGAUCUUACUGCCGCAUCUGCGGCUCCGCACCUGCGGAAUUUCCAUCGCAGGUGUGGAUUUCACUUAACUCAGAAACUCUGCUUAUGCGGACAAGACAUCGCACCUACGAGUGCGCUCAUGCGGAGUAUUCUCCGCUUCUGCGAAGAAGACCAAGAAGCUUCUUUUGCAUCUGCGACCACCUCUCCGCACCUGCGGACGCGCAGAUGCGGUCCACUCCUCCCACUUGCGAUCCCAACUGGGCUAAUCCAUUUUAUCACCUGCGAUCACCAGCUCGCUUUUGCGAGCUCGCACCUGCGGUCAAUCCCUCCGCAGGUGCGAUGACACCAGAACAGCCCAGCUUCAGUAAUCUUAAAAAUUCAAACUUGUUCCGGAUUAGAUAUGAAUCACACCAGGGGGCCCUAAGACCCCGUCCGAAUAUACAAACUAGUUCCAAAACACAUAAAGGACCUACUCGAGGCCAAAAAUCACAUCAAACAACUUAAAUUCUAUGAAUCGCAACCCAAAUUCAAGCCUAAGCAACUAUGAACUUCCAAAUUCUGAAAGCAACGUCGAUUCAUACCAAAACAACUCCGAUUCACAUCAAACUUUGCACACAAGUCAUAAAUGACAUUAAGGACCUAUUCUAACUUCCAAAAUCGUGAUCCGGCCUCAAUAUCAAUAAAGUUCACUCUCGGUCAAACUUUUCAAAAUCUUCUAACUUUUGCCAAUUCACGCCGAAAUGACUUACAGACCUCCAAAUCAACAUCCGAAAAUGCUCCUAAGACCAAAAUCACCCUACAGAGCUAUUGGAACCAUAAAAACUCCAAUCCAGAGUCAUCUUCUCACAAGUUAAACUACUGUCAACUUCUACGACUUAAACCUCCAAUUUAGAGACUAUGUGUCCCAUUUCACUUCGAAACUCACCCGAAACCAAAACCAACCACCUCGGCAAGUUACAUAACCAAACCAUAUCAUAUAGGGAGAAAACUAUAGGGUAUUGAGGCUAAAAUACUCAAAAUAACUGGCUGGGUCGUUACAGGUAUAUAAGACCCAGAGGUCUUGCGUUUGGAGGGAAGUGUGGACGGCUUCCUUCUUGACUUCAAGAAUUAUCUUUGCACUAAAGUCUACGAUGAAUUCAGCAAUAACUUUCUACUUUAUCGAUGUUUGCAGUUGGUAUGUAAUAUCAUGCUCGCUUAGCUCGAUAGCCCACUUGGCCAGCCUCCCCGAUAGCUCGGGUUUAUGCAAAAUGCUUCUCAGGGGAAAUGUUGUAGUGAUCGAGAUAAGGUGGCACUGAAAAUUGGGUCUAAGCUUUUGUGAAGCUAUGACCAAUGCCAUAGCUAGUUUUUUGAGGUGUGGGUACCUCGUCUCGGCGUCGACGAGUGUUUUACUAAUGUAAUAGAUGGGAGAUUGCGUACCUUUGCUUUUGCAGAAUAGUACUGCACUUACUACUACUUCAAAGAUGGCUAGAUAGACGAUGAGGUAUUCCCGAGGUUCGGGCUUUGAAAGCAGAGGUGGUGAUGAUAGAUAUGCCUUCAGUUCUCGCAGAGCUUGGAUAUACCCGAGAGUCCAUUUGAGAUAGUUGUCCUUUAUGAGAACGCCAAAAAAUUUGUCAUAUCUAUCAGACGACCGCGAGAUAAAUGUCGAUAAGGUGAUGAUUCGACCAGUCAACCUUUGGACUUGUUUCUUGGUAGUCAAGAGUUCUCGUAUCCCCUCGAUAGCUUUGAUUUAGUCUGGGUUGACCUCGAUCCCCCGUUGUGACACCAAACGUGCAUUUUUAUAGAUUUAGUUUCAUUCUUUACCGUCUUAGUAUAUCAAAAGCUUCCUUUAAAUGAUCGAUAUAAUCCUCUACCUUUACGGACUUGACCAGCAUAUCGUCUAUAUAUACUUCUAUGGUCUUGCCGAGCUGGUCUUUGAACAUCUUCGUGACCAAUCUUUGAUAUGUGGCUUCUGCGUUCUUCAGCCCAAAUGGCAUGACCCUAUAGCAGUAUGUUCCCUUGUGGGUGAUGAACGUGGUUUUCUCCUGGUCCUCUUCUUACAUAAGUAUAUGGUUAUAACCUGAGGACGCAUCCAAGAAACUCAGCAGCUCAUGUCCGACCAUUGCGUCGAUGAGUUGGUCGAUGUGUGGCAACGAGAACGAGUCCUUUGGGUACGCUUUAUUUAAGUCCGUGAAAUCCAUGCACAUCUGCCAUUUCCUAUUUUUCAUUUUGGCCAUCACUUUGUUGGCGAUCCAUUUGGGGUACUUUGAUUCCCUGAUGGAACCAUUUUUUAAUAUUUUCUCCACCUUCUCGUGGACGGCAUCGUUGAUAGCGGGAUUGAAUUUACGUCUGGCAUGCCUUAUUGAGGGGUAGAACGGGUCGACAUUUAAUUUGUGUGUGGCGAUCUCCUUGGGGAUGACCGACAUAUUUGCAUGGCUGAAGGCAAACAAAUCUGCAUUAGUUGUUAAGAAUUGACAGAAUUUACCUGGAUCUCAAAGUUUGCAACUGAUGUAGGACUUUUUGCUAUAGUCAUUGGGGUUUAAUUUAACGAGGUCAGGGUCAUCUAUGGUCGAGUCCGUAACCUCGACCAUUUUGGGAUCCAUGAUAACGUCCUUAGUCUCAUCUUGUGUCGACCUCGGGCAUGUUGAUUGUUAUGCCUCUUUUUCUCUCUGUUUUUUUCUGUUGGGUUGUCGUGGUAUCUAAGGCAAUGCGGUAGUACUCCCGGGAUAUACGUUGUUCUUCGCGUAUGCUGAAUAUUCCCGAAGGUGUUGGGAAUUCAAUUACUUGGUAUAGGCUGGAGGGGAUAGCUCUCAUGGGAUGUAUCAACGGUCGUCCCACUAUGGCAUUGUACGCGGUGGCCUGAUCCAUGAUGUGGAAUAUCGUGUCCAGCGUCACGCCACCGGCCAAGACGGGGAGUGUAAUUUCUAACAUGUUGUACUAUUCCUAGAAAUCGUAAUAGUACAAAUGCAGAGAAUAUCUACUAGAAUAUUCUCUUUAAUGUCUUAUCUUGAAACUAGCCGUUAUAACUCUGUCAAGGGUAUUCGACAUCGGCCUCUAUCCUUGCUGACUUCUCGACCUCAGUCCUUGUUGACUUUUCGACCACGACCUUCAUUGUUCCUUAAACCACUUCGACACGUGUCGGCCUGGGAAUGUUUCGCUAAUACUAUCAUGACUUAAGUAUUCUAGAUAUAGAUUUUGACCCAUACAAUUACUAAAAUAGUUAACCAAUUGAAAUAGUUCACAUUAACAUUUCCAAUUAGUCACUGCCUAUGCGUGUGGCAAAUAUGAAAACUUGAGCAAUUUAGAUUUCUAGUUAUAUCACAAGAAAAAUUUAGACGUCUUUUUUCUUCUUGUGUAUUAUCUUCUCUUUUGAAAAGGAGUGACCUAUUGAACACUUAUUCUAAGCUAACUUGUGCCUAUUGAACACAAAUUUAACAAUCAUACACCAAAUUGAGUGCGGGGCAGAAAUAUACAGCCUAGUUAGUAGGAGAGAUGCAUCAAAAAGGAUCCUGAUUGGUCAUGUUAACUGCAGAAAUGCCAACCAGAACAUCAAUCCUUCUAUGUUGAACUCAUGAUAAGAAAGCUAUGACAAAUAUUACAACAUUCUGCUUAAGGUUCUAUCCAACAAUGUUGUUUUUUUAUUUAAAAAAUUCCUCUUUGACAAAUAGGUAGACAGAGAAAAAUAAAUUAAAAGGGAGCUCAACAUUCUUAAGAUAAACUCAAACUUUUAUUGUACCUAGCUCAUUUGCACAUUAAGUUUAAUUUAAAAUGUUAAAACUCUGCUCCAAACUUCAAGAUAAGUUUUAGACUUUUUCCCUGGCCUUUUAAACGACAAGUUUAGCUUUUGAUAUGGCACUUAAAAUUUUAGGCUGAAUACAUAGACAGCUCCUCAGAGUUGUUCAAACUUUUUAUUUCGACACUUGAAGCAGUGACCUAUUGAACACUUAUUCUAAGCUAACUUGUGCCUAUUGAUCACAACUUUAAUAAUCAUACACCAAAUUGAGUGCGUGACAGAAAUAUACAGCCUAGUUGGAGGGAGAAAUGCAUCAAAAGGCUCCUGAUUGGUCAUGUUAACCGCAGAAACACCAACCAGAACAUCAAUCCUUCUAUGUUAAACUCAUGAUAAGAAAGCUAUGACAAAUAUUACAACAUCCUGCUUAAGGUUUUAUACAACAAUGCUAUUUUUUUAAAUUUAAAAAACUCAACAACAACAACAACUCAGUAUAAUCCUACUAGUAGGAUAUGGGAAGGAUAGUUUGUACGCAGACCUUACCCUUACCCUAGGGUAGAAAAACUGUUUCCGAUAGACCAUCGGCUCCCUCCCUCUAAGAACUCCUCGCCUUACUCUUGAAAUGACUCGAACUCAUAACUUCUUGGUUGAAAGUGGAAAAUGUUCACUAAUAGAAUAACUCACUCUUGUCAAAUAAGUAAAUAAAGGAAAAUAAAUUAAAAAAGAAUCUCAACAUUCUUAAGAUAAACUCAAACUUUUAUUAUACCCAGCUCAUUUGCACAUUAAGUUUAAUUUAAAAUGUUAGAACUCUGCUCCAAACUUCAAGAUAAGUUUUAGACAUUUUCCUUGGCCUUUUAAACGCAAGUUUAGCUUUUGAUAUGACACUAAAAAAAAUUAAUUUUAAAUUGAAUACAUAGACAUUCCCUCAAAGUUGUACAAACUUUUCGUUUAGACACUUGAACGAAAGCAGUGACCUAUUGAACACUUAUUCUCAGCUAACUUGUGCCUACUGAACACAAACUUAACAAUCCUACGCCAAAUUGAGUGCGUGAAUAACACUUGCUCUUGACAUGGUAAAUAAAACAAACAAAAAAAGACAUGUCAGCAAACAAAAGUCAAAGUUCUGAAAAAUGAGAGAGAGAGAGAGAGUGGUCGGGAAAAAAAAAGUGGGCAGGAGGAGUUGGCCGAAAAAAAAGAUUCCCAAAUUUUCACCUCUCCAGCAAUAAUUUUUUUACAGUAACUAUGUCAAGUUUGAAUCUAAAGAAGAAGAAACUCCAUUAUCCUGGAAAGAAAAAAAGAGAAAGAGGAAGAAAAAUCUGAUCUGGAUCUUUCAAAAAGAUUCCCGGCGAUCUCCAUUUUUGCUGGCAGCAGUGUUUUUCCCCAGCGGCGAUGCUUCUUCAAAUCCACAAAUGGGCUUUAAUUAAACUUCAACCGCAACAAGAUGAGAACAAUAGUAUUAGAUCUUUUUUACUCUUUUCUUUGAUUGUUUAUUCCCAAGAUUUGGCAGAAACAUUUUUUACCAUAUUAGUCAAGGCUUUAAGAUAAAUUCCUUAGUCAUAACUCUCAAUUCUUUCCUGUGUUAUUACUCUGUAUUGCUAUAAUAAAUAAUUAAAUUUUUAAAAAAAAUAAAAUAGAGUAAUACUUGUUUAACGAAAUAGAUUCUGGAAACAAAAAACAGUAUAGGAAUAAAUCGAGCUCACUGAAUACACAGUGUAUCCUUAAGGAAAUUAUUCCCCUCAAGUACCCGAGGUGUUGAAAUAUAUCCUCCCAGGAUAUAACGAUUUAACUCACUAGUAUAUUAGUACCAAAAAUUCUGAUUAACUGCAAACCACUCAAUGGUCGUAAAACACACUAAAAUAUAUUGUGUAGAAGAAGAAGAAGCUUAUAAAAUUUCGUAAGGAAAGAUUCUGGGAUUCAAACUCUAUUUAUAGAGUUGCUGGCAUUGUUUCUGAAAAGGUUUGCAACCUUUCAGAAACAGUCAUGGCUGUUGGAAAAGGGGUGUUUGAAAUAUUGCGGGAAUUUUUUUUUAAAAAUAAUCCGGAAAAGAAAACGGGCCUGACCGAAUCGGGUCGAGGGUCAUGGGUUAUUCCGGAUUGAUUUUUUCGUUAUUUAUUUAAUUAAUUAAUUAAAUAAUUGAAAGAAAUUUUGUCCAAAAAGAUUAAUCAAUCAAUCUUUGACCGAAGUCGAAGCCGAGCGAGCGACGACGACGGAGCGAGGCUUGCCUUUUUCUUAACUCUUUAAGAGGUAGAAGAAGAGCAAUUAUAUAUAUACUCAUCAAAAGUCUUUUCUUUCUCCGAUAUGGAACAAUGUCUCUUUCCCAAGGGAAACUCAAAUAUUUUAUUUUCCCUCCAUUUCUCGUUCAGCCUCUUUAAAUUACACAAGCUUAAAAUUCCAACACCAUAUUUAAUAGUAGCGAUGAUAAUGAUAUCUUUAACAGAUUCAAGGCUUCCAAACUAUGAGUUAAAUCUAAACAAGUACUGUAUUUUAGUGGUGAUCGAUCAUAACUACAUUUACAAGAACCUCAAGCUAUGGAAUCACAGUAUAAUAUUGUAAACACUUAUUGGGAUAACUCUGUGGGGAUUCACCCAAAAAAAGAGUGAUUAAAAAUGAGCCUGAACAGAAUAGUGUGAAGAAGAAGAAAAAAUAGGUUUGGAAAAAUAGCAGAAAAAUGAGUUUGAAAGAAGUACAACAGAAAUGGCCAGAAAUUAAUGGUGGAAAAAGGGGAGCAAUGAGGAAUCUAGUUGUCAAGGAAGAAUAAGGAAUCUGGAGGUGUAACCCAGGCCUUUCACGAGCUUGNNNNNNNNNNNNANNNNGAUGUGUAAAACACUUGUAGUGCCAUGUGAGCAAUGUGUGUUUGUAGAUGCACAUUGAUAGAGGCUGAAGUGUCUCAUAGGUAAACCCCUUAGUUAAGGUGCCUAUAUGAACUUUUACGAACUUGUAAUGAAAGAACUCCCAAAAUUUAUAAUCUACAUAAGUUUUUAUGAAAAAUUGAAACUUCUUAGCUAAAACUUUGCAAAAUGCUUUAUUUUUCGGAAACGGCUUAAAAAUGAGGUCGUUCUGGUGUGACGACCCGAUAGGUCGUCUUGAGUUCUAGCCCUUAUUUUCGUGUUUCGAGACUUCUAUUAGCUACAUUUAGUAUUUUUCGAUUUGCGUACGCAAUCCGUGUCUUGUUCAGGAAAGAUUUAAUGUGAAUUUUUUUAAAAAAAAAAAAUUAGCUUUAAAAAUGAUUUGAGUUGACUACGGUCAAUAUUUUGUGUAAACAAUCAUCGGCAUUUUGACGAUCUCGGUGGGUCUGCAUCGUGAUUUUGGACUUUGGCGUAUGCAUAGAAUUGAAUUCGGAAGUCCCUAACUUGAUUUUGACUUGAUUUAUUGAAAACUAGUAACUUGAAGGUUUAAAGAUUUCUAUUGCUGCCAGGUUCGGAUUUCGGUUCCGGAACUUGGUAUAGGUUCAUUUUACUAUUUAAAACUUGUCUGCAAAAUUUAGUGCAAAACAGAGUUGGUUUGAUAGGAUUCGGAUGCUCGGUUGUUAAUUUGGAAGUUCUUGAGUUUCUUUGAAAAUUUUAUGCAUUUUGAUGUCUGAUUCCAACACCAUAUUUAAUAGUAGCGAUGAUAAUGAUAUCUUUAACAGAUUCAAGGCUUCCAAACUAUGAGUUAAAUCUAAACAAGUACUGUAUUUUAGUGGUGAUCGAUCAUAACUACAUUUACAAGAACCUCAAGCUAUGGAAUCACAGUAUGAUAUUGUAAACACUUAUUGGGAUAACUCUGUGGGGAUUCACCCAAAAAAAGAGUGAUUAAAAAUGAGCCUGAACAGAAUAGUGUGAAGAAGAAGAAAAAAUAGGUUUGGAAAAAUAGCAGAAAAAUGAGUUUGAAAGAAGUACAACAGAAAUGGCCAGAAAUUAAUGGUGGAAAAAGGGGAGCAAUGAGGAAUCUAGUUGUCAAGGAAGAAUAAGGAAUCUGGAGGUGUAACCCAGGCCUUUCACGAGCUGGCAAGAUGUGUAAAACACUUGUAGUGCCAUGUGAGCAAUGUGUGUUUGUAGAUGCACAUUGAUAGAGGCUGAAGUGUCUCAUAGGUAAACCCCUUAGUUAAGGUGCCUAUAUGAACUUUUACGAACUUGUAAUGAAAGACUCCCAAAAUUUAUAAUCUACAUAAGUUUUUAUGAAAAAUUGAAACUUCUUAGCUAAAACUUUGCAAAAUGCUUUAUUUUUCGGAAACGGCUUAAAAAUGAGGUCGUUCUGGUGUGACGACCCGAUAGGUCGUCUUGAGUUCUAGCCCUUAUUUUCGUGUUUCGAGACUUCUAUUAGCUACAUUUAGUAUUUUUCGAUUUGCGUACGCAAUCCGUGUCUUGUUCAGGAAAGAUUUAAUGUGAAUUUUUUUUUUUAAAAAAAAAUUAGCUUUAAAAAUGAUUUGAGUUGACUACGGUCAAUAUUUUGUGUAAACGAUCAUCGGCAUUUUGACGAUCUCGGUGGGUCUGCAUCGUGAUUUUGGACUUUGGCGUAUGCUUAGAAUUGAAUUCGGAAGUCCCUAACUUGAUUUUGACUUGAUUUAUUGAAAACUAGUAACUUGAAGGUUUAAAGAUUUCUAUUGCUGCCAGGUUCGGAUUUCGGUUCCGGAACUUGGUAUAGGUUCAUUUUACUAUUUAAAACUUGUCUGCAAAAUUUAGUGCAAAACAGAGUUGGUUUGAUAGGAUUCGGAUGCUCGGUUGUUAAUUUGGAAGUUCUUGAGUUUCUUUGAAAAUUUUAUGCAUUUUGAUGUUUGAUUCGUAGUUCUAGGUAUUAUUUUGAUCACGCGAGCGAGUUCAUGUGAUGUUAUUAUACUUGUGUGCAUGUUUGGUUUGGAGCCCGAGUGGCUCGGGUGAGUUUCGGAUAAGCUACAGAGCAUUUGAACUUUUAAAAAAAUGUUGGUUAAGCUAUAUGAUGAUGUCUUAUGCAAUAUGUUUCGUGAUCGCGAAGCCGCUCUCGCGAUCGCGAAAGGGAAAUUGGGACAGAGGUGUAUUCCUUCUAUGUGAAUGCGAGGAUGCGAUCGCGAACGCAAAGCAGCGGGGGAACUAUCCUUCGCGAACGCGAACGCGACCUCACCCACACGAACGCAAUGGGUUAAUGGGUCUGGGGGAAGGCUGGGCUGAUACUCCAUCGCGAACACGGAGCGUAUCUCGCGAACACAAAGGCCAUUCGAGCCGUUGUGCGCGAUCGCGUCAGGUCCUUCGUGAAUGCGAAGAACACCUUACGCCAGUGAUUUAAAACAUUUCAAAAUCGAGAUUCUUCUCAUUUUUCACCAUUUUUAAGUUUGAGCUCGGCCUAGAGGCGAUUUUGAAGAUAUUUUUCAUCCCAACUUAAUAGGUUAGUAGAUUUUAACUUGUUUCCUUACAUUUCCAUAAACACCCAUUGAUUAUAACCUUUAAUCUAUUCUUUUUUAUGGUAAAAAUUAGGAAUUUAGGUAGAAAUUGGAGAUUUUGAGAAAUUGAGACUUAGACCGCAAAUUGAGGUUGCAUUUCGAAACUAAUCACAUAAUCGGGCUCGGGGGUGAAUGGGUAAUUGGGUUUUUGUCCGAAUCUCGAGUAUUGACCAAGCGGGCUCGGGGUUUACUAUAAUGACCUGAUAGGUCAUUUUGAGUAUUAGCCCUUAUUGUCAUAUUCUGAGACCUCCAUUAGCUUUGUUUAAUAUUUCUUGGUUUGUGUGCGUGGGCCGUGUCACUUUUUGAAAAGCUUUUAUGUGAAAGUUUGAAGAAAAUAUAAUUUUUGGCUUUAAAAACAACUUGAGUUGACCACGAUCAACAUUUUAUGAAAAUGACCUCGAAUCGGUAUUUUGACGAUUUCGAUAGUUCCGAAUCAUGAUUUUGGACUUGGGAGUAUGCCCAGAAUUGAAAUUGGAGGUCCCUAGAUUGAUUUGACUCAUUUUGCCGAAAAUUAGUAUUUUGAAAGUUUAGAAAUUUUCUAAGUUUGACCAUAAGUUGACUUCACAGUUAACGAGUUCAUAUUUUGAUGUUGAAACUUGGAAUAGGUGUGUAUUACUAUUUGAAACUUGUCUACAAAUUUUGGUGCACUUCGGAAUUGAUUUGACAUGCUUCAGACGCUUAUAUGUGAUUCUAAUUGUUCUUGAGUUUACUUUGAAAUUUCAUUCGUUUUGAGGGUUGAUUUGUAGAUUUGGAUGUUAUUUUGGUAAUUUGAUUGUGCGAGCGAGUUCAUAUGAUGUUAUUACACUUGUGUGCAUGUUUGGUUUGGAGCCCGAGGGGCUCGGGUGAGUUUCAGACGUGUUUCAGAUGAGUAUGGUUAGUGUAAAGACUGCUAGUGCAUGGAACACUUCUGGUGUCUGAUACAGAUCUCACAUCUGUGAGGUUUGGCUCGCAAUUGUGAGUCAUGCUUUUGCGAACAAUAGCUGGCAUUUGCGAGCAUAGGCAGGGCUAAUCUCGUAAUUGUGAGGAAAAUAUUCGCAUUUGCGAGCAUGGGCUGGGCUAAUCUCGCAAUUUCCAGGAAAAUGUUCGCAUUUGCGAUCUCAGAGUCGCAUUUGCGAUCUCAGAGUCGCAUUUGCGAUCUCAGAGUCGCAUUUGCGACUCAGUGUGCUCUUGAGUGAUCUUCGCAAUUGCGAAGGAAUCGUCCGCAUUUGCGAAGGUAGGUUUGUUCGCAAUUGUGAACCUUUUGUCGUAAUUGCUGCUUCUGCGCUUCUAUGACAGUGUUCGCAUUUGCGACCCUUGUCUCGCAUUUGCGAACAAGACAUCGCAAUUGCGACAUUUGCAAUUGGGUAAGAGAGAGGGAAAAUGGGACUUACCUCAUUUUACAUCAUUUCUCAACCCUAAACACUCUAGAGGUAAUUUUCAAGAGACCUUUUUUCCUAAGUUCAUUGGUAAGUGACUCUAAUCUAUUUCCUUUCAAUUACCCAUUACUUUUCAUGAGAUUUCAAAUUUAAAUUUAUGAUUUCCAUGAUAGAAAUUAGGGAUUUGGGUAGAAUUAGAAAGUUUUUGUAAAAUUGAGAUUUAAACCUCAAAUUGAGGUCGGAUUUUGAAACAAAUCAGAUAACCGGGCUCAGGGUGAAUGGAUAAUCGGGUUUUGGUCCGAACCUCGGAUUUUGACCAAGCGAGCCCGGGGUUGACUUUUUAAAAAAUGAUCAAAAUUGAACCUCUUUCAUUAAUGAGUAGUUUCUAAAGCUUAGUUUGAAUCAUUUGAUUGAUAAUUUGCUAGAUUUGGUUGGUUUGGAGACUUGUUCGAAAGGCAAAGUCGUGGUUGGUUGAUUGCUUUGAUUCGCGGAGUGAGGUAAGUGUUGGGUCUAACCUUGAUUUGAGGAAAUUAGAGAACCUUGAACUAUGUGUUAUGCGAAUUAUAUGAGGAAAAUGGUGUAUAUGCAAGGUGACAGAUGUAUAUACGCCGUCAUGAUAUUUGUUUCCAUGUUUUCGUUUAUUUCAUUAUAUAUCUUGCUUCAUGCCUUAAUUGUUACAUGCUUUAUUUGACUUCUAUGCCAUAAUUGUUACUUUUCAUUUAAUUAUUCUUGUAUUAAAUUGUCCAUCCCUUCCAUGACUAUAUGCUUAUUUGCUACUCGUCUCUACUUGUAUAUCUAAAUUGUCACAUGCUUUACUUGUCUUAUUGUUUGUAUUAUUUGUUGCAUUCUAUAAUGCGAUUUCACUUGCAUGAGUUAUUUAAUUGAUAGAUACCGAUGAAUUGGUAAAGUUGAGACUUCGAGUUGUUAGAGAUUCUUUGAUUAUUAUGUGGUUCUUUAUUACCUCGUACAUUUACCUUCUUGAUGUAAAAAUUCUUGUAUAUUUGGUUGUUGAAUUGUUUAUGUUGAUUGAAAUUGUUUGGGGAGCGGGUUGUACGCCGCAACGAAAAUUGGAAGGUAACGAAUUGAAAUGGUGGAAUAAGAAUGGAUUAUGGUAUUGACAAAUGAUGAUAUGGUAGAAUCGGAUUGCGCACCGCAAUUGAUUAUAUAUGUGGUACUUGUUUGUGAUUGUUGGAUUUGGAUCGGUAUUGUGAUAUGAGAUUAUGAGACUUGUUAUUCUUGACUCUCUAGUAGUUGGAUUUCGAGUUCUUUUUCAUGAGUUAACUGCUUUACUUCCAUUUCCUAUUUUCUUGUUAUUAUUAUUACUGUGUACAUGUUAUUAUAAGUGGCCCGCCUUAGCCUCGUCACUACCUCGUCGAGCUUAGGCUCGGUACUUACAGAGUACAUGGGGUCGGUUGUACUCAUACUAUACUCUGUACUUCUUGUGCAGAUACCGAAGUUGGUCCCAGCAGCGCUGAGUGAGAUUUCGGGUCAUGACAUUGACUUUUGUUGACUUUUUCCAAAAUCAUUAAAGAUUGAAUCUUUUUCACUCGUGAGUAGUUUCUAAAGCCUAUUACGAAUUAUUCAAACUAUAAUUGGUUAGAUUUGAUUGGUUUAGAGGCUAAUUCUAGAGGAAAAGUCGUGGUUGAGCAUUAAUUUGGUUGCAGAGUGAGGUAAGUGUCGUGGUUAACCUUGACUUGAGGUAUUAGGACUUGUUGGCCUAUUUUCUAUGUGUUUUAUGUGUGGGGACAACAUAUAUGUGAGGUAACGAGUAUGUAUGCGUUGUCAUUGAAUUAAAACAUGCAGGUGAAAGUUAUUUCUUUAUAUUAUAUUGUUUCAUUGACUAUGUUUUUCAUGUUUAGGUUAGAAUGUUACUUCUUUUAAUUAUUCGUUUCGUAUUUAUUGUUUAUUUCAAAGAUGUUGAAUAUUUUGAAAGUUGAGUUUGAUAUCAUAUGUAAUGACUCGGCCGGUCGUUUUGAGAGUUGUAGCCCUAUUACCCUAUUUACUGCUCAUUGUGUACUUUAUAGUUGUUAUGUGACUUGUCGGGAUAGUCGGUUUGGGUCUGGUGGGGUUUUGGAAGGAAAUAAGACACUUAGUCUCAUGGUUGAAGGCUUAAGUUGAAAUGGUUGACCGGAUGUUGACCUAUGAGUAAACAACUCCGGAAUGGAGUUUUGAUGGUUUCAUUAGCUACGUUGCGUGAUUUUGGACUUAGGAGCGUGUCUGGAUUGUGAUUUGGAGGUCUGUAAUGGAAUUAGGCUUGAAAUGACGAAAGUUGGAUUUUUGGAAAGUUUGAGCGGGAGUGAAAUCGGGGUCGAAUUUUGAUUUUGGAAGUUGGAGUACGUCUAUAAUGUCAUUUUUGACUUGUGUGCAAAAUUUGGGGUCAAUUGGAUUCGAUUUGAUAGGUUUCGACGUCAUUUCUAGAAGUUGGAAUUCCUUAGUUUCAAUAGUCUUGAAUUGAGGUGUGAUUCAUGUUUUUGAUAUUGUUUGAAGUAAUUUGAAGGCUCGACUAAGUUCGUAUUGUAUUUUAAGACUUGUUGGUAUAUUUGGUUGAGGUCUCGGGGGCCUCAGAUUAAUUUCGGAUGGUUAACGGAUCAAUUUUGAACUUGGUGUUAUGGCUGAAGUUUUCUGGUGUCUGAUAUGGUUUCCUUGUACGCGAUCGCAUGAAAGGGGUCGCGAUCACGUAGGCUUGUUUGGGGAAGUGGUGAUUUUUUCCCUAUACGUUCGCGAGUGGUGGUACGCGAUCACGUAGGUUUGGUUAGUCAGUGCAUCGCGAACGCGUGUGCAUUGUCGCGUUCGCGAAGAGGAGAGGAGGCAACUGGUUCUCACGCGGUUGUGCUUCGCGAUCGCUGGAGGGGAGACACGAUCGCGUAGGUUGGAGGAAGCAGAGGUCUCCGCGUUCGCGUGGGGGUCUCCGCGUUCGCGUAGAAUUAACUUCUGGGGUAGCUGUGUUGUGCUUCGCGAUCGCGAGGCUAUUUCCGCGAUCGCAAAUAAGGAUCACUAGGCAGAACUUUAAAUAUUUCAAAACGAGGGUUUGAGUUCAUAACACAAAAUUCAUUUGGUAGCUCGGUGGGAGGCGAUUUUUGGAGAGAUUUUCAAGUGGGUGAUUGACGUAAGUGAUUCCUACCUAGUUUUGAUUAAUUUCCAUGAUUAUGUCUUUAAUUUCAUCAUUAAAUUAGUGAUUUGGGGUGGACAUUUGGGGGCAAAUGGAGGAAAGUUCUUAGGCCGAAUUUUGAGGUUUUGAUUGAGAUUUUAGUGUCAGAUUUGGGUAAUUUUAGUACGGGUGGACUCGUGGUUGAAUGAACUUUUGACUCGAUUUUUGACUUUUGAUUAUUAACUUAGCAUUUUCUUAUGGAGUUGAUUCCUUUAGCCCGUAUUGAUUAUAUCGAAUUAUUUAUGGCUAGAUUCGAGGCAUUCAGAGGCCGUUUCGCGAGGCAAGGGUGUAUUGGAGUAGAGUUUUUCUUGGAUUGAGGUAAGUAACAGUUCUAAAUUUGAUUCUGAGGGUACGAAACCCCGCAUUAUGUGUCAUGUGUUUGGUUGUGAGGUGACGCACAUGCUAGGUGACGGGCGUGUGGGCAUUCACCAUAGGAAUUGUGGCUCAUCUAAUCCUAUGGAACUGUGUAGUUGAAUAAUUUGUUGUUAUCCAUACAUUUUUUCACGUAUUAGAGAAACUGAACUGCUAAUCAUGUUAGAAAUCAGGUUUAGACCAUGUGUUGACACUGUAGGGACCCACAGAGGUUGUGUACAUGUUGAAUUAUCUGCUAAAUUGUUAUUUUGUACUCAGUCACAGUUUUACUUGUAUGUUACAUCUCAGUCUCUAUUGUUCAUUAUUGAUGCAUUACAUCGUUGCUGUUUGGGCUGCUUAUCAUGAUUUUCGAGAGCCCGAUAGACUGGAGAGGUUGAUGACUGAAUGAGGUCGAGGGCCUGAUUGUGAGGAUAUUUAAGGGAUCGUAUUGCACGUCGCAGCAUGUUUCAUUGAUAUAUGCCAUGAUUUAUUUGUUAUAAUGCUUGGGCUGAAGGAGCCCCUCCGGAGUCUGUACACACCCCCAGUGAGCGCAGGUACCUACUGAGUACGAGUGUCGAGUGCUGAGCGACUAAGAGGAAUGAGUGACUGCGAGGAAUGAGUGAUUGUGAGGUUGGAGUGAAUGUGAGGACUGAGUGACUGCUGCUCUGUGAGGAUGCAUUUGACUUCAUUAUUUUUGCACUUCAGCUGUCAUAUAUCAUUGUCUUGAAAUUUUUGAAAGAUACUAUCUUCUGUUUCAGUUGAACCUGACAUGAAUUUACUGUUUUGGCCUUAAUUGUCGAACUUGAAAGCAUGCCUACCUUCCUAUGUUGAAAUCAUUGUAAUUGAACUUUAACUGUGAAGCUCGUCACUACUUUCAGUUCUUUAUUUAGUCUUGUUACUUACUGAGUUGAUUGUACUCACGCUACACCCAGUACUUUGUGUGCAGAUCCAGGUGUUUCCGGACACAGUGGGUGUUUAUUUCAUUGCACAAUUGAUCAUUUGGAGAUUUCAAGGUAGCUGCCCGGCGUUUCGCAGACCUUGUCUCUCUAUUCCUAUCUUUUCGCUUAUCGUAUUUAGUUUCAGACUAUCAGAGACAGUAUUUUCCAGACUUGUGAUGUAUAGAUGCUCAUGUACUCUGUGACACCACGAUUGUUGGAAACUUUUGCGUUGUGUUUUCGGGUUUCUAUCCCAUUUAUGAGAAUUUUCAUUGUUUAAACUGUUUUAAUUCAUUUUCUCUUGAAAGUGUUGGAAAUAUUGUGGAAUGUCGUCUUGCCUAGUACCACGUUAGGCGCCAUAAUGAGAGGCUAGGAUUUUGGGCCAUGACAAGUUGGUAUCAGUGCCUAGGUUACAUAGGUCUCACGAGUCAUGAGCAGGUUUAGUAUAUUCUUGUGGAUCGGUACGGAGACGUCUGUACUUAUCUUUGAGAGGUUGUCUAACCCUUAGGAAACUUCAUAUUCUUGUAUUCUUGUCGUGCGGAUUUGUUGACUCCGGUAACUAAACUUUUGUAUUCUAUUCUCUCACAGAUGGUGAGUACACGUGCUACCAGACAUAAAGGACAGCCACCAGUACCACCAGUUAGGGCCACGAGAGGCCGAGGUCGCGGUAGGGGCAGAGGUGCAGCUCGUACAACAGCUAGAACGGCACCUGCAAAUCCACCUGUUGCUCCAGCUCAGGAGUAGGUUCCAUAUGUGUCUUAGUCAGUAGGGCCAGCUCAAGCACCACUUGUGCUCAUUGUGAUUUCAGGCCUUCAGGAGGCUUAGGCCCAAAUAUUGACCGUUUGCACUGGCCUUGGUUUCGGCUCAUGCCGCACCAGCCACUUCUCAGGCCGGGGGAGGUACUCAUACCUCCGUUUCCCGUACUCUAGAGCAAGUGGUCCCCGUUAUGACUGAUGAUGAGCGGAGGAGACUUGAGAGGUUUGGGAAACUUCAGCCUCCAUCAUUCAGCGGUGCUGGGACAGAGGAUGCCUAGGGUUUCUAGGAUAAGUGCCAGUGGAUUCUUUGCACUGCGUGUAUUCUGAAGACCAGUGGGGUCUCGUUCACUACUUUCAGUUCAUUGGGGCUGCCUUCAGAUGAUAGGAGGCUUACGAGAGGCGCAGGACGGUCGGUGCAGCACCACUUACAUGGUAGGAGUUCUCCGUUCUCUUGUUGGAAAAGUUCAUUCUGUAGUCUCGCAGGAGGAGCUGCGCUGACAGUUUGAGCAGUUACGUCAGGAGGGCAUGUCUGUGACGCAGUACGAGACGCAGUAUGGUUGAUUUCCACUGAUAGGGAGAGGAUUAAGAGGUUUAUUGAUGGCCUCACGUAUCAGAUGCAGUUGCUUAUGACUCGGGAGAGGGUGUCUGGUGUUAUUUUUGAUGAGGUGGUCGAUGUUGCUCAGCAGAUAGAGAUGCUCCACAGUUAGGAGUGCGGAGAGAGGAAGACCAAGAGGCCCCGUAGCUCGGGUGGUUUCAGCGGUGCUCCUUUUUAGGGUCAAUUCUACCACGGCAGGGGUCGUCCGUAUAGGCACGCUCAGAUGGCUCGUCCAGUUCACCGUGUGCACCAUCCAGCCAUAAUUCAUACAAUUCUCAUCAUGGUCAAUCAUCUCUCAAUGUCCUUCCAGCUCAGAGUUCGUUUCCUGCUCUAUUGGCUCAGGGUUCAUCUAUGCCGGGUCCUUCUAGCAGUUACCCCGGUGCUCGGGGCUCCCUUCAGUCCCCACCACCAGCAUCGGGGAGUCACUUUGAGUGUAGGGAGUUUGGGCAUAUGUGGAUACAGUGUCCUCGUCGUCUAGGAGGUCUAAUGCAGCAGAGGAGUCAGGCUGCAACUUCAGCACUAGUUACUUCACCACCCGCCUAGCCAGCUCGGGGUGGAGCUCAGUCAGCUAGGGGUCCCCCAAGAGGAGAAGGCCGAUCAGGUGGAGGCCAGGCCCGAUUCUAUGAUAUUCCUGCCAGACCAGAUGUUGUUGCUUUCGAUGCAGUGAUCACAGGUAUUGUCUCAGUAUUCCACAAGGAUGCCUCCCUGGUUCCACUUAUUCGUAUGCAUCAUCGUAUUUUGCUCAUUAUCUGGAUAUGUGAGUCCUUAGUUUUAUCUGUUCAUGUAUCUACGCCAGUGGGUGAUACUAUUGUUGUGAACCGUGUAUAUCGGUCGUGUGUAGUGACUAUUGGGGGAUUGGAGACUAGAUUUGAUCUUUUAUUUCUUAGUAUGGUGAACUUCGAUGUGAUCUUGGGUAUGGAUUGGUUGUCUCCAUGUCAUGCUGUUCUGGAUUGUCACGCUAAGACCGUGACAUUGGCGAUGCCAGGGUUGCCAAGGAUUGAGUGGAGAGGUUCUCUAGACUAUGUUCCCAGUAGGGUGAUUUCAUAUUUGAAGGCCCAACAGAUGGUUGGGAAGGGUUAUUUAUCUUAUUUGGCCUUUGUGAGGGAUGUUGGUGUUGAUACUCCUUCUAUUGAUUAAGUUCGGGUGGUGCGAGAUUUUUCGGAUGUGUUUCCUGCAAACCUGCUGGGCAUGCCGCCCGACAUGGAUAUUGAUUUCGGUAUUGACUUGGUAUCGGGCACUCAGCCCAUUUCUAUCCUAUCGUAUCGUAUGGCACCAACUGAGUUGAAGGAAUUGAAGGAGCAGCUUCAGAAACUUCUUGAUAAGGGGUUUAUUAAGCCUAGUGUGUCGCCUUGGGGUGCACCGGUUCUGUUUGUGAAGAAGACGGAUGGUACUAUGCGGAUGUGCAUUGAUUACAAGCAGUUGAACAAAGUUACAAUAAAAAAACAAGUAUCAUUUGCCGUGCAUUGAUGAUCUAUUUGAUCGGCUGCAGGGAGCGAGGGUAUUCUCUAAGAUUGACUUGAGGUCUAGGUAUCACUAGUUGAAGAUUCGGGACUCGGAUAUUCUAAAAAUAACAUUCAGGACCCAUUAUGGUCAUUAUGAGUUCCUCGUGAUAUCUUUUGGGCUGACUAAUGCCCCAGCAACAUUCAUGCAUCUGAUGAACAGUGUAUUUUAACUUUAUCUUGACUCGUUUGUCAUAGUGUUUAUUGAUGAUAUCUUGGUGUACUCUCGCAGCCAGGAGGAGCAUGCCCAUCAUUUGGGGAUUGUGUUACAGCGGUUGAGGGAGGAGAAGCUUUAUGCUAAGUUCUCCAAAUGUGAGUUUUGGCUUAGAUCGGUGGCGUUCUUGGUGUACGUGGUGUCCAGUGAGAGGAUUCAGGUGUAUUCGAAGAACGUAGAGGCGGUUAAGAAUUGGCCUAGACCGUCCUCAACUACGGAGAUUCAGAGCUUUCUCGGCUUGGCCGAUUAUUAUUGUCGUUUCAUGAAGGGUUUAUCGUCUAUUACAUUGCCUUUGAUGAUGCAUGGUCGGAUUUGUGUGCCUAAUGUGGAUAGGUUACGUGAGUUGAUUCUUGUGGAGGCCCACAGUUCGCGAUAUUCCAUUCAUCCGGGUGCCGCAAAGAUGUAUCAGAACUUGAGGUAGCAUUAUUGGUGGAGAAGAAUGAAGAAGGAUAUAGUGGGGUUUGUAGCUCGGUGCCUCAACUGUUAGCAGGUGAAGUAUGAGCACCAGAGACCGGGUGGAUUGCUUUCGAUGCUAUUUGGGUGAUUAUGGAUCGGCUGACCAAGUUUGCAUACUUUUUUCCAGUUGGGACUACUUAUUCUUCGAAGCGGUUGGUUGAGAUUUACAUCCGAGAGAUCGUUCGCCUUCACAGUGUGCCAGUAUCCAUCAUUUCAGAUCGGGGCACACAGUUUACAUCACAAUUUUGGAGAGUCGUGCAGCAAGAGUUUGGUACCCAGGUUGAGUUAAGCACAUUAUUUCACCCUUAGACGGACGGACAGUCCGAUCUCCCUAUUCAUAUAUUGAAGGACAUGCUAUGCACUUGUGUCAUCGAUUUUGGGAGUUCUUGGGAUCAAUUUCUGCCACUCGCGGAGUUUACCUAUAACAAAAGUUACCAGCCGAGCAUUCAGAUGGCUCCGUCUGAGGCUUUGUAUGGGAGAUGGUGUAGAUCUCCGAUGGGUUGGUUUGAGUCGGGUGAGGCUAGGCUAUUGGGUAUUGACUUGGUUCAGGAUGCUUUGGACAAGGUUAAAUUGAUUCAGGAGCGGCUUUGAACAGCGCAGUCUAGACAAGAGAGUUAUACCGACAUGAAGGUAUGUGAUGUUGCUUAUAUGGUUAGGGAGAAGGUGUUGCUCAAGGUUUCACCCAUAAAGGGUGUUAUGAAGUUCGGGAAGAAGGACAAGUUGAGCCCUUGGUAUAUUGGGUCGUUUAAGGUACUUCAGAGGAUUGGGGAGGUGGCUUACAAACUUCCUUUGCCACCUAGUUUUUCGAGUGUGCAUCCAGUGUUUCAUAUUUCUAUGCUUUGAAAGUAUGCCGGCGAUCUGUCUCAUGUUUUGUAUUUCAGCACGGUUCAAUUGGAUGGUGAUUUGACUUAUGAUGUGGAGUCGAUGGCCAUUUUGGAUUGGCAGGUUCGAAAGUUGAGGUCAAAGGAUAUAGCUUCAGUGAAGGUACACUGGGGAGGACAUCUAGUUGAGGAGGCUACUUGGGAUAUCGAGCGCAAGAUGCGGAGCAUAUAUCCAUACCUAUUUGAGACUCCAAGUACGUUUCUAGACCUAUUCGAGGACGAACGUUUGUUUAAGAGGGGAGGAUGUAAUGACUCGGCCGGUCAUUUUGAGAAUUGUAGCCUUGUUCCCCCAAUUACUUCCCAUUGUGUACUUUAUAGUUGUUAUGUGACUUUAUGGGGUAGUCGGUUCGGGUCCGGUGGGGUUUUGGAAGGAAAUGAGACACUUAGUCUUAUGGUUGAAAGCUUAAGUUAAAAUAGUUGACCAGAUGUUGACCUAUGAGUAAACGACUCCGGAAUGGACUUUUGAUGGUUCUGUUAGCUCCGUUGAGUGAUUUUGAACUUAAGAGCGUGUCUGAAUUGUGAUUUGGAGGUCCGUAGUGUAAUUAGGUUUGAAAUGGUGAAAGUUGGAUUUUUGGAAAGUUUGACUGGGAGUGAACUUUUUUAUAUCGGGGUCGAAUUCCGAUUUUGAAAGUUGGAGUAGGUCUGUAAUGUCAUUUGUGACUUGUGUGCAAAAUUUGGGGUCAAUCGGACUCGAUUUGAUAGGUUUCGGUGUCGUUUGUAGAAGUUGAAAUUCCUUAGUUUCAAUAGGCUUGAAUUGGGGUGCGAUUCGUGUUUUUGAUGUUGUUUGAAGUGAUUUGAGGGCUCGACUAAGUUCAUAUCGUGUUUUAAGACUUGUUGGUAUGUUUGGUUGAGGUACCAGGGGCCUCGGGUUGAUUCCGGAUGGUUAACGGAUCAAUUUUGAACUUGGUGUUGUGGCUGAAGUUUUCUGGUGUCUCUAAUCUGGUUUCCUUGUACGCGAUCUCAUGAAAGGGGCCGCGAUCGCAUAGGCUUGUUUGGAGCAGUGGUGAUUUUUGCCCUAUGCGUUCGCGAGUGGUGGUACGCGAUCGCGUAGAUUUGGUUAGUCAGUGCAUCGCGAACGCGUGAGCAUUGUCGCGUUCGCGAAGUAGAGGAGGCAACUGGUUCUCACACAGUUGUGCUUCGCGAUCGCAGGAGUGGAGACGCGAUCACGUAGGUUAGAGGAAGCAGAGGUCCGCGUUCGCGUUGAGGUCUCCGCUUUCGCGUAGGCCUAAUUUCUGGGGCAGCUGAGUUGUGCUUCGCGAUCGCGAGGCUAUUUCCAAGAUCGCGAUUAAGGAUCACUGGGCAGAACUUUAGAUAUUUCAAAACAAGAGUUUGAGUUCAUAACACAAAAAUUAAUUUGGGAGCUCGGUGGGAGGCGAUUCGUGGAGAGAUUUUUCAAGUAGGUGAUUAAGGUAAAUGAUUCCUACCUAGUUUUGGUUAAUUUUCAUGAUUAUGUCUUUAAUUUCAUCAUUAAAUUAGUGAUUUUGGGGUGGAAAUUUGGGAGGAAAUUCUUAAGUUGGAUUUUAAGGUUUUGAUCGAGAUUUUGGUGUCGGAUUUGGGUAAUUUUGGUAUGGGUGGACUCAUGGUUGAAUGGGCUUCAGGUUUUGUGACGUUUAUCGAAUUUCGAGACAUGGGCUCGCGGGACGAUUUUUGAGUUGAUUUUUGACUUUUGAUUAAUAACUUAGCAUUUUCUUAUGGAGUUGAUUCCUUUAGCACGUAUUGAUUAUAUAGAAUUGUUUAUGGCUAGAUUCAAAGGUCGUUUCGCGAGGCAAGGGUGUGUUGGAGUAGAGUUUUACUCGGAUAGAGGUAAGUAACAGUUCUAAAUUUGGUUUUGAGGGUACGAAACUCAGUAUUAUGUGUCAUGUGAUUGGUUUUGAGGUAACGCACAUGCUAGGUGACGGGCGUAUGGGCGUGCACCAGAGGAUUUGUGGCUUGGCCAAUCAUAUGGAACUGUGUAGUUGAAUAAUCUGGUGUUAUCCGUACAUUUUUUCACUUAUUAGAGAAAUUGAACUGCAAAUCAUGUUAGAAAUCAUGUUUAGACCAUGUGUUGACACUGUGGGGACCCACAUAGGUCGUGUACAUAUUGAAUUAUCUACCAAAUUGUUGUUUUGUACUCAGCCACAGUUUUACUUGCAUAUUACAACUCAGUCUCAAUUGUUCAUUAUUGAUGCAUUAUAUCAUUGUUGUUUGGGCUAGUUAUCAUGAUUUCUGAGAGCCCGAGAGACUGGAGAGGUUGAUGACUGAGUGAGGCCAAGGGCCUGAUUGUGAGGAUAUUUUAUGGGAUCGGGUUGCACGUCGCAAUAUGUUUCAUUGAUAUAUGCCAUGAUUGGCUUGUUAUAGCGCUUGGGCUGAAGGAGCCCCUUCGGAGUCUGUACACACCCCAGUGAGCGCAGGUACCUACCGAGUACGAGUGCCGAGUACGGAGUGCUGAGCGACUGUGAGGAAUGAGUGAUUGUGAGGUUGGAGUGAAUGAGACGACUAAGUGACUGCUGCUUUGUGAGGAUGCAUUUGACUUCAUUAUUUUUGCACUUUAGCUGUCAUAUAUCACUGUCUUGAAAUUUCUGAGAGAUAUUAUCUUCUGUUUCAGUUGAACCUGACAUGAAUUUAUUGUUUUGGCCUUAAUUGUCGAACUUGAAAGCAUGCCUACCUUCCUAUGUUGAAAUCACUGUAAUUAAACUUUAACUGUGAAGCUCGUCACUACUUUCAGUUCUUUAUUUAGUCUUGUUACUUACUGAGUUGGUUGUACUCACGCUACACCUUGCACUUCAUGUGCAGAUCCAAGUGUUUCCGAAACACGGUGGAUGUUGAUUUCAUCGCACAAUUGAUCUUCUGGAGAUUUCAAGGUAGUUGCUCGGCGUUUCGCAAACCUUGUUUCUCCAUUCCUAUCUUUCCUCUUAUUGUAUUUAGUUUCAGACUUUCAUAGACAGUAUUUUCCAGACUUGUGAUGUAUAGUUGCUCAUGUACUCUGUGACACCCCGUUUGUUGGGAACUUUCGCAUUGUGUUUUGGGGUUUCUAUCCCGUUUUAUGAGAAUUUUCAUUGUUUAAACUGCUUUAAUUCCUUUUUUUUAAGUGUUGGAAUAUUGUGGAAUGUCGGCUUGCCUAGUACCGCGUUAGGUGCCAUCACGACAGGUUAUGAUUUUGGGUCGUGACAUCAUAGCACCAUAAUUGAAGUGAAAUUGUUUGUCGCCUUGAUUUUAUUAUUCGGAUAUGUAUUGUUGCUUGGUGAGGAAGAGAGAAAAGCACGAAGAGUGUUGUCGUGCUUUAUUUGUAUUCAUUGUCAUAUAUUGAGAGAUUUGAGAGUAAAAGCAUGAAGGGUGAUGACGUGCUAUUAUAUUCAUGAUAUUACAUGGUGAGGACGAGAGUAAAAGCACAAAGGGUGAUGUCGUGUCAUUCAUCUUCAUUUUAUUGCCUUGUUUGGAUUUCGGUUUUGGUGAUUUAUUUAGUUACAUUAUUUUUUAUUUCGAUGGACGUUUUUUGGUGAUUUCGUAAUUGCAGUUUCUAUGAUAUCUCCCCUUUCGCAUGUCCCCUCCCAGUUGAUAUUUUUAUCGUUCUUGUUAUUUUGUUGCUUUAUAUAUACUUGUACAACCACACAUCUCUAUAACAUCAUCCAUAUAUAAUAGCCAUUCACUAUAAAAGUCAAGUUUUCCUCAGAGCCAAUUUUUAAGUUAUAUUUUACCUCUCUAUGACAGUUUUUUACCUAUAACAACAACAUCCAUAUUUAUAGUAGAACGCCCUUUGUAAAAUUACCCCUCUAUAACAGCCAUAUAGAAUCUUUGAGAUUACUCUCUUUUCUAUUAAAUAAAGUUUCUAUCGUGCAUAAUAUAUAAGAUUUGAAGAUUUGUAAAUAAUAUCUUUUUCAUUGGACAAAUUCCUAAAAAUAUUUAGAUAGAAAAUAUAAUUGUUAAGCUCUUAGAUUGUCUUCAAGAGAAAACAAUUGGAUACGUUUUUGCUAAAAAUUUGGACAUGAAUCUUUACCAAUUCAAGCGUUAUAGCGCUAGUAAGAGAAUAAAAUCUACGAAACAAGCUACAAUUAUAAAGUUCUUCCAUCAAUCUUGAAAAAAAGUAAUUUGUAGGUACCUUUAAAAUAUUUGUCUUAGAGUUUAAAUCUUAUAUAUUUAGUUAAGAAUUUAUUAAUAAUGUAUUAGCUUUCUCAAUAUUUUGACUAGUGAAAUAUGCAUAUCUUUUGAGAUUUUAAAUUUGAAUAAUUUUUAUAUGUAACAUUAAAAAAGAAAAAAUAAUUACUUUUUGGAUAAUUGUUUUUUAUCUAUAACAACAAAAAUAUAUUUAAACUCCAAAUGUUGCUAUAUGUGUAUAACACUCAUUCACUAUAAAAGCCAAAAUAUAUCGGAACAAACGAUAUUGUUAUAGAGAGAGUUGAUUGUACAUGAUUUUUAUGUAGGUGUCUUAUCAUAGCCUCGUCACUACCUCGUCGAGGUUAGGCUCGACACUUACGGAGUACAUUGGGUCGGUUGUACUCAUUCUACACUUCUGCAAUUCUUGUGCAAAUAUUGGUAUCGGUCCCAGCGGUGCUUAGAGGUACGUUGGCUCGGAUCACUUUCACUACGGAGACUCGAGGUAGAUUUGCUGGCGUUCGUAGAUCUUGAAGUCCCCUUCCAUUUCAUAUCUUUAGUGUUUAUCUCUUUCGAACAAUUGUAUUCUUUCAAACUAGGCUUAUAGACUUCUAGUUGUUCAUGUACUUGUGACUCCGGGUUUCUAGGAGUAGUUAGUAUCACGUUGCUUAUAUUCACACCGUGUUAACUUCGGAGUUUAUUUCUCGUUUAAUAUCAUUAUCUUGAAUUAAUCGUUAAAAAUUGAUUAAUUUCUUAUUUAAUGUCGGCUUGCCUAGCAAGUGGAUGUUAGGCGUCAUCACGGUUCCGAGAUUGGGAACUUCGGGUCGUGACAUAUGGCUGUUUGGAUAAUAUUUGGGCGAAGUUAAAAAAAAAUGAAUAUUUGAAAUUGAAGUUGAAGAAAAAUAUUUGGAAGUGGAAAUUAUGUUUAGAUUAUGAGUUUUAUAUUUCUUAAAUUAACUUUUCAACUUCAAAUUUUCUAUUUCAAGUGGAGGUUGAAAUGAAUAAAAUUGUAAAACAAACACCGAUUAGCAAAAUUAAUAAAUCAUUGAUAAGAUGUUAAAAUUUGAGAGUAUAUUUCUUAAGAGAAAAAUAUGUGCUUAGCAUUUAUACGUUGAUAUUUUUUUAAAACAAGAUUAGGUCACUUAUUGUUAAUUACAAAUAAUAGGGUAUAUUAAUCGCGAUUAGUAACAUGAAAAGUAAUGUAUGUACGCACUUCAAUGUAGGUGUAGGUUAAUCUUUUAAAUAAAACUUUAACAUAUAACAUUAUUUCUACUAUUAAUUAUUGAAUUGCCGCGGUUACUUUUUCAAGUGUUGAUAUGAAUAUAUUGAAGUGCAAAUUUAUGGUAUGUUCAACUGUCAUUUUCAUUCACCAUACGACUUAAAUAUUUUAUUUUAGGAAAAUACAUUUCAACAUUUAUCCAUUUUCGUCUAUCAAAAUGUACAUUUAUAACUUUGUUUCCAAAUUAUAUACUUCUGCAUUGUAAAUUUUUAUUUUAAACCUGUGUAUUUAUGGCCUGUUCGCAAAUGAUGAAAAGGAUAUAUAUAAGACAAGAAAAGGAAGUGGAGAAAAUGGACCUCGUAUUCACUGGUCCAAUGUUUCUUCAUCCUUCAUUUUUCAACUGCAAUAACAUUUAAAUUCUGUUGUUUAUCUAGAAACAACCCAAUAUUGACCUUUUCCCAUUUAGGAUAAUUUGAUUUUCAUAAAAGUUAAGCUCUUUUAGCUUUUAACUUUUUGAGUCAACGGCUAGGUUUCAAGAUAUUAUAUCACCUCUCAAACUUUAGAAAAUAUCAUCAAAGAUUGUGAUGAAAUAUUUAAGAUCUUCGCACCUUUCGGUUGUUGGCUCCAUGCAUAGUGUUUUGAUCAUGACACAGAGAUAUUUAUCAAGAUUGUGGUGAGAAUAAAAUAGGGGGAAUUACGCUACUUGUCACUUAGCCCAACCGUCAAACAAAAAAUGACCCAUGUUUGAAGCUCUUACCUGAUAUGGUACAAGUUAUACAUAAUCUGAAAAUUACUUUUCACCAGUAAGUUCACCCUAUUUAAUUUUUUUUUCUUUUCUUUGUUUUUCUUUUUCAUCUUUCACUAUUUUGCACCCCAAAAUUUCUCUACCAUUAUAUUUAUUCAAUUAUCCUUCCAGAUUCAAAGUUGAUAACCACUAUUUAGAUGAAAAGAAAAAAUACUACGUAAGAGAAUUUAUUUUUUGGAGUCACCAUUAAAGGUCGUUCGAAGCUUUCAAUUUCAGAAAUUGGAUUUUUCGAUUUUGUUAGGUGUUUGGAUUGGGUGUCGUCCCAAUUGAUUGGGAUCAUCAAGGGAAGUUCAAAACUCAAAUUUGAAGUGAUUUGAAGCAGAUUUAAGUUAGAUUUGAGUUGAAUUUCAGAAGAUGCCCCGGGAAAAAGAAGAACCCGUGGAGCUCCAUUAAUAGGAUUCAUUUGUAUAAUAGUAUAUAAUAUUGUAUAAAUAAUGUAUAAUAGUAUAUAAACACCUCUUAUAUAUUAUUUUAUACAAGGUUGAUACAUUAUUUACAAGUAUUUGGUGAAUUUCUCACAUUUCUUCUUCUUCUUCUUCUUCUUCUUCUUCUUCUUCUUCUUCUUCUUCUUCUUCUUCUACUACUACUACUACACCUAUAUACAUAAUGUAUCACUAAUAUUUUCACAAUGGUGCUUAUACAUCUUUAUACACUUUUACAGCUAUAUAUAAUGUACCUCUUUGUAUAAAAGUGUAUAAUAUUGUAUAAAAGUGUACUGGCGAAAUUUUUGUACGAUUUUCACUUGCAAUUCUUGUUUAAAACUAGUUCAAAUCCCCAUCAAACGAACUUCAAACUUUGUAUACAGCCUACUUAGACUAUUUCUAAUAAGUUCAAACAAUGCCCGCUUCAAAUUUCUCUCAAAAUUAUAUUCAAAAUUUAGCAAGAUUAGCAUUAAAGGAGAUAGGAUUUUAGAUUUCUCGAUUUAUUUAUUUAUUUGCAUUUUUUUAGGUGUGAUAGGUAUGUAGAAACUUGAGGAAAAAGGAGAAUGGAAACUCACGGAUGUUUCACGCCUGAAAAUAUAGAGAAUAAAAAAAAAAAAAAAACAGAUCUAAGCUUCUUAAUAUUUGGCUAUACAUUUACAAACUUGUAAGUGGGCUAAAGUACUGCAAGGUCAACUUAUGGAGUGCAUUAUUCUGUAAUUUUGUCAAUAAAAUAAUAUACUUGCUCACUUUCCUAGCCAUUAACGUUUUAAGGUUAAAAAUCUAUUUUUGUCUUUCUUAUCUGUAUUUUGUGUGCUAUUUCUUACGUCCCGACAAAGAACCUCCAUUUCAAGCCUCGAACUCUUAUUUAUAUUUAGUUCGAACAAGAGCGAUCAUCCUUAAAAUUAGAAUUCUCUUUUGAGCCUUGUGUACAAAAAUAAUCUUGAUAAGAGUACUUGCCGUUUAAUGAGUCUCUUUGAAUUCGAAUUGAUCCAAAGUUUCAAUUAGAAUACCAAAUGAGAAAUAAAAAAUGUUCUUGAAAGUAAUAUAAAGUAUCAAACUAUUUUUCAUUAUAUUUUCGUAGAACAAAAAGUAAGGAAAGAGGUCUUAAUAGUAAGGAAUAAGACGAUCCUUUGUUGUUACUAGGUUAUAAAAUAUUCAUUGUUAUAAAUAUAUUAUAUUAUGGAUGUUCAUUUAGUACUAUGUUGUAAAUAAGCUUUCUGAAAAAGCUUAUCUAUAUGGGACUCCGCCGUAAAUAUGUUUAUCUAUUUAGUACUCUAUUGAAAAUAAGCCUCCUGAAGAAGCUUAUCCUUUCGGUACUCCGUUAUAGAUAUUAUCUAUAUCUGGUAUAGUAGCAGCUUACAAGUAGCUUACACAGCAGCUUAGAGUAGCAACUUACAAGCAGCUUACACAACAGCUUACAAGCAGUUUACAAAGUAACUUGCAGUAGCAGCUUACACAACAACUUCCUUUCUUCUAUAAAUAGAGGAGAAUUCAGUUCAUUAUGUACAUCAAUUUGAAGUUGAAUAAAAAUAUCAAUCUCCCUCUAUACUUGUUUUCGAUUUAUUUACUUUACAAUCUUUAUUUUAUAACACUUUAUCAGCACGAGACUCUACCAUAUCGAGCACUUACUUUGAAUUUAGUUUUUCUAUUUCAGGAUAAGAAGUAAUUCAAAGUCACAAUAGUGAGGGAAUUAAUAGAUGGUGCCCAACAUAGAAAAUCUAGAAGAAAAGCAAGUCUCUACAUCGUUGGAGAAAUCAAAGGCUUAGCUUGUAUAUUUCCAGCUAUUAUGAUUAUUUGGUGUUGAAGCACUGAUUGCUCGGAGGUAUCAAGUAUUAUUUAUUUCAUUAAUUACUCAUCUUAGCUACUAAAUGUGUUAUAAAGAGCAAUCAUGCAUAUCAUGUAAGAGAGAAAAUUUGUAUCGGUGUAUGCGUAUGGCUAAUGAUUGAAAGAGAUUUGUCACCUCCAAAAGGUGAUUUUUUUUAAAUCCAGCCAAUCUUCCUAUUAUCACUAGGAGUGACAAAUAUUGUGAGAGGCAACAAAUUUGCUCCUGCAGAUCAUCGCUUGAACUCCAGUAGAGUUCAUGAGAAAUGUAAGAUCACUAGAAGUGAUUAUAUAUUUUAUAUCGUCUUAUUGUAACUAACUUUUGUUAACCACCAGAAGUGGUAUAUGCCUAUGACCACCAGAAGUGAUAAUUUAGGCUUUCUAUGGUUACAAUUAAAGAUAAGCUAGAGAAAUAUUCUCUAUAUUACAUGCACGCCUCGAUUUGAUCCUAAAGUAGUAAAUAUUUUAAAAGAAGUUGAAGCAUCACAANNNNNNNNNNNNNNNNNNNNNNNNNAUUACAAUUCACAUCCAUAAGAGUUAAUAUGAUUGAGAGAAUAUAUACUCAAUAUUUCGUAUUUUAAAUUUGCUCCUGAAGAAGUAACACAAUUAAAAUUUCCUCCUGAAGUAAGAAAAUAUUAUGAAGAGGUGUUUUCUUGUGCUUAAAUAAUUGUUUUAUAUUUUAUUUGAUUAUGAUUUUCUCUCAUGAUACCAGAAGUGUCUGAGCAAUAUUUGGUAGUAUAAAAUUUAUCAAAAGCUCCUGGAGAGCUAACUGUUUGUCUAGAAGACACAUGACACAAGUAGUGCCUGAAUAAUAUUUGAUUGUAGACAAUAAAUUGAAGGCUCCCGAAGAGAUUAUAUGCAAAUUUGUCAUUUAUAUUAGAUGAUUAUGGUCAAAACAUAUGUUGUAGUAAACCUAAAAUUUACUAAUAUAAAUUGCUAUCAUAUUGAGACUACAAAUAAUUGGAAGAUUGAAAAUCUUUAUGUUUCCACAAUCAUACGGAAUAAAAUAAUAUGUAUGUGAGAAGUUUACUAAUGCAAAAGCAGUCACAGUAAAUCAGAAGUUUUACUAAGGCAAAAGUAGCUGCAGUAAAUCAGAAAUUCGCUGAUACAAAAGUAGCCACAGUAAACCAGAAGUUUACUAAUGCAAAGGCAGUUACAGUAAAUCAGAAAUUCGUUGAUACAAAAGUAGUCACAAUAAAUCAGAAGUUUACUAAUGCAAAAACAGUCACAGUAAAUCAGAAGUUUUACUGAGGAAAAAGUAGCUAUAGUAAAUCAUAAAUUCGCUGAUACAAAAGUAGCCACAGUAAAUCAGAAGUUUACUAAUGCAACAAGUUUAUGCCAUAGUAAACCAGAAGCUUACUAAGAUAUAGCACAUGCUAUGAUAAACUUGAAGUUUUUAUUUGCCAUUUUUAAAUGAGCCAUUUGAGAAUUCAGAUAAGAAUAUACUGAAGAACUAGAAGGUUCUUCAAGAAUUCUCUUGUGUUGUUUGUUCUCAUAAUAAAUUGAUUAUACCAGCUAAAAUUGGGACUAAAAUCCAUGAAUUCUGAAAUAUAUAAAUGGUGAAUAUGGGUCCAUUCACUUAUCAUGUGAACCACUUAUAAAUGCAUAUAUGAGAUGGUUACAUGUGUCUUUAUUGUCAACCUGCAGUUUGGCAUUUGAAAUUGCCUUUCUCAAUUAAGAGCAUAAUUUUCAGAUUAUGAAAUCAAGAUAGUUCAUCUUGAUGAUGUUGGUUUAUAUCCAAACUACUUUAGCAUUGAAUACCUCCUAUUAAUGGUUAAACCGUUGAUUAUGAGAACAAAGCCUCAUGUGUUGGUCUAAGAUUUUUUAAAUUGCAUACAACAAUACUUGUAUGCAUCAGACCAAUAAAAUAUGAUAAGUCAUCCCCUCACAAUUGGUUUAGGAUCAGAAACCAAAUAUUUUUACCAUCUAAUAACUUUUGAUGUGUGGUAUAUGAUUAAUUUCUCUACCACAAUGCACAAAGAUAGGCUUCCCAAAGAAGAUUGGGGAUAUGAGUUUGUUUUUCUAACAUUUGGAGAUGGAAUAAACAGCUAGAAAAUAUGCUAUAUGAAUCGAAUUAUCAUUAAUAUGAUCCUCAUUUAGAAGAUAAUUCAAGUCAAAUGCCAGAAGCAUUUGAUGAUCUAAAAUUAAAUAUCAUAUUUAAGCUGCAAAUGCUCCUAUUAAAAUUAAAGUCCCUGAAGGAUAAAGUUUACUGCAUGCAUGAAGCAUAGUAAACCGAUCGGUUUCAAAGGUAACAAUCAUUAAAAAUUAUAGGAGCAAAUGAGUUUUAGAAGAGCCCACGACAUAACAUUUCAUGAAACUCUAGAAGAAGUUUAGGUACCUGAAAAUAAAGAAAGUGAUGAGAUCUCAACAAGUUAUGUUGCUUAGGAACCGAUAAAAAAUGAUCGUCGACGAUAUAUUUGAUACAAUAUAGUUCACAAUAUUAUAAAAGAUUGUGAGGAUCGGACCUGUAGUCCAGACACCUGAAGAUGUCAUGCCAUUUAAAUGCAAGUCAUAACCUAUAUGACUCAUUUGAUUAAGUCUAUAUGAAUAUCCCUUGACGAUUUAAAAUGCCUAAAGCAUAUAAUUCAAAGUAUCGUGAAAUGUACUCAAUAAUAUUACAAAAAAAAAAUUAUGGGUUAAAUCAAUCUGGGCGCAUGUCAUAUAAUCGCCUCAGUGCAUAUUUGCUGAAAGAAGGUUACAUAAAUGAUGUUAUUUGUUCAUGUAUUUUUAUAAAGAAAAUGACAUCAGAAUUUGUUAUACUUGUUGUUUAUGUUGAUGACAUAAAUCUUGUUGGAACUCUAGAAGAGUUCCAAAAAGGCAAUUGAAUAUCUUAAGAAAGAAUUUGAGAUGAAAGAUCUUAAAAAGACAAAACUUUGUCUUGAUCUGCAAAUUGAAUAUUUAGCAGAUUGGAUCUUUAUCCAUCAAUAUGCCUAAAGAGAAAGAUCCUUAAAAAGGUUUUACAUGGACAAAGUGCACCCAUUAAGUACAUCGAUGGGUGUUCGAUCACUUGAAAUAAAUAAGGAUCCGUUCCGACCUCCAGAAGAGGAUGAGGAACUCAUUGGUCCUGAAAUACUUUAUCUCAGUGCAAUUGGUGCACUUAUGUAUCUUGCUAAUGCUAACAAAGGUGGUGCAUAUCGUAUUGGUUAUACAGAUGGAGAUAAUUUAUCUGAUCCCUAUAAAGUUCGGUCUCAAACUGAGUAUGUGUUUACAUGUGGAUGUACUGUCAUAUCAUGGCGCUUCACAAAGCAAUCUAUUGUUGCUACUUCUUCAAAUCAUGCUGAGAUAAUAGUUAUUCAUGAAGCAAGUAGGGAAUGUGUAUGGUUGAGAUCAGUGAUUCAUUUUAUUCAAGAAAAAUAUGGAUUGGAAUGCAAUAAAAAACCCACAAUAUUAUACGAAGACAAUGCUACAUGCAUAGCCCAAUUAAAAGGAUGAUUUAUAAAAGGAGAUAGAAUAAAGCACAUUUCACCAAAAUUAUUCUACACACGUGAUCUUCAGAAAAAUGGUAACAUCGAUAUGCAACAAAUCCGUUCAAGUGACAAUCCAGGAGAUUUGUUCACUUUGCCAACUUCAACUUUUGAGAAGAUGGUAUACAAGAAAGAUUGGAAUGCGAAGACUCAAAUAAUUGGAACAAGGUUUUCAUCAGGGGGAGUGAAAUAUGCGUUGUACUCUUUUUUCCUUACUAAGGUUUUUCUCAUGGGUUUUUUCUUGUAAGAUUUUUAAUGAGGCAGCUAGAAUUGCGUAUUACUAAAUAUGUGUACUCUUUUUCAUUCACUAGAAUUUUUCUCAUUGGGUGUUUCCUAGUAAGGUUUUAACAAGGCACAAUAUCUUUUAAUGAACAUCAAAGGGGGAGUGCUAUAAAUAUAUUAUAUUAUGGGUGUUCAUUUAGUACUCCGCUGUAAAUAAGCUUCCUGAAGAAGCUUAUCCAUAUGGGACUCCGCCGUAAAUAUGUUUAUCUAUUUAGUACUCUGUUGGAAAUAAGCCUCCUGAAAAAGCUUAUCCUUUCGGUACUCCGUUAUGGAUAAAUAUUACCCCAGGUAGAAGAUUAUCUAUAUCUGGUACAGUAGCAGCUUACAAGCAGCUUGCACAAUAACUUACAAGAAGCUUACACAACAGCUUGCAGUAUGUCACGACCCCAAAUCCACUAGCCGUGAUGACACCUAACCCAACUCGCUAGGUAAGCCAACUAGUAACUAUCCAAUUUCAAUGAUAUUAACAAGACAAAUAAACGAUAGUAAUUUACUGAAUUUUAUACAUUUCUCAAGGACUGGUAGUACAAAUCAUAAGCUUCUAAGAAUAGAGUUUACAAAGCUAAAAUGAAAUAAAUACAUAGUCUGUUUGAAAAGUACAUAAACCGAGUUUUAUAGAUCUAAAGCAACCACGAACAAGGGGCAGCUACAACCAGGACGCAUGUACAUCUUCAAUCCAGCUCCCAUCGAACACAGCAACAACAACAACCAACAUCUGCACGCAAGGUGCAGAAGUGUAGUAUGAGUACAACCGACCCCAUGUACUCAGUAAGUAACAAACCUAACCUUAGGUUAAAAGUAGUGACGAGCUAACACAAGAUCGGGUACAAUACCAAUAUUCCACAACAGUUCAUAACAACAUAAUACAUGUAAUAAGAGAUGUAUCUCAGAAGUAAAAUGCUCAUCUCGUUCAAAAUUCCAGAAAAUAGUCAUGCUUUUCAAGUAUCUUAGUGAAAACCCAAAUCCUUUACCGAAAAUGUCAAAAAUACGAGUAAGUUUGAAAACUGUAAUUUUUUUCCAAAUAUCCAUUCCACAAUAUAUAAGAUGUUUCAUUUUCUUUCCAGAUAGCAAGUGUGAAAUACCUCUCUAUACCCACAUAUCAAUGUGUGUAAAAAAAAACGUCAUGAAUGACGUGAUACCGUAUAGCACGAGAAAAAAAUGCAUUUUUAUGCCUGUAUGUCAUGUGUGCAUGUCAAUGCCAUGCAUCUCAUAGAUGAAUCAUGUAUUCACACUCUCAGAGUAUUCAAUCUCACUGUCUCGCAUCCUCUCUCACUAUGCUCAAAGCUCAGCACACUCAAUCACUCAGCGAUGUACAAUACCCGUUGCGUCGUGUAACCCGAUCCACAUAUGCAUAGUUGACUGCGCCCACUUAGGUGUGUAGACUCUGCAGGGGCUCCUUCAUCCCAAGCGCUAUAUCGCUGCGGCGUGCAGUCCGAUCCCAAAAAAAUGUAAUCAAUAUAUCGAUGCGGCGUGCAACCCGAUCCCAUAAAAUAUAAUCAAUAUAUCGCUACGGCGUACAGCCCGGUCCCAUAAAAUGUAAUCAAUAUAAUAUGUUGCGGCGUGCAGCUCGAUCCCAAAAUGUCACUCUCACUCAGGCCCCCGGCCUCACUCAGGCAUCAAUCUCUCCAGUCUCACUCACGGGCUCACAAUGUCAUGAAACUAGCCCGACAAUAAUGAUAUGAUGUAUCAAUAAAUAAUAUCCGAGACUGAGUUAUGAUAUGAAUGCAUGGAUAUGACUGAAUACGAAAUAUCAAUAAAAUCAGUGAGAUGACAGUAAGAAACGACCACUCGGGGUCCAAACAGUAUAAGCAUAAUGCCUAAACAUGAUAUUUAGUAUGAUUGACAGCUUAACUACUUUAUCACAUGGUGGAAACACGGAUAUUAGCAAAGUAGGACCACUAAAUAGUGCCAUAGAAGCAGCAGAGUCCCAAUUCACAUGGUACACGCCCACACGCCCGUCACCUAGCAUGUGCGUCACCUCAAUACCAAUCACAUAACACAUAUUGCGGGGUUUCAUUCCCUCAGCACUAAGUUUAGAAGAGUUACUUAGCUCGAACGAGCCAAUACCAAUGUCGAGCAAGCCAAGCGAUACUCCAAAGAUGCCAUCACGCGUGUAGUGACAUCCAGACGACUCAAAACUAGUCAAAAGCAACUCAAAUACAUCAAAUAAAGCCCAAGGAAAUAAUUUCAAAUGAUAAAGAUCGAAUCCUUAAUCAAAACCCAAAACUGGCCAAAAAUUACACCUGGACCCACGCAUCGGAACCCGACAAAACUCACAAAAUCCAACAACUCAUUCAAUUACGAGUCCGACCAUUCUAGCUUCACUCAAAUCCGACCUCGAAUCGAUGUUCAAAAUUCAAAAAUUCAUAUUAUGAAACUUUAGGCUCAAACCCCAAUUUCCUCUUUAAAAUUCACAAUCCAAUUACCAAAAACGAAGGUAGAUUCAUGAAAUAUAACCAAAACCGAGUAGAGAAUACUUACCCCAAUUCAUAUGGUAAAAAUUGCCUAAAUCUGAGCCCCAUAGCUCCCAAAAUGAAGAAAGAACCAAAACUCUCGAUAAUAUAGCUUCUGCCCAGCCAUUCCGCAUUUGCGGACAAUUCGUCGCAUCUGCGGUAAAAAUUUCGCUUCUACGAAAACAACUGACCCAGCAAAUCCCUCGCACCUGCGGCCUUUAAGCCGCUUCUGCGGUUUCGCAGGUGUGUCCAAGCACCCGUACCUGCAAUCCUCACGCCCAGCUCCCCUUCACGCUUCUGCGACUCCUAUGUCGCUUCUGCAACCAUCGCACCUGCGCAAAACCAGCCGCAUGUACGAUCACACCAGAACCAGCAGCCUUCAGCAAAAAUCCAAAAUGCAAUGAAAUGAUCCGAACCUCGUCCGAAACUCACCCGAGCCACUCGGAACCCCGUCCGAAUAUAUUAACAAGUCCAAUAACAUAACAGAGGCCUAUUCGAGGCCUCAAAUCACAUAUAACAAUAUCAAAAUGACGGAUCACACCUCAACUCGAAAUCAAUGAACUUUGAAACUUCGAACUUCCACAACCGAUGCCGAAACUUAUCAAAUCACGUCCGAUUGAUUUCAAAUUUUGUACACAAGUCUCAAAUGACAUAACGAAGCUAUUCCAAUUCCCGGAAUCAUAAUCCGAAUCCAAUAUCAAAAGGUUCACUCCCGGUCAAACUUUUCAAAAAUUCAACUUUUGCCAUUUAAGCUAAAGUCCACUACGGACCUCCAAAUCGCAAUCCGGACGCGCUCCUAAGUCCAAAAUCACCUAACGGACCUACCAGAACCAUCAAAACUCCGUUCUAGGUUAAAAUUUACAAAAAGUCAAACUUGGUUAACUCUCCCACUUUAAAGUUUCAACAAUGAAAUCUAUUUUUCCAAUUCGAUUCUGAAUAACCUGAAAAUCAAAACCGACGAUUCACAUAAGUCAUAAUAUAUUAUACGGAGCUACUCAUGUCCGUAAAUUAUCGAGCGAAGUGCAAAUACUCAAAACAACCGGUUGGGUCGUUACACAGUAGCAGUUUAUAAGCAGCUUGUAGUAGCAACUUCAUUUCUUCUAUAAAUAGAGGAGAAUUCAGUUCACUAUGUACAUCAGUUUGAAAUUGAAUAAAAAUAUCAAUCUCCCUAUAUACUUGUCUUCGAUUUAUUUACUUUACAAUCUUUAUUUUAUAACAUUCAUAUACUUUUGCUGCAAAAUAAUUGGCAUUAUUGUUUUCGCACAGUGUAUUUACAUCAUUCAAUUCAAAUUUGAGAAAAUUCAAUAUUUACCGCAAAAAGGGUUAAAAUGAAUAGAAUCCAGCUAGAGAAUUAUUUUCGGAAAAUAAUUUUUUCGGAAAAUAAUUUCUGGAAAAAUUGACAUAUUGGAUUGCUUAGGUGGAUGACUAUGUAAGUAAAUCUAAUCCAAUUAGACUGACACAAAACUAACAGUUUAAGAGUGAUUCAAAAAAUAGACGGGAUAUUUUUGAUACAAAAAACAAACAAAUUACAUUUUUGAUUUUGAGCUAUUUCAGUUAGUUAGUGGCAUUUUUGGCCCUAUUCCGUUUAAACGAAGAACACAAAGCUUUGAUCAAAAGACAAAAAAGCUACCACGGUGGAUGCACUGUGUUUUCUCACUUUGCCACAUCAUCCUCUCUAUUCCCCGCCCCCACCGGCCGCUACUCCACCGGCAAGUCGCCGUCGGCGAACUCGUCGGAUCUUCUAAAACCCUUCGAAUUUUUAUAUCAUUCAUAAAAUGAGUCGAUAACGCUUGCUUUACUCGCAGAUCUAAUUCAGUGUCGCAAUAAGUUGGAAGGAUUUGUAAAAGCAGUAUAUCAAUUUACUAAUGGCUGCGCCGAAUAUGGAUCAAUUUGAGGCCUAUUUUCGGCGAGCUGAUUUCGAUCAGGAUGGUCGGAUCAGUGGCCCUGAGGCUGUUGCCUUUUUCAAAGGCUCCAAUUUGCCUCAACCAGUCCUCGCUCAGGUUUUUUCAUUUCUGCAUUUUGUUUUUUUGCCACCUGCCGUUUAAUAAGAAGAAAUAGAAUUAAUAUAAUUUUUGUUAUGCUACUAAGUUUUCAUAAUUAGGCAAGCUGGUCCUGUUUCAAUGCGCUUAAGUUUGAACUGUUUCACAUAGCCAUGAAGUUCACGUGAUUGCUACGUACUUCAAUUUUUUUUUUCUUGCUCUAUUGUUUGAAGCACGUUAGGUAUAAUUUUUUAGAUCAUUUUAGCUGCUAAUUUUGUCGCAUGAUAGGUAUAAGGGGGUGCGCUGAGAUGGAAUAUAUGGUUAUUCAGUUGUUUGGCAAAAAGUAAGUUUUUGCAGUUAUUAUACCGAACUAAUUUUCAGGAACUUGAGGAAUUAUGAUAAUGGAUAAUAGAUACUGAAAAGUUUCUUCCAGUGGUGAGAUGAUUUUUUUUACAAGAACUGUCACAACCAUAGCUAUGUUUUGAUAAUUUGAAACCUUCAGUUUCAAUUCUAAUAAUACAUAAUAGUGGUCCACAAACUGAGGGAAAGAAGAAAGAGCUUACUGGUGAAUCCAGGACCUAGUUAGUAAAAUAUGUUUUAGUAAACUUGAGCAGAGGAAAAAGAGUGACAAAUAACUUUGUGGUUCAGCCUGUGAUUGUUGAACCGUGUCUCGAUAUUCUAGCUGGUGUUGUAUUAAGUAGCUCUGCAAUUAAUAUGCUGCUUGCUAGAAGUCAGGUCUAGGUAUCAAGUUCAACAUAGUCAAGUUGGGGAAGAAGUAGUUUGUGUAGUCUCUCUGACUCUUGUUAGAUAUCUGGAGCUAUCGAUGUACUAAUGUUAUUUUUAAUACUAAAUUUCACAUUUUCUUUUGCUUUAUGUAGAUAUGGACCUAUGCUGAUCAAAGUCGUACUGGGUUCCUUGGUCGCCAAGAAUUUUAUAAUGCUCUUAAGCUCGUCACAGUGGCACAAAAACGAGAGUUGACUCCAGAAAUAGUGAAGGCUGCACUAUUCACUCCAGCUUCAGCUAAAAUUCCUGCCCCCCAAAUAAACCUUGCAGCUGUACCCGUUCCCCAACCAACUAAUAAGGUUGGGGCUGCAGUUCCUCCAGUUAGUGGUGCUACUCCAACAGCAUCUCAAACUUUUGGCAUUAGGGGUCAACAAGGCUUACCAGCUCAGCAAAGUCAUUACAUGAGGCCUCCUCGGCCCUCGAAUCCAAGCCCUGGUUUCCAAUCUCAACCAAAUAUUUCUGGUCAAGGAAUGCUAGUUGGAAGUACUGUUGUAGCUUCUCGCCCUCCCAGUUCCACUGAUUUGCCUGCUGGUCGGAAUGGUGGCUCACAAGCAGGUCCUGGUUCCCAAGCCCCAAAUACAAGUGUCAGUUCUAGAAGUCAGGAUGCAUUUGGUCUUGUUGCAUUGACGCCUUCUGCACAACAAACCCAACAAGCAACCACGUCAUCACUGCAACUAGAUCUAUCAAAAUCAAAUGAUGCAACUUUGUCGCAUGGUAACCUGCCUGAUGCUAAAGUUCCUAAAGCCGUUCCAGUGGCAGGAAAUGGAUUUCCAUCGGAUUCACUCUUUGGAGAUGUUUUUUCAGUUGCGUCAGUUCAACCCAAGCAAAGCUCCACACCAACUAUAUCUUCCGCAGUUUCAUCAGCCACAGUCCCAACACCUACAGGGCCCCAACCUCCUAUAAAGGCUAGCUCAGUUGAUUCGCAGACUACACUUCCUCAGCAACCGGUUCACCAGCACCAGCAAGCUCAUUUGAUUGUGAGACCGAACCAACAGUUUCAAGUGCAAAGUUCUGCUGCAAUUCCUAGUGCAGCUAGAAAUUCUCUUCCAGGCCAGUCUCAGCUUCCGUGGCCAAGGAUCACGCAGUCUGACUAUCAGAAGUAUAGCAAAGUAUUUAUGGCAGUGGACACAGACAGGGAUGGAAAAAUUACUGGCACGGAGGCACGGAGCCUGUUUCUAAGUUGGAAGCUGCCUCGAGGUGCGAUUUGCUCUCUCUGAUUUAGCUCUUAGAUUCCGUGUCCUUCUGUUCGAUCCUUCUUGUUACUAAGAGUAAGCGCUUAGGUUUGUUACCUCUUGAACUGUUUAUUGGAUUCAAACUGCUCAAAACUUCAGCAAAUGGUGCAAUUCUAUCCUUUUCUGACUUAUGUUUACUUCUCUUGUUAGUUUUUCCCUUUCUCUUGAUAUUUACUUCACUUUACUUGUCUUAGGGAAACCAACUUGAGUUUGCUUAUAUAGAAAGAGUCAUUGAAAAGGAAAUGGUUGUCGAAAAGUUGUCGGAAAAUUUUGGAUUGCCGGAAGCCCACAGGGCUUUGGUAUAGUGGUAAGAGCGCAACUUGUGAUGUGUGGGUUAGACGCACGUCACAGGUUUGAACCCUGCUGCAGACAAAAGCCUGGUGUUUAAGUGGAGAAGGAUAGAAUGACGGGCCCAUUAUCCAUCGAGUUUCAAACCGUGCGCCAUUGGCCCUCAGAGACUUCUCAGUCACCAAAAAGAAAAAACAGUUUGGAUCUCCGGAAUCUCACUGGAAGAGUUGUAGUCACUGUCUUGUGGAAGAAAUUUUAAUUUCCAGAAUCAAAUUUUUGCUGCUGGAUCAUUGGUCGGAGUAUUAGUAGGAUGGACUCGGUGCCAUUAGAACUAUCACUUUGAAAGAGCCAUGGCACUGUGUACUAUUUGGAUGUAGAGAUUCCCCAUUACGUCUAAAUAGUUUAGUAAAAAGACAUUCUACCUAUGCCAAAAUGUCCUGUUAUUGGACAAGUCCUCACUGAUGGAUUGAGCCAGUUGUCAUCUGUAGAUUAGUUAUUGGUAGAAGUUGCCUUGCCAUAAAGAAUCUUAACGUCAUAAUAGCAGUACUCUGUCCAUUAAUUUUACAUGCUGGACACGGAGAUUAAGGAGUUAAUUUGAGUCCCAAUCGUAUUUCUAGAGAUAGAAGAAAAUAAUUGUGUUACUUUGUAUAUAAAGUAGGUCCUGUGGACACUGCAUUAUUGCUUGUUAAAAGGUGUAAUUCACUCUGUUGAGCACCUUACAAGUGGGUGAGUUUGGAUUAAGCUACAAAUGGAUUGCGAGAAAAAGUGGGACUUGAGGAUAACAACAUUGAGCAUAAGAUUUUUUUUUGAUAAAGACCAUUGAUUACUAAAGACACAUUUGGACCAUGUAUGCUAUUGAAGUGAGUAAUAAUCUGAAACUUACUGCGACUACCAUAAUUACUUGUAAUAUCCUAAAAAACAAAUAUGAAAUAUAAUUUUUAUGAUAAUAAGAAAGUCGUCGUAUAGAGUAUAAACUGGACAGAAAAUGGAAUUCACCAAGUACAUUCUUCCCUGAACAAAGAAGUUCCAUUCUUGGGGCUUUUACUUUAGGUUUCCUAGCUUUACAGUUUCCGUUCAACAGCUAGUAGCUUUUGCAACAGAAACUUACAAUGUUAGUAAACAGUAGUGGUAGAGCAUACCAUGUUAAAAAAAGGAACAGCAAAUUAGUGGUAAAGCAUAUGAUUCUCACUUCUUUGAGACUUGUCGCUACAAUUGCUUUGAGGCAUUGUACUUGCUGUGUCACAAUGCUAAGCUAUUGGUCACUUGGCUCUUUGGAACAUUGUUUGUACGACCUACUUAGAGUGUGAUAGCAUAUCUCUUACUCUUUUGAGAAUCUUGCCUACAAUUAUCUUAGAAUAUCUUGGUCUCUAUCUUAAAGCCAAACUGGUGUUUACUUGGUCCUUUGGGACAUUAAUGCAGUUUGCUUUUGGUUUAUCAGAGGUCUUAAAACAGGUGUGGGAUUUAUCGGAUCAAGACAAUGACAGCAUGCUUUCUCUGAGGGAAUUCUGCAUUGCACUUUACCUGAUGGAGCGGCACAGGGAAGGUCGCCCUCUUCCUUCAGUCCUUCCAGCUAAUCUUAUCUUUGACGAGUCGUUAUUGCCUGCUUCUGGUCAGCCUACAGGAACACAUGGUGCGACAGCUUGGAGACACACAUCAGGUAUAUUUCACCCUUUUUACACUAUGCACAUAUAUGUUUUGGACAUGGUUUGUGAGCAGUGGUGGACCCGGAAUUUUAUACAAGCGGGUUCAAUCUGAAAAGACGAUAAAUAAAAAUAUGGACGUCGUUGUGCCCGACAAAUGUGAUUUAUGUAUGUGCAUUCCUUUUCCCCUAUUCAUAACUCGGACUCAAGGUGAAACCAUUUUGAACUUGGAGUUGGCGCUCGCUAGUUAUUAAAUAACGUUGAAUUUUUUAAUUUGUUUUAACAAAAACUAUAAAACUUUAAUUAAAUAUUUGUAAUUAUCUAUCUAAUUUAAUUUAAAUUUGAAAAAUAUCAACUGCCUUUUAAACUUAAAAAAAUCUAUUUAAUAAUUCUAAAUUUUUUAUUGAACUCUAAGAAAAAUCUAUUUCUUGUUUAUAAAUAGCAAAGUUGUUAUUUACUGAGAAGAAGACAACAAAUAUAAAGAGUUAUAAACAUUUUAACACAAAUUAUUAAAGAAAAGCAACUUAUAAGCUAACGAUUCCAAUGGAAUCCAAAACAUUUAAUUUGAACAUAAGCUAAAUCAAUAAAGUAUAAAUAAUAUAAAAACAUUAUACUUGCAUAUUUUAACAAAUUUAUUAAAUAGAAGCAAAAUCACGAAGUUUUAAUUUCUUAAAACGUAAAAUGAACUUUUAAAUGACUCUUAUUGGAUGAGAAUAAAGAAAACAAGUAAAAUACAUACAUUUGCAAAGUCAAAUAGAAAGAAAAGGAAAAGAAAAAGAAGUGAAAUAGAAAGGAAGGAAAAACUAGGACGGAUGGAGUAAAGACGUAAAACUCACGCACGAAUCACAUAUAACCACAGAACAAUAGCAGCAGGGAUUCGAAAUCACGACCUUCUUGAAAUAUAUGAACCCGCUUUGCCAUCUUUCCGCUUCUGUAUCUUCGGUCAAGCGGAUUCAAUACAUUACAAAUAAUGAACUAUAUAAAAAGUUUUAUUUUAUUGAUAAUGGGAAAGCGAGGUAUACCAAAAAGUAGAUAAUAUACAGAAAGGUAUGAUUCUCUAUGAAAGACAUCCAAUCUUCUAUACAAUAGAUCGAAGCACUGAAAGAUGAGACAAUAUCGAAGUAAAACAUAUUUCACAGAUUGUACUGGUUUUUGAUGUUGGCAUCUUUUUUUGCCGUAGGUUUAAUUCUGUUUGUUGUCCUAGUGACGCGGAAUGUAUUUUUACUUUGGGGCUUUAUUCAAACUAUGUUAUCCUUUUUCUGGUUGUAGAUUUAUGUACUAUUUAAAUAAAAAAGAACAAAAACAGUAUUUCUGGAAUGGAGGAGUGUUAUGCGAUAGGAAAAACCUACAAAAGUGAAAGACAAGUUGAACAUAAUGGUUAUGAGACCAGACUUCAUCAAAGAAAUAAUGGUUAUGUGACCAGCCAGUUGAGCAUUAGGCAUCUAAGGCCCAACAUAUUCACAAAAUGUAAAAGGUGAAUAAUAAGAUAUAUGUGCAGUCACACAUUAUUAAACAAUAUAUGAAAUGAGCACAUCUGAUAUAAAGUACAAGUAGCACUCAGAUGAUAAAACGAAAUAUGGUCACUUGAGAUGGUAUGACCAUGUCAUACGUAGCAGUAUUCUUAGAGGCUUGCUUAAGGCGCAUUUAAGUUUUGAAGCUAGCUAAUCAGGUUCUGCACAUUCGCCUUGCUUGGGUGGAGCUAUAUUGCAGGCAUCGUUGUAUUAAGGCAUUACGAUACCAACACUAAGUAAUAAAUAUUGUUGGUAGAGUGAUAAAUUGUUAACAAUACAUUAUGAAUGAACUGUUUAGUAAUUAGGAAUAACAAAUUAUAAAUCUAGCAUAAGAAAACUAAUCGCUGUAAACUUCAUCUUUACAUCUAAAUAAAAGAUGUUAAAUGUUUCUUGAACUUGAUUGACGUGAUGUUUUACUUCAUGUAUUUCUCUUAAUUGUAGUUUUUUAAUUGUUCUAUCCUAAUCCUUUUCUCCCAUUUAUUAUUAGUUUUUCUUGUAUUACAUAUAUGGUUUUCUUUUUUUCUUCAUUAGUUCCUUUCUUCAGUAAAACAUGUGGUGUGAAUUUUGAUUGUUUUUUGUGCUUAAAGCUCAGUAGACCUUAGGGCUUUUCUAUGCCUUUGCUUGGCUAUUCUAUGUACAACUCCAAAUAUGCUAGUCUCUGGUGUGACAUUACGAUGAUUGAAGGUGUUAAAUGGGGAUAAGAUGGAAUAAAAUUACAUUGAGAGAAGUUGUCUUAAAAGACCUACAAUCUUUUAAAAUACAUAAAUAAGAACUAAAUACAAUAGAAGCAAAAGAAAUAUAGGCGAUACCAUUGUAUCAAUUAGCUGAGGUUAAGGUUUAGUCAUGUUAAAUCCAGCGAUUAGUUUCUCUUCCCAUACAUUUAUGUUUUUUUUCCUCAUUAGUUCCUCUCUUUGCUAAACCCUAAGCCUUAAUUGCACUUUGUGCUUAAAGCUCUGCAGACCUCUGGUGCUUUUCUACAUUGUUCGCUUGACAACUCAUCGACGUAGACCUCCAAAAUACACCAUUCUUUUGGUGCCACAUAUGCGGCAUUACGAUGUCUGAAGGUAUUAAAAAGGAUAAGAUUCAUCAAAAUUACAUUGAGAGAAGUUGUUUUAAAAGACCUUUCAAUCUCUAAAUAUAGUCGUACAUAAUUGAAAGCAAAACACAAUAAAAACAAAAGGCAUAUUAGGCGAUACCAUUAUAACCAAUUGGUUAAGGUUAAGAUUUAGUCAUGUUAGAAGUACACUUAUGUUCGGUGAUUGCCAAGAGUCUCUCUAGUUUGUUUAACGUUUUGUAUGUAGAUAGAAAAUAUGGAGAACUUCUAGAGAAACCAUAUUUGCCUCUAGAGACAAAUUAUUGUUGAAAUUAAGCGGGUCCAAAUGGAGUGGAAUGAAUAUUGAUGAUUCCCAGGCGAACCGACUAGUUUGAAAUGAGGUGCGAUUCGAGCUGAACUGACUAGUUUUAAAUGAGGCAUAAUUAUUUUGUUGUUGUGAAUACAUUCAUGGAACAUUUUUCUAAGAUCCUUUUCAAAUGUCUACCUCAGAACCUGUUAUAUAUUUGAGAUAAAAGAUAGAAGUUUAAAACAGAAAGGUGGAUUUGAAGGGGGUGCUGGUGUGCAUGGAAGAGCUUCAAUAAUCUUAGAGUUUGUUGAAGCAAGACAAAUCAAUGUUCUCUGCUUUCAUUUCUUUGGAUUUACUCAACGUUUUGUUUUUGCUUUUUAUUAAAAAUAUUAAUCCUAAAAAGCACAACUUACUCAUAUGGGUUGCUAAAUAUUUUUUCUGAAGUUUGACAAAAAACUUUUUCUUCUUUGAUCUAAUAAUGGUUAAUAUCUCUAAGUGUGGUUUAGGCUUAUAAAAAAUAUCAUAGUUGUGGUUUAGAAUUUUAGAUUUGUUAAUAUAAGACCUUCCAUUGAACAGUGCGAAAAUUAUAAGAUUUAUAUUCCCUUGUGUUUGGUGUUCAUAUCCACUUAUUCAAGUACAUGAUCGGCACACAUGUAUGCAUUUUUUGUUAGUGUACCGUAGCAUGUGGAUAGAAUCAAGCAGAAAUUAACGAUGAAAUUUUUUAUUUGUACUACAACAAUGCUGUACAUUUUUUAAAGAGAAUGUAGUAGAUGAAUGCUUAACGAGAAUGUAGUAGAUAAAUGUGGUAGAUGGAUUAUUUCUUUUUAUAGAAACCGGUGAUAUUCUAUAAGAGGGGUAAGAAUUUCAGAUCACUUUCUAUGUUAUUGAGUUAGAGAAGGAAGCUAAAUCUUAGUUACUAUUUUCACGGACUCAUUUAUAUGGUGAAAAAUUGAUAAUACAAUUUAAAGGAAUUACAAGAGUGGGAUAACUAGUAUGUCAAUCAAUAAGGCAUUUGGUAUUUCUUGUGCCACCAAGACUUAAAAGGUAAGUUCUACAGAGUGGUGGUUAGACUGACUAUAUUUUAUGGAGCUGAGUGAUGGCCAGUCAAGAAAUCCCAUGUCCAAAAAAUAAAAGAAGCAGAAAUGAGAAUGUUGAAAUGGAUGUGUGGGCAUAUCAGGAGAGAUCAGGUUAGAAAUGAAGAUAUUCGAGACAAGGUGAGAGUGACUCCCGUGGAGGAAAAGAUGCAAAAAAGUGAGGCUAAGAGGUUCGGGCAUGUGAAAAGGAGAGGCACAUAUGCCCUAGUGAGGGGGUGUGAGAAGUUGGCCUUUGUGGGUCUGAGUAGAGAUAGAGGUAGGGUAAAGAAGGAUUGAGGAGAGGUUAUUAGACAGGACAUGGUGCAGUUCCAGCUUAGCGAGGACAUGACUCUUGAUAGGAGGGUGUGGAGGUCGAGAGUUAGGGUAGGGAGUCAAAUGUAUUUCUUUUUCAUACUAGUAGUAUUAGUAUUAUUCUUGUAUUCUCUGAUUUCGCUCCGGCUGCCCUAUAUUUUCGUAUUUUGUGAUUCUUAGAUUUAUAUUACUUCAUGUUGUCUCUUUCGCUCAGGUAUCUUCGUAUCUUGUUAUUGUUACUGCUUAUUGCUAUGGCUUCUUUUUCGUUUGAGCCGAGGGUCUAUUGAAAACAGCCUCUUUACCUUCACAAGGUAGGGGUAAGGUCUAUGUACACACUACCUUCCCCACACUCCAAUUGUGAGAUUACACUGGGUUUUUUGUUGUAUCUAUAUCGAGUAUCUCACUUGUGAAUUCCAUCUAUUCAGUUAGUCUCGUCAUUCUUCCUCUCUAGGUUUCCAGCAAACACAGGGGCCAAGGGGUGCACACCAAGUGGCUUCUGGUGCUCCGGGGAAGCCUCCACGUCCAGUUCCCAUUCCCCAGCCUGAUGAAGCUGUGCAGCCUAGUAAACAGAAGCCGAAAGUUCCAGUAUUGGAGAAGCAUCUGGUUGACCAACUUAGUACAGAGGAACAGGAUUCAUUGAACUCGAAGUUCCAGGAAGCAACUGAUGCAGAGAAGAAGGUCGACUAUAAAUGUUUUUUCAAAUGUUUUUUCCAGUCUCCUUCACUUGGCUCAAAUCCCCCUUUCUGUUUUUUUUCUUUUCUUUUCUAUAAUUGCUUCCUGAAUUAUGAACAACCAGUGAGAGAAACACUGGUAUUUGGGAUGGAUCUUUUUCACUAGGUACUAGAGUGGUGGUCAUUUUGUCAAAUCUCAUAUCUAAUGUUUACUUGUUGAAGUGUGUAAUAUACCACAGGGUAAAUCUUCCAAGAGACUAUCUGGUCUCUUCCGUGUUUUGUUACGUCAUUUGUUGUGUUUACUUUAUUUUGGAUCUGAUGUAUGGAAAGGCAAGCGUAAUUCUGUUUAGGAACUGAAGAAUAGAAACUAUGCUGUAACCUUGCGGGCAAAGCAUUAUGUUUGCUUCAGAUUGUGAAAAAUAUAUGCUACUGACAUGGUGUCUGGUCCGUCAUAAUUUCAUAAGCAGUAAAUUUUUGGAUAUUUCUCACAUGCUCAUAAUAUCUGGACUUUGUGGAAUUGCAAAUGCUGCUUUGAAGCCAUUGGUAAUAAAAUUUCGUUCUUUACCAGUUAAAGUUGGUGCUGUUAACGAACAAUGCUGAAUCUUCGUAUUUGAUUUAAAAAAUGUUGAUCUAACUUGAUACUUAAGUUCUUUUGUCAGUUAAAGCUUGAUUUAUUGAUGAGUACUCCUAAUAACCAAUAGUAAUUGACGGUUAUUCCUUUAUCUCUUAUGCCAUAAUGCCAAUCACAGGUCAUGGACCUGGAGAAGGAAAUUUUAGAUGCCAAAGAAAAAAUUCAGUUCUACCAUGCAAAGAUGCAAGAAUUAGUGAGUAUCUUGAUCGUUAUGUAUCUAAAGUUCUCUCGGUUUUAUUCAGAUAUCUCUCAAUGUUUAAUUUAUUAAAAAUAAAAUAAAAUAGAUCUCUCAAUGUUUCUAAGCUGGGACAUAAAUCCUGAAAUUGGUCCCGCCACGCCCUUGGGGGACAUAUUAGGUGUUAUUCCCAGGGUAGAAUUUCCUUCUUAUGUGUACUACUGAUUGUGUUUAGUUUGUUUGACUUGUUAUCUCAUUAGUGACCAAAUAGUGCCAGACAAGCAGCUACAUGCAACCGAUUUCGUCCAUCCUAGUAAUAAGUCAGUUUCAAUCUUUUUGAUGACUUUGCAUGGCCGCUUGGAUUCUUGGUAAAGUUUGCACUAAGAUUAGCACAAACAUAAGGUUAAUGCUUGCGCACACCUUGACUAGCUAUUUUUUUUCCUGAGUUUUUCACUGCUGCACUAUUUUGGUACACCAUGCUAACAGCAGGAACCUUCACAUACUAAGUAGUUAUGGGUGUCUAGAUCUGGCCGAAUAUAGAAUUAUGACCCAUAACCAUAAAAUGCAGCGGGGUCUUGGAUGAUAAGAUUCAGCUGAGAUUAAGAGUGCAGGUCACAGUUCCACUAUUUCUACUUGGCUCCUUAACUAAUCUUUUGACUUUUGAGCCUGAAAUUCACUUACUAUUUAGUGUCUUUUAUUAUUCAUAUAUCAUACACCAGCUUAAAGGUGUUCCAUUUCAUUCAGGCCACGUGAAUUACCAGUUUUUGUCUUAUGGCUAUGGCUUGCCAAGUUCUGAAUAAUUAGUGAUUAUAUCUUUAUAUGCUCUAGGGUAAUCAUGUCAUACAUUUAUUUAUAGCCUUGGUUUUGUGCUGUUCUUCCUGAAGCCGUGAAUUUAUAUUAACUGAUCGGUGGGUUUCCUUGCUGCCGUGUUCAGCAAUGGAUAGCUGAAGUUGAAAGCACAUCACUAAAACUGUCUGCUUUUCUUUGGCCUUUUACAUCAGAUUCUAUACAAAAGCCGAUGCGAUAAUAGACUAAAUGAGAUCACCGAAAGAACUUCUGCUGACAAAAAAGAGGUAAAGCUUAUUUUGAACACAACAAAUUUGAGCACACGGCCAAUGAUUUGUUAACUAAUAAAAGUUGACCAUUUUACAGGUCGAAUUACUGGCUAAAAAAUAUGAAGAGAAAUACAAGCAGACUGGAGAUGUUGCUUCUAAGUUGACAAUUGAGGAGGCCACAUUUCGGGAUAUUCAGGUAUUUUUGUGGCUCUUCCUAACCCAAUUCACUGAUGUGCUAGCGUCUAGUAUAUUGUAUAAUUCUGCUGAACCUUUUGUAGGAGAAAAAAAUGGAGCUUUAUAGAACGAUUGUCAAAAUGGAUCAAGAUGGCAAAACUGAUGGUAUCCAGGUAGCUAUAUUUUACCACUAAUAGAUUUGCUGGAGAUAGCUAGAACAUUUCAGAUUUAAACUCUGGCUUUUGUAGGACCGUGCUAAUCAGAUUCAGGCAGACCUCGAGGGGCUAGUAAAAGCAUUGAACGAACGCUGCAAAACUUAUGGGCUACGGGCCAAACCAACUACUCUGCUUGAGCUUCCAUUUGGUACUUGCGCUAGUAUUUUUUUUGUAGUUCUUGCAAUUAUGUGUGCUUUCAUUGAGCUAUUUUAUAUGUUCUUAUUCUUGAUACCAUAAAAUCCAGAUUAAAAACAUUGUCGAAAAUUUAUUUCCUGCAUUCCCUGUUAUUUUUGGUUCUGAAUUGAUCCCAUAUGAGUUAUUGGUAUUCGCGAGAAAUGGCUUAGCUCAUCAAACAAGUGCGCCAAAAGUGGGGGAUGGUAUCAUAUUCUCUUAUAAGAGAGGCACGCCUGCUUUUAGCUCGUAGUUUCACUCUUGCUUUGGGUUCUACCCGGCUGUUUAGUUGUUCUUUAAAGUGCCAUUUAUGUUUUACUUUUGUUGGCUUCAGCCUCAAGCCGAAGCCUUCCUUUUGGCACCCAAGUUCAGUGUAGUACUUUAUUGGGGGUAUCAUUAUUAAUUUCUUGCUGGCUGCAUUAGGAUUUCUUUCAGUUUUAUAGUUUUCUAGCCUGUUGAUUAUAAAAUAAAAAAGCACCUGUUGAUAGUAUGAGAAUGUAAUAUGUGGCAUGUAUACAAGUUAAAAGGAGUAUAUAUUUCAAUUUCUCUAAAGAGACCAUGUGCAUCUAGAUCAUGAGUUGGGACUAAUUCUGAUGUCGAAGAGCUGUGUGUGUCCAUCUAACGGUCUGUAUCUUGGUGGGAAAAUGGGAUAACAUGCCAUUUUGAUGAUUCUUGUAUUUUUUUGCCUAAGCUGCUCUGAUUUUCAUUGCUUUAAUUUUUUAAUACUUUCUGAUAUAUUAGUAAUAAUUGUAAAGGUUGGCAACCGGGCAUCCAAGAGGGGGCAGCUGACUGGGAUGGAGAGUGGGAUAAAUUUGAUGAUGAAGGUACGCUGUAAAACGUCAUUUUAAAAUCAAACAUUCAAAGUGCCUCCAAAGUGGUCCAGAGACCAUCUUAUCAGCUUAUCAUUUUUAGAUUAAAAGACUGACUUUCAUAGUGCCUAUAGAGACCACCGGAUCAUCUUCUUUUCCUCCCUUUGCUUUGUGCUUUUUUUUUUAUAUUAUUAUUAAUUCUUUCUGUGGGUAAGUAAGAUUUCAUUACCAGGGAGAAAAUAUUUACAUACAAAGCAAAAACCUCUAAAGCUUGUGUGAGAGUUCAAGACAUGAGAAGAAAGAAUUUCUUGUAUACAUUUGUGUCUUACAUUAGCCCUAUUUACAUAGGGUGUUUACACAGUACUAAACCCUUCUCUACCAAUGUGGGACAUUAUACAUACUACUAUAUAUACUAGCUUUCUAACACUCCCCCUCAAGCCGGUGCAUAUAAAUCAUAUGUACCGAGCUAUGUAAUUAAUAUGAGGACCAAUGAGGGACUUGAUGAAAAUAUUUGUAAGCUCAUCAUUAGACUUCACAAACUUUGUAACAAUAACUCCCGAGAGUAUUUUCUCUCUGAUGAAGUGAUAGUCAAACUCAAUGUGUUUGGUCCUCUCAUGGAACACUGAAUUUGACGCAAUAUGAAGGGCAACUUGAUUAUCACACAUAAGUUCUAUCUGACAGAUUUCUCCAACUUUUAAUUCUCUGAGCAAUCUAUUCUAACCAGCACCAGUGGACAACACCAUUACAACUAAGUAUACCAAUUCAAUGUCUUCAGCUGUGCCAGCAACUUUCACAUUGCAACCCCCCGAGCAUGUAUAUCUUGCACAAUCAUCCUGAUGAGGACGUCGGCAUUUCUCCUUUUGUCUUGGAAGAUUAUGAGAUUUCUUUCUUGCCAUAUAGCAGGCACAAGCAGCUAGAGCAAUUCUGUAUAUUUCGGCACUCCCAUUCUUCCCUCUUGCAUAUGUCUCUGCCCAACUUUGCUCUAUAGACCAUUCCUUCGGCUGACUAGAUAUUCCCUGCCAUAUCCGUAGCCUGCUCCAUACUUCUUCGGAAUAUUUACACAAAGAAUAAGUGUUCUCUUGUUUCAUCCUCAGCUUCACAGAGGGCAUAGCACAUUAGUAGCAAUAUUAUUAUUAUUAUUAUUAUUUUUUUUAAUUUUUUUCAAGUUGUCCAAAAUGAUACACCCAUUGUAUUGUUGAAUAAUUGUCCUCAGAUUUCACAUUUGUGAAAGAGCUCACUCUCGAUGUACAAAAUGUCAUUGCCCCUCCUAAACCAAAAUGCCCAUUGGUUCGGGAGAAAGCAUCUUCUUUGAAUGACCAUGAUACUGGAAAAUCAUCUGCCGAUGCUGGCACUGAUGCAAAGGCAGAGAAGUUACCAAGCCCAGUAAAAGCUAGAGAGAGUGAUGUGGAGACUGCCCAUGCAGCAAGAAGUCCAGCUGAUAGUCCAACCAGAAGUAGUGCAGUUGAGAGCCCGUCAAAAGAAUUUGAAGAAUCACUGAAUAGGAAGGACAGUACUUUUGAUGGUUCACCCAAUGCUGCCCAAAGGUAAUGUGUUGUUUUUGUUCUUCUCUUUUGGUGAUUUGAUCUCUCAUGGUGUUGUAUUCUCCAAAUAAUGUCACACCUAUUCUAUUAUUCAGUCAUAUUCUUUGAUGGAUUCAGCUUCUCUAAUCUGCUAACUUUUCUUAGAAAUCUGAACUUCUGUAUACUUUACUAAUGCAGUGAACACUGGGGAACUGAGUCUGUGUUCUCUGGGGACAAAAGUUUUGAUGAAUCUGGUUGGGGUGCAUUUGAUACAGGCCGUGAUGCAGAUGCUGCGUGGGACUUCAAUUCUGCUUCUAAGGUAAGUGGAUACAUCUCUUUCAUUUUUGUUAUAAGAAAAAAAGAAAAGAAAAAGGUAAAUGGAUACGUCAGAUGUUCGUUCUUUCGCUUUUUCAAUUACUAGGUUAUAGGAAAAACAUCUUCCGGGGCCACCAACAUUUCUUCGGCCUAAGCAUCCUUUUGCAUGCCUUUUUGUUUUGUCACUGCAUGUCUACUGCAUUUUGGUCUAGACAAUUUUCUGCUUAUCUGUGGUGCUUGAAAUAUUUCAUCUGUCAUGGGCUUAGUUUGAAGGGCCGUAUUAUGUUUGCUAAUUUUUCGCGGUAUUGCAGGAUUCUCUUUUUGAUGAUGAUGACUGGGGCCUAAAGCCUAUAAAAACGGGAUCCACAAAUUCCAGCAUCACACUCCCGAAGCAAACCCCAUUUUUCGAUUCUGUUCCUAGCACCCCUAGUUACAAUAGUGGGAUCAGUUACUCAGAGAACCAGUUCCCAAAGCAAAGCCUAUUCUUUGAUUCUGUUCCAAGCACCCCAAGUUACAACCCCGGAGUCCCACAGGCAGACAACUUGUUCUCUAGGCAAAGUCCUUUCUUUGAUUCUGUUCCUAGCACACCAGCCUAUAAUGCAGGUGGCUCCCCACUUGCGGAUAACACGUUCCAGAAAAAGAGUCCAUUUGCCUUCGCUGACUCGGUUCCUAGCACACCUAUGUUUAGUUCUACGCCUCGAAGAUCUAGUGAUAUGUCUGAGGAGCCCUUGAGCAGCUUUUCCAGAUAUGAUUCCUUCAACACGCACGAUGGUGGCCCCUUUGCUAGUCGUGAGUUUUCAAGAUUUGAUUCGAUGCGCAGCACUACAGACUCCGAGUAUGAUAAUGGUUCGUCCCAGCAGCGUGACUCCUUCGCUAGGUUUGAUUCAUUUCGCAGCACGGCAGACUCUGAUUAUAAUUUUGGGCUCUUCCCCCCUCAAAAGUCACUAUCAAGGUUUGAUUCUAUCGGCAGCACCCGUGACACAGAUUAUGGUCAUGGUUUCUCAUCCUUUGAUGAUGCAGAUCCAUUUGGGUCCCAUCAUGAACCAUUUAAGACAUCAGUGGGGAGUCAGACACCAAAGAGAGAUUCUGAUAGUUGGAAAGCAUUUUAAUGUGGUAAUGGAUUUCCUUGCUCGCAUAUGGUCUCUUCCCCCCCCCCCCCCCCCCCCCUUCUAUUUAAAACUGUCUUUGGCCUGUUCUUUUGGUUGUAGGAAUAGUGAAUUGGUUGUGAUUAGAUAGUCUUUCGUUGUGGCAUGAGUGUUACGAACUGUAUUCUCUAAUAUUUUUUUCAUUAGCUGGUUUUUUCUUUCAUUUUUCUUUGGGGUGGGGGAGGGUGUGUGUAUUUUGACCCUUUCCUUCUCUCCUAUUGUUAUUUAAAGGUGAGCUGAGCUUUUGUUGCGUUCACCCAUAUUCAAUGUAUAAAACAUGUAAUAAUGUUCUGUUCUUUUCAGUCAGCUCCUAGUUUAGAGUUAUUUAGGUUCGAGAGUGAUUUGUAUCCACUUGACUGUCAGUUAUUAUGAUAAAGUUGAUUGAGGAUUUGUGGUAGGAUCAAAUAAAUCAUAUGCAUCAAUUUCGCUCUAAUUUUGUAUCAUGUGGUGAUGAUUUACACUACUUUUCUCUUUAAUUCGAGCUUGGAACUGGCUACACUUAAUUAAACUAAAGCAGGAAACUGCAAUCCUCUUAUAGUCUCUAAAUUUUGCUUUUACAACUAGAAGAAUCCCUGAAUAAUUAGUCAAAUUUGGUUGGAGCAGGUAAAACAGGAGAAACUGGAAUGAAAACAAAUGACUGGUAAUCAGACAGUAUCAUUUUUCAUGAAUGUGCAGGGAAAAUAAAACAAUUUUGUAGGCUUUGAAAUUUACUUCUGCCUAUAGUGCCGAUCAUUACGAUAGCCAUAAUAUAAAACCAAAGUGAAUCAUAUUAUAUCAAGUUCCGGUAUUAAUUCAGAAAAGAACCAACUUGGCCUAUCAAUAAGAAGAAUAAAAAGAUGCACAUUACUGUGACUUACUCCAUGGCAUAACAGUAAGACACUUAUCAAUGACCAUUGGUGGAAGAAAUUGUAUGUAGUACAAAUAGAUAGGAACUAAAAGAAAAACUUAUCAUGAUAGGAGAAUCCAUAAUCUAGAUUCAAUAGGUCUAAUCUUAUUCCUAUGUACACAUCAACAAGAUAAAAUACAAUAUCGUUGGGACUAAUUUGAACUAAACCUAAACCAGAGAGUGUAUAUAUNNNNNNNNNNNNNNCANAGAUAGUAUAUAUAUAUAUAUAUAUAUAUAUAUAUAUAUAUAUAUCAUGAUACAAUUAAAUUGUAAUAGGAAGUAAGUAGACCAAUUUCAAGCUUUGACUCCAAAGAUCUGCAGCAUGGAAGAAUAAGUUCCAUAGACUGCCAAAACUGCACCCAUUAAAACAAGUGCAGAAUCCAAAGUCAAACCAAGCCAUCCCAGUUCUUUCUUGAACACAAUUAAGUGAAACAAAGCAGGCAACACAAACCCCAAAAUAAUGCACACACUGCUCCCAACUAAUGACAAGAAAUCAGCAAAAUUUGGCACCAUUAAUGCCACUAAAGUGACUACCAAAACCACAAUCCAUCUUAGCCAAAAGCAGUAUCUGCCUUCAUAAAAUCUCCUUUCCAUCACUUCAUAAACAGGGUUCAUCAUAAGUGGAAAAGUAAAGAAAAGGUUUAUGCAAAGUCCAAUCUGUACUAAGGUGCUAAGCAAUCCUCUACCAAGAUUUGUAGUUAUUAUAUCUUUGGUCUCUUCCCCAAAGGCAAAGUACCCCAAUAUUCCAAAAGAACCAUACAUCAAAGAAAUGAAAGCCAUUGACAAACCCAAGAUUUUCCCAAAUUUGUCCUUGUCUUUCAUCUCUGCUUCUAAAGGUAAAACCAUCCCAACACCUUCAAAAGCAUAAACAGAUACACCAAGACCAUAAAAGAAAACACUGAACCCACCAAAUGCUUCAAGAACAGGUCUAUAUUUUAGAAAAAUCAACACAUCCUCAACCAUAACUACCCCCAUAGCACCUAAAUCAACAACAUCAGCAAAUAUACUCAAAGGGGCUAAGUGAGUAAGUGUAGGGAUUGAAUUCAACCCCAGCUGAAAUGGGAAACAACUCCAAAUAUACACCUUUUUAGGUGACAAUCCCAAGAUUUUAGGGUUUGAAUUUUCAAUGGAAUAAUUGAAUAAGUGUGCUAAUGUAUUGGCUAUGAAAAUCAAGUAACUUAUACAAAAACCAGCUUGAGACAUAACAAUCAUAGCAUCUACUGUACAUCUACCUAUAGAUCCACACACAGCAUAUCCCAAAUCACCAAAAGAUGAAAUCUUGGCAACUUUGAAAUGGGAUUCUAGCUUUCUCCUUGAAUAGACUAAAAGCAUCAUACAAUAGUAAGUAAGAGUGGCUACUGAUAAAAGCAUGAGAGUACCCAUCACCCAUCCUGUUUUCUUGAAACUGUAAGGAAGACCAAGAACUCCAGCUCCAACUACUGCUAUGAAAACAUUAGCAAAAGUUUUGGAAGGUGAAGAAAGGUGUUGGGUGUUUGCUAAAAGUGGUGUAUCUUCUCUUGGGAUUUGCAGAAUAUGGGAUGAUGAACUUGCCUUGUCUUUCUCAAACCCCAUAGUUCACAGUUCAAAUCAAGAAUCCAAAUUAGUGACCAAAAUACCAGUAAAGGUUAAAACUUUAUUGAUUUAGAUUACUCAAACUGCGAGGAAAUUGUAGUUAUUACAGAUCAAAGAGAAAAACUUUAAGUUUGUUUCAGUUAUUACAGAUCAAAGAAAGAUAAUUGAAGUUUGUUUCAAGGUUUCAAAGUGCCAAGUUAUGGGAUUCAGAGGGAGUUUUGAGGAGGAGAAAAUGGCGGUGGAAGCUGCACGUAUGUACACUUUUUCGUCAAGCGAGAGAAAAAUCAAGAGACCAUUUAAAGAAGGCAAGCUUCGAAAGUGACAAUGAUAUUUUAUUGAGCUAAAAAAUCUGUGCACGGCUUCUUUUCUUUUUCUUUUUUUUUGUGGUCAAAAUAAGUUUGAUUUCUGGUGAAAAAGGACAGAUGGUCGGUCAUGACUCAUAUGAAGUUGUUUCAAAUUUAAAUCAUUAACAAACAUUUUACAUAUAAUUUUCAAAUAUUGAAAAAGACCAUUGUUUAACAAGUUUCCUUUGAUGAAUAUAUAAAUACCUAAAAGUCUAUAAAGUGACGGGUGCAGGUAACAUCAGCACCAAUACACAUAUACUAUAGCGGAUUGCAGAAACAAACAAGUGACCUAAUUCCUAUCACAAAUUGUCAUGAUCCAGAAUUUUUAUUUGCGCCACCUAACAUUUCAUUUGCUAGACAAAUCAACUAUACAAAUAGUAUUUUUGUUGUUGUUAUUUUUAACAAUUCAAAUUAAAUAAUAAACCAAGAAACUGAAUAAAUUGAAAUAGAGUGAGAAAAUCAUAAUGACAUCGAUAUCUAGAUACAAUCCCAGAACUGAUAUCACAAUUACACGAGCGACUAGAGUACUACAAAUAAAUGUCUGAAUGAAAGCAUAACUAUCUGAAAUACGGUAAACAACUAGAGUGAUAUGAAAGGGGACUUCAGGGCUGCGGACGUCGUGUAGUUGUACCUCAAGUCUCCGUCAAGCAAUCAAUCUGAGCAAUCAACUGACAUCCGCUAGGACCGACUCCAAAAUCUGCAUAAGAAGUGCAAAGUGUAGUAUGAGUACAACCGACCUCAUGUACUCUGUAAGUGUCGAGCCUAAUCUCGACGAAGUAGUGACGCGGCUAAGGCGGGUCACUUACAAUAACCUAUACGCAGUAUAAUAAUAAUAAUAAUAAUAAUAAUAAUAAUAAUAAUAAUAGGAAAGGAAAAUAGGAAAUAACGACGAAGCAGUUAACUAAUGAAAACAACUCAAUCCUCGGAAUCAGUGAGUCCAGAAAUAUCAUUCCUUAGAAUAUCAUAUGAAAAUACUGGAAGCUAACACAAUACAACAAUGAAUACAACACACACAAUCCGUUGCGGUGCGCAACCCGAUCCCACCGUACAAACACAAUCCUCCCUUGUUUCACCAUAUCAAUAUCAAGAAUAACAUAUAAACUCCGUUGCGACGCGCAACCCGAUCCCACCAUAUAAUCAGAAUCAAUAUUAUAAUCCUAUCUUAUUUCACCAUAUCAAAAUCAUAUACCAAAUCCGUUACGGCGUGCAACCCAAUCCAUAAACAAAAUCAAUAAAUGUAACCAAUUUAACAAUUCAAUUCAAAAGAAUCUCUACGAUUAAAGAAUGUGAAAGCAAAGCAAUAAGGAGCCACGUACCAAAUCAAGAAAUGCUACAAUUAACACAAUGCAACAAGCCAAGCCAAAUAUAUGACAGUUAAAGUGUACAAAUAGCAAUUAAUCAUAGAAUCAUGGAAGAAACAAACAUUUCAAUAAAAGAGUAAAUAAAUGUCAAGUAACAAGUUACGACAUAGAAAGCAAUUAAAGCAUGUAGCAGUUAAGACAUGAAAUAAGAUAUUUAAUGAAGUACGGGAAAACAUGGAAACAUAUAUUUUGACGGUGUAUAUACACUCGUCAUCUUGCAUAUACGCCGUUACACAUGUAAUUCACACAACGUAUAGUUCAAGGGUUACUAUUUCCCUCAAGUCAAGGUUAUACCCAACACUUACCCCGCUCCGCAAGCAAAUCAAAGCUCAACCGGGGCCUUUACUCUAAAAUUCGCCUCCAAACCAAUCGAAUCUAACCAAAAUCGACUUAAUAUCAACAAACAAUGCCAAAAAAAUCAAUUACAAUGCAUAAAGUUAAGAUCCAUACACUUUUUUUUUCAAAAAGUCAACAAAAGUCAACCCAUGCUCGUUCGAUCAAAACCCGAAAUUCCGACCAAAACCCAAUUACCUAUUCAACCCCGAGCCCGAUUAUGUGAUGAGUUUCGAAAUCCGACCUCAAUUUGAGGUCUAAAUCUCAAUUUUACAAAAAAUUUAAUUCUACCCAAAUCCCCAAUUUUCUACCAUGAAAGACCAUAAAUUAAGGUUAAAAAUCAAUGGUGUUGAUGAGAAUGGAAGAAAACGAGUUAAAGUAUACUAACCUACGAAGUGGGGAUGAAAUCUCUCUUCAAAAUCGCCUUUAGACCAAGCUCUAAUGUGAAGAUAGUGAAAGAUGAAGAAAAUCCCGUCUUUUGAAUAUUUAAAUCACUAGGCGUCAGGCCUUCUUCGCGUUCGCGAAGGGCUUGACGCGUUCGCGAUGUGCGGCGGCCCAAGUGGCCUUCGCAUUCGCGAUGGCCUGUCCAUUCUGUCCUUCACGUUCGCGAGCCUCGGCUCGCAUUCGCGUAGAGCUACUGCCCCUUAGAGUCCCUUAAACCUUUGCAUUCGUGAGUGGUUGGUCACGUUCGCGAAGGGUAAACCCUUAAUGCUCCGUGUUCGCGACCCAACUACCGUGUUCGCGAUGAAGAAAACCACCCCAGCCCCAAGUUCCCCUUCCCGAUCGCGAGAGUGGCUUCGCCAUCGCGAAGCACAAAAUACCAGACAUCAGAAGACUUAGAAACCAGCGAUGGCCUAAGUAAAAAUAUCACCCAUAGCCUAUCCGAAACUCACCCGCUAAAACUACGAAUUUGACAUCAAAAUGAAUGAUAUUUUCAAAGAAACUCAAGACAUGAAAUUUUACAACCGGACGUCCGAAUCACGUCAAAUCAACUUCGUUUUACACCAAAUUUCUCACACAAGUCAUAACUAGUGAAAUUAACCUAUACAAAGUUCCGGAACUGAAACCUGAAACCGAUAGCAACAAAGUCAACUUACGGUCAAACUUAAGAAUUCUUUAAAUCUUUAAAUCUUUAAAUCUUUAAAUUGCUAGUUUUCAACAAUUACGUUAAAUCAAGUUAGGGACUUUUGAAUUCGUUUUCGGGCAUACGUCCAAGUCUCAAAUCAUGAUACAGACCCAUCGGGACCAUCAAAAUACUGAUCCGGGUCCGUUUACAAAAAAUAUUGAUCAUAGUCAACUGAAAUGAGUUUUAAGGUAAAAUUUCACAUAGAAUUUUUUUGAAAAAAGAUACGGACUGUGCACGCAAAUUGAGAAAGGCUAAAUAGAGCUAUUAGAGGUCUCAGAACACAGAAGUGAAGGCUAUAACUGAAAUUAACCUAUCAGGUCAUCACAUUCUCCACCUUAAAAAACAAACAUUUUUCCUUGAACGGACAUAGAAAGGUACCUGGACUCGUGAAAAUGUGUGGAUAUCUACUUCAUAUUUCCGACUCAAACUCCCACAUGGAUUCCUCGAUCGGCUGACCUAUCCACUGUAAUCGAACUGAAGGAUAACUCUUAGAUCUCAACUUUCGGAUCUGCCUGUCUAGAAUGACCACCGGCUGCUCCUCAUAAGACAAAUCCUUGUCCACUUGGACUGAGAUGAAAUCUAACACAUGGGACGAAUCACCGUGAUACUUCUGGAGCAUGGACACAUGGAACACUGGAUGGACUUCUGAUAAACUAGGUGGCAAUGCCAGCCUAUAGGAUACCUCACCCACUCUCUCAAGAAUCUCAAAGGGUCCGAUAUAUCUAGGGCUCAACUUGUACUUCUUUCCGAACCUCAUCACACCCUUCAUGGGUGAAAUCUGGAGCAAUAACCUCUCUCCAACAAUGAAUGCAACAUUACGAACUCUAAGGUCGGCAUAACUCUUCUACCUAGACUGAGCGGUACGAAGUCGAUCCUGAAUAAUUUUGACCUAAUCUAAGGCAUCCUGUACCAAAUCGGUACCCAACAACCGAGCUUAUCCCGGCCUGAACCAUCCAAUUGGCGAACGACAUCACCUCCCGUAUAAUGCUUCAUAAGGAGCCAUAUGAAUUCUCAACUGGUAGCUGUUUUUGUAGGCAAACUCUGCAAGCAACAAGAAUUGAUCCCAAGAACCCCCGAAAUCCAUAACGUAAGUGCGAAGCAUAUUCUCCAAUAUAUGAAUAGUGCACUCGGACUGCCCGUCCGUUUUGGGGUGAAAUAAUGUACUCAACUCAACCCGUGUGCCUAACUCACGCUGUAUGACCCUCCAGAAGUGCGAGGUGAACUGCGUACCUCGAUCAGAAAUGAUAGACCCGGGAAAACCAUGAAGAUAGACGAUCUCGCGGAUGUAGAUCUCAGCUAACCGCUAUGAAGAAUAGGUAAUUGCCACUGGAAUGAAAUGUGUCGAUUUGGUCAACCUGUCCACAAUGACCCAUACCGCGUCAAANNNNNNNNNNNNNNNNNNNNNNNNNNNNNNNNNNNNNNNNNNNNNNNNNNNNNNNNNNNNNNNNNNNNNNNNNNNNNNNNNNNNNNNNNNNNNNNNNNNNNNNNNNNNNNNNNNNNNNNNNNNNNNNNNNNNNNNNNNNNNNNNNNNNNNNNNNNNNNNNNNNNNNNNNNNNNNNNNNNNNNNNNNNNNNNNNNNNNNNNNNNNNNNNNNNNNNNNNNNNNNNNNNNNNNNNNNNNNNNNNNNNNNNNNNNNNNNNNNNNNNNNNNNNNNNNNNNNNNNNNNNNNNNNNNNNNNNNNNNNNNNNNNNNNNNNNNNNNNNNNNNNNNNNNNNNNNNNNNNNNNNNNNNNNNNNNNNNNNNNNNNNNNNNNNNNNNNNNNNNNNNNNNNNNNNNNNNNNNNNNNNNNNNNNNNNNNNNNNNNNNNNNNNNNNNNNNNNNNNNNNNNNNNNNNNNNNNNNNNNNNNNNNNNNNNNNNNNNNNNNNNNNNNNNNNNNNNNNNNNNNNNNNNNNNNNNNNNNNNNNNNNNNNNNNNNNNNNNNNNNNNNNNNNNNNNNNNNNNNNNNNNNNNNNNNNNNNNNNNNNNNNNNNNNNNNNNNNNNNNNNNNNNNNNNNNNNNNNNNNNNNNNNNNNNNNGGAAUGAAAUGUGUCGAUUUGGUCAACCUGUCCACAAUGACCCAUACCGCGUCAAACUUCUUCUAAGUCCGUGGGAGCCCAAUAACAAAAUCCAUGGUAAUACGCUCUCGCUUCCACUCAGGAAUCUCUAGCCUCUGAAGCAAACCACCAGGUCUUUGAUGCUCGUACUUUACUUUGCUGACAAUUCAGACACCGAGGUACAUAUGCAACUAUAUCCUUCUUCAUUCUCCUCCACCAAUAAUGCUUCUGCAAGUCCCGAUACAUCUUGGCGGCACCCAGAUGAAUAGAAUACUGGGAACUGUUGGCCUCCUUAAUAAUCUACUCACGAAGCCCAUCCACAUUGGGCACACAAAUACGACCCUAUAUCCGCAAAACUCCAUCAUCUCCAAUAGUAACCUGCUUAGCACCACCGUGCCGCACCGUGUCCUUAAGGACAAGAAAAUGGGGGUCAUCAUACUGAUGCUCUCUGAUGCGCUCAUACAAGGAAGACCGAGAUACUAUGCAAGCUAUAACAUGACUGGAUUCUGAAACAUCUAACCUCACGAACAGAUUAGCCAAAGCUUGAACAUCUGAUGCAAGUGGUGUCUCACCAACUAGAAUAUACGCAAGGCUACCUAUACUCACAUCCUUUCUACUCAAGGCAUCGACCACCACAUUUGCCUUCCCGGGAUGAUACAAAAUGGUGAUAUCAUAGUCUUUCAAAAACUUCAACCACCUCCUCUACCUUAAGUUGAGAUCCUUCUGCUUGAACAAAUACUAUAUACUCCGAUGAUCCGUGAACACCUCACACGACACGCCAAAAAGAUAGUGCCUCCAAAUCUUCAGCGCAUAAACAAUGGCUGCCAACUCUAAGUCAUGAACAAGGUAAUUCUUAUCAUAAACCUUCAACUGCCGCAACACGUAUGCAAUCACCCUACCAUCAUGCAUCAAUAAUGCACCGAGCCCAAUACGAGAUGUAUCACAAUACACCAUGUAGGAUCCUGAACCUGUGGGCAACACCAACACUGGCGCCGUAGUCAAAUCAGUUUUAAGCUUCUGAAAGCUCAACUCACACUCAUCCGACCAUCUGAAUAGGGCAUCCUUCUGGGUCAAUCGAGUCAAUGGGGUUGCUAUGGAUGAAAACUCCUCCAUGAAUCGGUGAUAAUAACCUACCAAACCCAAGAAACUCCGGAUCUCUGUAGCUGAAGUAGAUCUAGACCAGUUCUGAACUGCAGGCGACUAAGUCAAACCAAAACUCACAGUUUGAAAACUUGGCAUAUAACUGACUAUCUCUCAGAUUUUGAAGUACAAUCCGAAGAUGCUGCUCAUGCUCCUCUCGACUGCGGGAGUAGAUCAAGAUAUCAUCAAUGAAUACGAUCACAAAAGAAUCUGAAUAGCGCUUGAAUGCCCAGUUCAUCAAAUCCAUAAAUGUUACUGGGGAAUUUGUACUCUUCAACUGAUGGUAGCCCGAACUCAAAUCAAUCUUCAAAAACACUUUGGCACCCUGAAGCUGAUCAAAUAAGUCAUCAAUCCUCAGAAACAGAUACUUGUUCUUGAUGGUGACUUUGUUCAACUGCCGAUAGUCUAUACACAUCCUCAUCGACCCAUAUUUCUUCUUCACGAACAACACGGGCGCACCCCAGGGCGAGACACUAGGUCUAAUGAAUCCCUUAUCAAGUAAAUCUUGCAAUUGCUCCUUAAUUUCCUUCAACUUCGACGGGGUCAUACGGUAUGGUAGAAUGGAAAUGGGCUGAGUUCCCGGAGCCAAAUCAAUACAGAUACAAUAUCUCUGUCGGGUGGCAUCCCUGGCAGAUCUGCUGGAAACACCUCUGGAAACUCAUGCAUAACAGGUACUGAAUCCAUGGAAGGAACCUCCACACUCGAAUUACGGACAUAGGCUAAAUAAGCUAGACAUCCCUUCUCGACCAUACAUCGAGCCUUGACAUAAGAAAUAACUAUGUUGGUAGAAUGGCCAGGAGUCCCUCUCCACUCUAAUCUAGGCAACCCCGGCAUGGCUAAGGUCACUAUCUUGGCGUGACAGUCCAGUACAACAUGAUAAGGUGACAAUCAAUCCAUGCCCAAGAUAACAUCAAAAUCAAGCAUGUCAAGAAGUAGGAGAUCUACGUUAGUCUCAAGACUCUCAAUAGUAAUCACACACGAGCGAUAAAUGCGAUCUACAAUAAUAGAAUCUCCCACAGGUGUGUACACAUACACAGGAGUACUCAAAGAAUCAUGAGGCACAACCAGAUAUGAAGCAAAAUAGGAUGAUACGUAGGAAUAAGUAGAGCCCGGAUCAAAUAAAACUGAAGCAUCUCUAUGGAAAACGAAACAAUACCUGUGAUAACGACGUCAGAUGACUCGGCCUCAGGUUUAGCUGGGAAAGCAUAAAAUUGGGGUUGGGCCCCACCACUCUAACCUACAUCUCUGGGACGGCCUCUAGUUGGCUGGCCUCCACCUCUAACGGCCUGACGUCCACCUUUGGCAUGGUGACGCAACCGGUGAUGGGACCAUGGCACGAGAACUCUACCGUGGCAUGCCACCCAAUAAUGUCGGACAGAACCUCCUGAUAUGACCAAUACCUCCACACUCAAAACACUCAUCCUGUUGCUGUGGCUGCUGAAGCUGACCCGAACAGGCCGGAUAACUACAACGAUAGCUCUAAGUCGGAGAUGCACUGAUAGGAGUUGAUGGUGCACUAUAGGCUGGCUGCCCAGAAUGAGAUACAUACGGACCACGACUCCCAAAAGCACUGUGAGAUUCCUGAAGCAUUGACUGAAAUGGCCUGGGAGGAUGGCCUCUACCAAAAGUAACCUUGUCUUUAGAUGAGGAACCACUAAAACUAUCGGAAUGAUGAGUCUUCUUAUUAGACACCGUCCCCCUCUCUUGAGCACGAAUUAUCUCGAUCCGUCUAGCAAUAUCUACGACCCUCUGAAAAGUAAUGUCAUCUCCAGUCUCCUUGGCCAUCUGUAGCCUGAUAGUGAAAGUGAGCCCAUCAAUGAAUCUCCUCACUCUCUCCCUCUCAGUAGGGAGCAAGAUAAUGUCAAGGCGAGCUAGGUCCACAAAUCGAGUCUCUAUUGGGUAACAGUCGUACUACCCUACUGAAGACGCUCAACUGCAUGCGAUAAUCCUCUUUGAGAGUGACAUAGGUGAACUUCUCUAGAAAUAACUGUGAGAAUUGAUCCCAGGUAAGUGCAGGCGAACCAACUAGUCUAGUCAACAUAUAAUCUCUCCACCACCUCUUGGUGAAACCAGUCAUCUGAAAUACUGCAAAGUCGACCCCAUUGUUCUCAACUAUACCCAUGUUUCACAACACCUCGUGGCAACCGUCCAAAUAAUCUUAUGGGUCCUCAAAAGUUAUACCACUAAAAUGAACAGGAAAGAGCUUGGUAAACUUAUCUAACCUCAACAAAGCCUCAGAAGACAUAGCGGGCCUAUUACCGGCCUGUGCCGCAAUAACUGGCUGAACCACCCCAACUGGCGGGGCUGCUAGAGUCUGAUACUGGGGAGCCGCCUGCUCCAGGGUGUGAGUAGUGGGAGUUUGUGCUCCUCCCCCAACCUGAGAGACGGCUCGUGCCACCGGGAAUGUACCGGCCUGGGCUACACUCUCCAUAACGCCCAUCAAAUGGACUAGAGCAUCCUGAAGCACCGGAGUGGCUAUGAACCCCUCCUGGACUUGAGCUUGUCUGGCGGGUACAGUCUGAGCUGGAACCUCCUCCUUGUGAUCAAUAUGAGGCUCCACUACGGAUGUUGCUGCUCGAGCUCUAGGCUAAGCUCUGCCUCUGGCUCGGCCUCGGCCUCUGCCCAUGGUAAUAGCUGUCAAAGGGGGCCCCGGCUCCUGUCCGACUGUAGAUGUUGUGUGUGUUCUCGCCAUCUGCGAGAGAACAAGAAUAGAAUAGUUCAAUCAUCAAUGAUAGAAUAGAAUCGCAUGAUAGAGAAGGAAAUACGUGAAAUUUUUCCUAAACUCUAUAACCUCUGGAAGAUAAGUACAGACGUCUCCGUACCGAUCCUCCAGACUCUACUAAGUUUGCUCGUGACUGGUGAGACCUAGGCAACCUAGUGCUCUGAUACCAACUUGUCACGACCCAAAUUUUCCACCCUCGAGACCGUGAUGACGCCUAACAUUUCACUUGCUAGGCAAGCCAACGUUAGAAAUAGUUUUUUGGGCCAUUUUUAACAAUUCAAAUUAAAUAAUAACCAAGAAACUGAAUAAACUGAAAUAGAGUGAGAAAAUCAUAAUAACAGCGAUAUCUAGAUACAAUCCCAGAACUGAUGUCACAAGUACACGAGCGACUAGAGUACUACAAAUAAAAGUCUGAAUGAAAGCAUAACUGUCUGAAAUACGGUAAACAACUAGAGUGAUAUGAAAGGGGACUUCAGGGCUGCGGACGCCGUGCAUCUCUACGUCAAGUCUUCGUCAAGAAACCAAUCCGAGCAAUCUACUGACCGCCGCUAGGACUGACUCCAAAAUCUGCACAAGAAGUGCAAAGUGUAGUAUGAGUACAACUGAUCCCAUGUACUCUAUAGAUAAAUUUUUUGUUUCCAAUUUUAAUUUUAAUCUUGAUAUUUCAGUGGCUUAAAUAUAAGUAAAACCUUGAUGUUUUCAAUAAUUUUUUGGUUGCCAAAAGUAUGGUUAAUUGAUCUCCAAUAAUAGAUCUAAUGCCUUUUAGAAUUAGUUUAAUCAAAUAUUGAAAUGAGAAAUCGAUUACAAUUCAUGCUAUGAUUAUAGUUUUGAAAGUACCUCCAAAUGAAAAAGUAGGACUUCACUCCAGUCUAUAUUAUGUUGCAAAUGCAGAUUUUGUAAGAUAACGAUUAGUAUUAAAAUGCUUUAGAAAAUUGUUAACUCACUAGAAGAAUACAGGACAACAACAAAAAAAUUAAAAAGAGAAGAAAUUGCCUACUGCCAAGGCUUAGAUAGUGCAGAAAUUUUUGCAAGUCCAGUGUUGAAGCUCCGUCGAAAAACAAAAAUGAUGACGCUCUAUGGGACUCUUGAAAGGAGAAAGACAAACUGAAAGCAAUUUAAAGUGAGACAGCAACCAGGAAAUAGCACGGAUAAUUUGAUCAUUUCAUAAUUUUAUCCUAAAAUAAUUAAUCUCGAUAUUUUAUCCCAACUAGAAGAUGAAGUAAUUUAGUCCCAGUUUCUGAUAUAAAUUUUAUCUUAAAUUUUAAACCACCUUAUUUUACCUUAUCCCAUAAACCAAACUACCACUAUGAAUUAAUACAUCACAACCGACAAUCUUCACCGGAAGCGAUGAUAUUUUAAUCGAACGGUGACACCUGGGUAGAUACGAUACUUUAUAUUAUAAGAGUAAUAAAAUGUUAAACUUUCUGUUUGUAUUUCCAAUUGCUAGAUUUUUUUGUCUCUUUGCUCCCCGUAACUUUGUACAUUUUUUUCCGAUUAUUAUAUAGAGAGAGUUCACUAUGAUAUAAUGUUCAAAUCGAAAAUCGAUUAGAAAUAAAUCGAAUCGAAAUUAGAAAAUCGAACUGAAUCGAAUUUAUUUCAGUUCGGUUUCGGUUACUAUUUUACAAAAUCGAAAACCAAAUAAUCGAACCGAAUUUUUUUAAAUCGAACCGAACCGAUCGGACGCGUGACGUGUGUCAAUUAGUUAAUGAAACUCGAGGGAACUAAAGUUUCACCUCUAAUAGUACGUGUCUAAGUCUAACAGAAUCACCCUAUACUAGUAUUUCAUCAGCUAUUUGAUUCCGACAUCGCUCUUCUUUAAACGGUCAUUUACUUCCUUUGCACUUUCACUUUUGUAUUCUACAAAUACAAACAUUUAACUACUUGUUCAGAGCUGAUUUUAGUGCAGUGCGUUUGUUUGGUUACUUGCAUCAAUAUGAUUAAUUUUAGCAUAGCAACUCGCAUAAAUUAAUACAAUAUAGUGUUUGAUUGGUCAAAUAACAAAAUACAAUUGAAGCAUAACUAAUGUUGCAUUUGAUUGGCCGUAUAAGGUAGAAUAAUCAAAGUAUAAUAAAUGCAAUGUUUGAUUGGUCAUAUAAGAAAAAACAUCUCCACAUAACUGAUGUAAUUUUUGAUUGACGAUAUUAAAAUACAUGCGCAUUAAGUUAGGUGAAAAUCUAUAUAUUGUUUUAUGCAGGAUAAAACGUAAAAUAAAUAUACAUGCAUAUAUAUAUAUAUAUAUAUGUGUGUAUGUAAAACUACGUAAAGAUAAAUAUUUAUAAAAUAUAUUUUAAUCAUCCCAUGAAAAUGAUAAUCUUCUCAAUAUUAACCAACUCAUAACAAUCAUUUCAUUAUUAUAUCCCCUAUAAACAAUGCUUGCAUCAUAAUUUUCGCGUAUCUAAUCUGUGAACUAACUUUUAACAGACAAGUUGAAAUUUUUUAUAGUAGUUAAUGUACUAGGUGGAGGAAAUUUGUGUGAUGACCACAGGUGGAUUUAGGGGCGGAAUGGGUUCACCUGAACCCCCUUCAUCGAAAGAUUACACUGUAUAUAUAAGGCAAAAUCUAUUUUUUGCAUCUAUAUAUUAAGUUUUGAAUCCCCUUGACACAACUCAAAAGUGCUGCUUAGUGGUCAAGGGGGUUCAGAACCUUUGUAAGGUCAUAGGUUCAAUUCCUACUAGCUUACAAUCUUUUUUAACUUUUUUCUUUUUGAACCUCCUUAGCGGUGAUCCUGCCUCCGCCAAUGGUGAUAACUCGAUAGGUCAGUUUCAGAUUUAACCUUCACUUCUGUGUUCUGAGACCUCGAACAGCUCCGUUUAGCCUUUCUCGAUUUGCAUGUACAGUCCGUGUCUUAUUUCGAAAAAUUUCUAUGUGAAAAAUUGAUGAAAAUGUAAAAUUUUGCCUUAAAACUCAUUUCAAUUUACUACGGUCAAUAUUUUUUAUAAACGGACCCGUAUCAGAAUUUUGACGGUCCCGGUGAGUCUGUAUCGUGAUUUGGGAUUUGGGCGUAUGCCCGGAAACAAAUUCGGAAGUCCAUAACUUGAUUUAAUGUAAUUUGUUGAAAACUAGCAAUUUAAAGGUUUAAACAAUUCUUAAAUAUGACCGUAAGUUGACUUUGCUGCUACCGGGCUCGGAUUUCGGUUCCGAAAUUUGGUAUAGGUUCAUUUCACUAUUUAUGACUUGUCUACAAAAUUUGGUGUAAAACGGAGUUGAUUUGCCGUGAUUCGGACUCCGUUGGUAAAAUUUCAUGUUCUUGAGUUUCUUUGAAAUUAUCAUUCAUUUUGAUGUUUGAUUCAUAGUUCUAGGUGUUAUUUUGAUGUUUUGAUCGCGCGAACAAGUUCGUAUGAUGUUAUUACUUUUGUGUGCAUGUUUGCUUUGGAGCCCGAAGGACUAGGGUGAAUUUCGUAUAGGCUACAGGUGAUUUUUGGACUUAGGCCAUUACUAGCCGUUGGGGCAAAAUGAUAAAGAAAAAGAAGGAAGGGUCAACGCGAUGAAGUUUGGUGUUGUUCCUCAGUGACGUCAUCUCAACUCCCACUAAAGGAAGACCCUAGUUGUUUGUCUUGGGCCGCCAAACCCACUCGCCUAAAUCCUAGGUCCACCACUGUAGGUAGAUCAGAUAUAUUGUAGUUAAAUUGUAGGAAGCAUUGAGAACUAAUUAAAUCUGUUUUUAUGUAGCAGAUUGAUGUUAUUUUAUACUAUUUGAGAAAGAAAGGAAAGUAUGGUCCUCAAAAUAAGAUACGGUUUACAACCACUGAUUGUAUGUUCAAGACUAGAAUUGAACAAAUUUAUCAGAGGUACAUCAAUGCUUCUGCCGAAAAGAAGCUUGCUGUUGUCAAACCCCAGGACGUCGUAUCAGAAUACAUAUUGGGGUACAGGUUACUCGCAAAUAUUUCAUGGGAUCAAGUUGAUUUUGUGAUUAUGCCCAUAAAUAUUGUGGAGAAAUUUUAUUGGUUGUUGGUUGUGUUUGACAUUACCGGUAGGGUUCUAUAUGUUUAUGAUUCUAUGGUCUCUUCACGAAAUCACAACCUUGUUAAAUAUGUUGUCAACAAGUUUUCUGUUAUGAUCCCCCUCUACUUAUCAUGCACCGGCUUCUAUGGAAAGCGUCCAGACAUCAACUACAAGAACAUAAAGGCAUAUAUUGAAAAAGGUGUUAUUGACCCUCUUGACAUUCAAUGGUUGGUCGAUGAGAUACCCCAGCAAAAAGAGGGAUCACUGUAUGAAAAAACUGUUUUUCCUUCUAUCUAUUUAACGGAUUUUAUUUUACAAUGAAUGCUAAAUCUUUUUUCCUAAUUUGUUUUGCAGUGACUGUGGUGUAUACGUGGCUGCAUUUGCAGAAUAUGUCAGCAUUAGAGAGCUAACAGUGACCUUUAUGAUAUUGAUCAACAUGGUAGACGCUAUGGAGCGCUACUUUGGGAUUAUGCUGGGAAGAAGCAAGAUACUGGUGCAAUUAGUGAGAGCGAGGUGACUGGAAGAUUAGAAAGAAGAAAAGGUGCACCAACUGUGAACGAGAGAACACAAGUCCGAAAGAAGAAGAAUUAGUUUCCCUUUUCUGUAGAAAAAUUAUAGUUAGAUUGUUUAGUUGUAGCUGUUUUGUAGUAAAGUUGUAGACAAAUUAUUAUCUAAGAACAAGUGAGUUGAAGUUUAUUUGUAGCAGAUUUGUGCUACAAUUGUUUUACCCUAUGUUUUGUUAUUUUAUCCAGGAUACUACUACUUAGAAUAGGAAACAUCUGUUAUUUGUUUUUUGGUUGAAAGUUGUUAGUACUUGAUAUCGUUAUUGUUAGCAUAUAAUUUCUUUACAAUUUAACCACAAUUAUGUAUUAUACAUAUGAAAGGUUGAAAUUAAUACACUCAGUAAUUAAACAAAAUAAAUACAAACCAACUGCAUUAAGAGCUGAAAAUAUUUUAUUAUAGGAGACAGUCUUUAUUCAAUUUAUCAAUACAAUUACACCUCAACUAUAAUUCUCCAGAAUACCUCAACACAAUUUAUCAAAAAAUCUUGUGACUUUAUCAAAUUUUAUUUUCUCUUGGGAGCAUUCUUACAAGAUCUUUUGUUAUGCCCUUCUAGUCCGCAGUUGUCAUAUGAAACCUUGUACUUCUUUAAAUUUACUUCAUCAUAUGGUUUGUAUCUUUUUUUUAGGUCUUCCUGGCCGUCUUUUCCCGGUAGGUGGCAUCACAACUUCUUCAGCUAUAUGUUGUGGCACAUUCCAUUUGCUUUCAUCAGGCAUCGGGUCUACUGGUAUUUCAUAAGUAUGCAAGAGGCUCUCCCUCGUGUAAUAAGGAGAACAAUAGUUUUCAUAAGACUCAUUCCUGUGCCUUAAAGCUGCCAAAGCAUGUGCACAAGGAAGUUCAUCAAGCUGGAAUUGUCCACAACUACAUCUCUUAUUUUGAAGACAAACAAUAUAGCGCUUCACACUAUCUAUCACUGUAUGGAUGUGAUCUAUUGAAUCCCUCACCUACAAUUUCAUUACAAACACACAACAACUUAUCAGAAACAUAUACAAAAUAACUACAAUUAUUCAACAUUUUAUCUACAAUGACUGUAUGUAUUUAGUUAUUCCAAGUAUUUAGUUUGAUGGAAUAAUUGAUCCGAUGUUAUUGGAUAUAGCUUACCCUCAGCUUCUGCAAUAAUGCCAUGUUGUCCUCCAACUCUUUGUUAUAUUUUUUCCCAAGGUAUGUGAAUGUACCAUUUGCUUUCAAUAACUUUUCAUUAGUCCAACGUUCAAGAAGAGUUCUCAUGUACUCUAAUAGUUCUACUAUCGACAACUCUCUUGCAUCUCUUGUUACCGCAUUNNNNNNNNNNNNNNNNNNNNNNNNNNNNNNNNNNNNNNNNNNNNNNNNNNNNNNNNNNNNNNNNNNNNNNNNNNNNNNNNNNNNNNNNNNNNNNNNNNNNNNNNNNNNNNNNNNNNNNNNNNNNNNNNNNNNNNNNNNNNNNNNNNNNNNNNNNNNNNNNNNNNNNNNNNNNNNNNACAACACACAUAUUUGGUUUUUCACCAUAUGCAUGUUUGAAUUUCUCAAAAAAUCACUUCCAUGAUGCGUCAUUUUCUAAAUCAACAACAGCGUAUGCCAUUGGUAAUAUGCUACCUAUCAUAUGUGACAAAAAGAAAUUCAAUUUUCAUAAUAAAACUGUAGAGGGAAAAAAAAUACAUACAAAAAAUAAAUUUACAACAAUAUUUCUACAAUAAAUCUACAAUACCUGUUGUAUCCAUUGUGCUAGCUGUUAGCAUUAUUCCCCUGUAUGCCGACUUCAAGAAGGUCCCAUCAACUACUACAACUGGCCUACAAUAUUCCUAACCCUUGAUUGACGUACUAAGCGCAACAAAUGCGCACAAGAAACAGUCAUCGUCAGUCUUCUACAAUUUAACUACCGACCCCGGAUAAGUCUUCUCCAGAAUAUACAAAUAACUAGGCAAUCGACUGUAGGAGUCAGCAGGAUGACCUCUCAAAAAUUUCAAAGCCUUUUCCUUUGCUCUCCAAGCUUGCAUGUAUGUUAAGUUCUCACCGUGUUCAGACAACAUAUCAGUUUGUAUGUCUUUUGGUGUGUAAAUUAUCUUAGUAUCCGCAUAUUUUGGUAUAACCAUGCUACCAACUACCAUGGCAGUAGGUUUGCGUUGUAUGUAUGUAUUCUCCAUCAAAGAGCAUGUGUGCAAACUGUUGAAUUUUCGAACCUUGAACAAUGCUGAAUCAUUUAUGCUGGUGGACUUGAAGUGCCAUGUACAAUUGUCCCUCCCCAACACAUACCAGACAGUAGCUACAGAAUAAAAAUAAUCUAAAGAAUGUUAUGCAAUAUGUAGCUACAAAAUAAUAGGUUGUUUAAGCAUAAAAAUCUUAUAUUGAACAAUUUAUAUACAAAAAAACUACAAAUUAUCUACAAUUUGUAUAUAAUGAUAUUACAAACUAUACAAAAAAAUACAAAUAAACUAAAAAUUAAACAAAGAUAUGAUUUUUGAUUAUUGAACUGUUCCUACCUUCUAGCACUAGACCUUUUCACCCU
rnacentral:lncRNA from 1 species